UUUUUUUUUUCUUCCACGAGAGUCACGGUUUUGCUUCCACGAGAGGCAUGGUUGUGAUUUUCGGAAAGGGAAAAAAACCGUGCUCCCGGUUCGGUAUUUUCGCCCGGUUUUUUUCGUCCUGUUUUUCUUGUGAAAAGAAAAGUUUGUCAAAACCUAUCAACAUGAGAUCUAGUUUUGAAGAUCUCGACGCGAGGAAUCCAAUGGUGAAAAUGGUUCAAGAUUUGGACGCACGGUUUAAAAGAUAAAACGUUUUAAAUAAACGGAUCUACGAAAAAAGGGAAAACUCCCAGGUUGCGACAAGUGGCGCGCUGCAUGUGCGUCUUAAUUAGUGAUUUCGCAAAUAGGAAAUGCCAGGCAUCACGUGUCAUGGAAGCAAACCAAACUGACUCUUGGGCUGUUUUUGGGCUUAUGGGCUGUUCAAAAGUUAAAAAGUUCAGAAAAACAAUUCCUCCUCGCCCAGGCGCUCGAGCACGGCGCCGCCAGCCAGGCACGUCACGGGCCUAGCAUGUGUGCUCCCGUGCUCUGGCCAGCGAGAUUCGGCCCCGUGCCCUGCGGUGUACUAGAAUAACAAGAUGCUGUUCCAAAAAAAAAAGAAUAACAAGAUGCGGACCACUCAAAAAAAAAACGAAUAACAAGAUGCGGAAAGGAAAAAUCAGCGUACAAGACUCAGACUUUCAGAGAACUACCAGGCGGUUUGUGUGUGUGCCAGGCAGCGCCUCCGCUGCGCACCCUCGGCACACUGACGGCCAUGCGGCGCUCACGCCCGCGUCCUCCCGGUAGCCCACGCGCCCAGCGCCGCAGCAUCCAGCCGCUUCUCGCACGACUUCCUCCUCGCCGCGCUGCGUGACCUCCCGAUGGCGCGCAGGCUGUUCGAUGGAAUGCCUCGCAGGGACACCGUCUCCUACAGUUCGAUCAUCUCUGGCUAGGCUGGAAGUGGACGCACUGAUGAGGCCCUCCGUCUGUGCAGAGGAUAAAGGAGCUAGGCGCCAGGCCUGGCGGCUUCCGAUUCUCCAUUGUUUCAUCGGGCGUCUGCUCUGCUCCCCAUGGGAUGGAAGGUUCAUGCAGGCUGCAGCUGCUGUACGUCACGGCUCUGCCCAACAGAACACUGUAAUUGGAACACACUUGUGGAUAUGUAUCGACAUGCUGGCUUCUUGAAAUACGCGGUGCACGACUUUUGAGGUAUGAUUGAGCAGGACCUCGUUUGAGUGAAUUCUGUCAUGUCAGUGUACAAAGAUAAUAGCCAGAGCAAUGCAGUGUUUGAGUGUUUCCGGUUGAUUAGAAGCCAUGGGUUUUUGGUCGACAAAUGCAGUGUGCCAACUCAACGGUGCUUACCAUGUGCACAGAUGUCAAGGAUUUGGCUAAGGGUUACCAGCUCUUUUUUUUUGAACCGGGCAUUAUUAAUUUCCAUUACUUUUAUAAUGGAAAUAACAUCAGUUCAACAUGACCACCCAGGAAACCUAGAAAGGGGAAGCGGGUUCAACGCAUCAUUGGAAAACCCACGGUGAGCACCCGUCAUCGAGCAGCUCACCAUGGGGCGAAAACCCAAUGACACCUAAGCAGCUACGAACACCUAAAUAGUUCAUCCAUUACAAGCCUGUUCAGAUAGGCCACACACCAAAAGCUCACACAGGAGCCUGAACCUCACAGACGACCAAACUAGUUUUAUCGAACAGAAACUUUGUGCGUUAUGAAAGGGGCACAUGAUCCAAAAGAGCGCGGGGGAGGGAAGAAGUUCUGCAUCCCGCCAUGAGCCACCUGCUCGCUUCUCCUUCUUCACCCGCUCCGCGUCGCAUCUCUCGGUGCUGCACAGAUUCUCAUCAUGUUCGAGGCGUUGAUCCUCAGCAUCUUAGACCCACGCUCCAUCGCCUCCCGAUCUUCACCCAACAGCAACCCUGCCCAAUAAGAUAUAUAACCACAAGCAGAAUAUACCACAUCAAAAGGAGACUUCAACUCUUUGAGUUCAAAAAUUAUUUUAUUGCGACAGUUCCACAUCGCCCAGCAUAACGCAGCCAGUCCAAAGGUAUAAAACCUCUCCCCAUCAGGAAGAUAACAGUGACACCAAGCAAAAUAUUGCCACAAAUUGUUAGGGCAUCUAUCCAUACCCAAAACGCACCCCACUGUUCUCCACAUAACUCUAGCAACCGGGCAGGUAAAGAAAAGGUGAUGAGAGGUUUCUCUGCCAUUACAGAAAGCACACACCGGCCUUCCCCGUCUACACAUGACAUCCCUGGUCAGGACAGAGUCCUGAAAUAGUUGCCACAGGAAUAUCUGGAUUUUAAGGGGAAUUUUUGCUCUCCAUAUCCAUUUGAAAUUGCAUCCAGCUAGGGGCCUCUCCAAGUAAUCGUAAACAGAUUUAGUAGUGAAUUUUCUCUUCUUCCCCAGGGACCAAACGACCUGAUCAGGGUCGUUAGUAAGGGGCCAAGCCCUCACCCUAGCUUGCACCCCCCUCCAUUGGUCAAGAAGAGGAGGGUUGAGUCUUCUCCUAAAGAAGUUCACAUCCACAUUCUCCCUGAACUUAGCCACAGUUAUCUCUUGAUUAUUGCACACACUGAAUAACACAGGGAACUGGACAUACAAUGGUUGCUCCUCGCCACAAGGAUCCAUCCACAUUCUGGCAAGAUUGCCAGAGUUCAAAAUUACUUUUCUGCCAAUCAUAUAAUACUCCUUGACCUUCAUGAUAGCUUUCCAGAUAGGGGAAUCCCCAAAUAUGGUUUUAAUGGACGCCACCGUAUCCUUUUUGAAGUACUUUGCCCUGAUCACCUCUCGCCAAAGCCCUUGCUGGGUCUCUAGCUUCCACCACCAUUUGGUGAGUAGGCUAAUGUUCUGUUUAUGUAAAUCUUUCACCCCCAGGCCCCCUUUCUAUUUCGAUCGACAAAUUCUACACCAUUUAACCAGGUGGCAGCGCUUACGCCCCUCAUGUUCUUUCCAGAAAAACCCUUGCGAUGUUUAUCCAGCUUACCAAUCACUCCCUUAGGUAGCAGGAACAUGGACAUGUAAAAAUACACAAUGCUAGUUAAGGAAGAGUUAAGAAGAAUGAGACGCCCCCCGAGGAGGCUGCAUUGCCAAUCCACGAUUCGCAACAUUUGAGAAAUCUUUCGUCCACAAAAUCCCAGUCUAGGAUGCGGAGGUUCGAGAAACUGACCGGCACCCCAAGGUAUUUCAUUGGGAAGUGGCCGAUACUACAAUUAAACAAGUCUGCAUAGAAGGAAAUAAUAUCAUCAUCUCCCCCAACACAGAGGAUCUCACUUCUCAUAAAAUUGAUCUUCAGCCCUGACAUAAGCUCAAACAUGUAAAGCAACAGUUUCAGGUUGACAGCAGCCUCGUUGUUAUGCUCAAAAUAGAUCACCGUAUCAUCAGCGUACUGCAAGAUUGCUACUCCUCCUUCAAUCAGAUCCGACACAAGGCCAGUUAUCAUUUUUUCUUUUUGUGCGUUGGUAACCAUCUUCGAGAGGGUUUCCAUAGCAAGGUUAAACAGGAAGGGGGAGUAGGGUCGCCUUGCCGAACCCCUUUGUGGCUCUGAAAGUAAGGCCCUGUCUCAUUAUUAAUUUUAAUGCUCAAGGUGCCAUUAUGAAGGAUCUUUUCUACCCAGCCGCACCAUGUCGGCCCAAAACCCCGUUUUCGAUGAAAUUCAAGGAGGAAAUCCCAAUUUAUCUUAUCAUAAGCUUUUUCAAAAUCCAACUUAAGUACAAUCCCCACCUUCUUUUUAUGAUGGGUAUGGUGCAACACCUCAUGGAGAGUAAGGAUCCCAUCCAUAAUGUUUCUAUGCUUUAUGAAAGCAUUUUGAUAUUUACUAAUCAGCUUGUCAGCAAAGAUAGCCACUUGAUUAUCCAAAACCUUAGUAAUCAGCUUGUAUGGGCAUCUAAGGAGGCAUAUGGGGCGGUGUUGCUGAAUCUUCCUUGCCCCACUCAUUUUUGGUAUUAAAGUAAUAAUACCAUAAUUCAGUCGAGCCACAUCUAGGUUAUCAUAGAAGGCUUCGAACAGCCGCAUGAUAUCUUUUUUUACGAAGUCCCAACAAUGCUUAUAAAACUCAGCCGGCAUAUUAUCGGGACCCGGGGCUCUAUUACUUUCCAUACAAAACAAGGCCUUUUUCACCUCCUCCUCAGUAAAAACCUUAGUGAGCAUGUCAUUGUCAUCCGCAGUGAGCUUCUCACUACUGGACCACGUAUCAGGCGACAUAUGGAACAAAUUCCCCCUCGCAGGGCCAAAAAGGUCUUUGUAAAAAGCUUUUGCAUGAUCUAGCAGGUUCUUAGUUCCUUAUAUGAUGCUCAUCCAAAGAAUGUAUAGUGUUCUUCCUUUUUCUGCCAUUGGCAAUCCGAUGAAAAUAAGCGGUGUUCUGAUCUCCUUUCAGGAGCCACCUUUUAUUUGAAUGUUGUAGCCAAAACAGCUCCUCAUCUGCAAGUAUCUCAUAAAGCUCAGCAUAAAGGAUGGUCCUCUUCUCGUAGGUUUCCGGGUCCAGGGGGCCAUUAUCUUCUUCUUUCUCCAUCUUCUGCAAUUCUUGUUUAAUCCACUUCUUUCUUUUCCUAGCAUGCCCAAAAGCAUGCGACCCCCAGCCUUUAAAGUACCUUUUAAUACGUUUCAACUUAAUAUUCAGGAUGUCAAUAGGGUCUACAGAAUACACAGGUUGUUCCCAGAUCUCUUUAGCUUUGUGCUAAAAUUCCUCAUUUUUUAACCAACUCAACUCAAAUCUGAACUCUCUCCUAUGAGGAGGUUCCUUCUCUGUUGGAUUAGAGGAAAGCAGCAGGGGUUGUGGUCAGAUACGUCUCUCACAAGCUUACGAACCGCGACUAAAGGGAACAAGUCUUCCCACUCGGGGCUCAUUAGGAUCCUGUCUAAUUUCUCAAGAGUAGGGUGCCUCUGUUUAUUAGUCCAUGUGUACUUUCCUCCCCCCAUAUGAAUCUGUCUAAGGUUAAUGUCAGGACCCCGAUUCCACGUCACAUCGAUCUAGCCGGUAACACCUCAUAUCACUUUGCGGCCUCACACACGGUAUUCCCACGGGUGUCGCCUUACCAUGGCUCGGAACCGUUUGCGCCUUUUGGCUAACGUAUAUGAUAGUGUCGCUAGCAUCCAUAUGACAGAGAACCCGGGCCGACAUGACUAGUCGUGAACCCAAAGUGGCACUAACUUACGGGGACAGGCAUACAUGAAUCAACAUCGAGCAUGUCGGUCAGCAGCGUGCGAAUCCGGGCUGUAGCACCGGGCUAGCAGGACUCCGGUGAACCAGGCUGUAGGAGGCUAGGCAGGACUCCGGAUGUCACCGCGUGACAUUUCCCCGAAGGGACAGACACAGGAACGAAGUGAAUCACAUGCCGUCCAGUCAAGUGUUCCGGAGCAGUAGUGCUGGGCUAGCAGGACUCCGGUGAACCGGGCUGUAGCGGACUACUAUGGCUCAUGGAAGCACAAGACUACAUUUCCCCAUAAGAGAGGCUACCAAGGAUAAACAACUAGGUUGUCGGAUCCCACACAUACCAAGCAUUUCAAUCAUACACACAAUAUGCUCGAUAUGUGUAAAUACAACAUGGCAUCACAGCAUAACUCUACGACUCAAGUAUUUAUUCACUAGGCUCCCAGGAGCCAAGUAUUACAAUCAUGGUCUCAUGACCCAACAUACAGAGCAUAGAAGCAUCGAGCGGAAGCAUAAACAUGUCUGAGUACAGACAACUACAAAUGAAAAAGGCUGAGAAGCCUGACUAUCUACAAGACCCUCCCAAGGAUACAAGAUUGUAGCUGAGGUAACAAGCUAAACGUCGAAGUCCACGCGGAACUACUAGCAAGACUGACGUCUCUCUGCAGAACAUAAAAUAGGCAAACAUGAGUACAAAUGUACCCAGCAAGACUUACAUCAGAACUAGCUACAUAUGCAUCAGUAUCAACAAAGGGGGUGGUGGAGUUUGACUGCAGCAAGCCAGCUUUGACUCAGUGGCUCUCCUAAACUAUGACUGCAAGUAACUCUUUUGAGGUGGCGCACAUGAGUCCACAUAUUCACCAUAUCAAUACACCACUACGGAUCCGCUCCCGUCUCCCUACGGGAAGGCCAUCCAUAGCACUCACGCUUAUCUUGCGAGUUUUAGAGUAUCCACUUUCACUUGUCUAUGAACUGUACAGGCAACCCAGAAGUCCUUUACCGCGGACAUGGCUAUUCGAAUAGAUCAUUUAUAACCCUGUAGGUGUGUACUUCUUCACACACGCUCUCGCCAGUUACCACCAGGUACACGUUGUGUAUCUCGGCAACCUUCAAGCGGAAGCCCGGCGAGGGAGUCGGCCACGACCUGACUAACCACACAAGUCUCUAGUUCAGGUUUAUCGCCUAUUCCGGUUCCAUCCGCGAGGAGAUCCGGCCGGGGUUUCGCUCACAGCCCCAAACGAUGUGUCCAGGGUUCCCGAGACACCAAAUGGGCGCCCGGUACACCAUGCCACGGUGUAUCUACCGCAUCAUAGCCCACCCCUAGGGUCAGCGCUACGCAUGGCCUCCAACACAUAUCCUACAAACACCAGAAACUAGUUGCAACUCCUGAAUAGAGAUCAAGGCGGUUAAUAAGUCGAGAGGGUCCAUUGGUUUCGGGCCCAACGCGUGGUAGUAGCUGUUCAUGGAUCACAAACACAGAACUCAGUUCCUAAGGAUGGUUUCAAUGAGACAACCCACCAUGUACUCCUACAUGGCCUCUCACCGCUACCUUUACCAAAUCGUGUUCACACACUUAGCUCACACACAGUAGGACAUGUUCAUCACCAUUCCAAUUCAUUCCCGAUGAAUUAGACCCGACUCAACUCUAAGUAGUAGCAGGCAUGACAAACAAGCAUGAAUGAGUAGGCACAUCAGGGCUCAAACAACUCCUACUCAUGCUAGUGGGUUUCAUCUAUUUACUGUGGCAAUGACAGGUCAUGCAGAGGAUAAGGGGUUCGACUACCGCAGCAAGUAACAGAUGAAUCGUUGUUGUCCUAAUGCAGUAAAAGAGAGCAGGAGCGAGAGAGUGGGGUUGUAUCAGAAUGAACAAGGGGGUUUUGCUUGCCUGACAGAGUGGUAGUGGGAUUCUGCCCUUCAGUUGGAUACUCGUGAAUAUCCUCGGAGACAGAACCUACCACGAAGAACACAUCGAAACACAAUCAUCACAUGGCAAUAUGCAACAAUAUGAUGCAUGCAAUGACAUGGCAAAAUGAGUGUGUUUUGGCUAAUGCAACUUAGAACAAAUUGGUUUGAGUUCAUUUGAAUCAAGGAUUCAAAUGCAAACCCAAAAUAAGAGGUCAUGUUAGUGCAUUAACUUGUUUCACCAAAACAGCAAGGUUAAAGUGUUCUAACAUGCAUGAAACCCGUACAGAUGGAAAGAUUGGAUUUUUCUGAUCAAAUUUCAUAUAUAAAUCUUUGCAUUUGGAGUUACAGAUUAAUUUCUAUGAAUUUUUGAAGUUUGUAGCAUUUUCUGGAAUUUCCUAUAUAAGAAUAAAUCCAGUAAAUGCUUUAUGGCGUCAGCAGUGUGUCAGGGUGAUGUCAGCAGUCAACGGGGACGGUCCAAGUCAAACCUGACCGGUGGGUCCCGCGUGUCAAUGUCAUUAGUCUAACUAAUUUUUAGUUAGUCCUAAUCCUAACUUAAUUAGCAGGCGGGUCCCACUUGUCAUAGACCCAGGGGGUCAAACUGGGUCCACCCGGGGUCAACUCGGUCAGCGGGGUCAAACUCGCCGGCGAGGCCAAACGCGGCGGGGCAGUGUGGGAUUCGUGCUCCGACGACCAAAACAACGGCGGAGCACAUCUACGUGAUGCGGGAAGUGAGCCGCGUCGAGUGGUGGCAGUGGGUGGAGCUGGGGUGGUCGGAAACGUCGCCCGCGGCGACCUUGGCGGUCGCCGGAGUUUGGGCGAGGUCGAAGCCGUCGCUAUGAGGCACGGCGAGGCGCGUGGGGAGGUGCUAUGGGCUUCUGCGAGUGCGGUGAAGACGAUGGCGUGCUCGGAAUCAAGCCAACGUGGUUGUGGCCACGACGGCGACGUGCGGUGGCGGCGGCGGGUGCGGCCGAGCUCGGUGCAGUCGCUGUAGUGCUCGAGAGCGAGAACGGGAAGGGGGAGGAGGUAGCUGGGCUCACGGCGAUCACAACGAGGCAGACGGCGAGGUCGGGGACGAGCUGGUGCGGCGGUGACGGCGAAGGGGAUCUCCGGCGGCGUUCGGUGAAGAGGAGGUCAAAGAAGACGAAGUAGAGCGUGCGAGCGCUCGGGGCUCGGCUAGCUCGACAAAGCAGACGACGGCGGAGCUCGUGGACACGGCAGCGCGGCGCGGGGACGACGGUGGAUGCGAGUUUCACGGUGGCGCGGGCGCAGCAGCAUCGGCCAUGGUGGGAGAGGGCGAGGGAGAGAGGCAGAGGAGUAAGCGAGGUGUCUGCGGGGUCGGGGCGGCGACGUGGAGCUCGCCCAGGUGUCCAGGGGUGCGGGCGGCAAGCAGCUCACGCGGUGGCGAGCUCGCGCAUGCCGGCGUCACCUCCCUGCCUGCCUGGCGGGGACGAAGCAGCUGGCUGGCACGGGCCAGCACAGUGCUGGGCCGCCAGGUGGGCCGGCUGGUGGCUUGCCAGGUAAGUUUGUUUUCCUUUUAUUUUUUCUGUUUUCUUUAUUUCUGCAAGUUUGUGGCUUUUCUAAAAAUACUUAGGCAUUUCCAGAAAUCAGCAAACUGCACAUGCCCACUGUUUAGAACAUAUCCAACAUGGAACAUUUUAGUUUCGGAUUACUUGGACAUUUAAAAUAUUUAGUAGCAUUUAAAUGUACAAAUGCAAAUAGCAUAUGAUUUAAUCCAGUGACCUUAAGAUGACCUAGAAAAUUGUGAACCAAUUUUGCCAAAGGUUCUAACCCAGGACAAAAAUGAUGGACAUUCUAGAAGGGCAUUUCAGGUUCAUUGAAAAAGAUUUUAGUAAACCCUAGUUGUUUUCAGGGGGGUGCUGGGGGUUCUGUCAUCCCAUUUCAACUUUCUGUGAAAAGUAAACAUGAUGCAACACCAGAUGCUAGCACUAGGCAUUAGUAGAACUAGGGAUGUGACAACUCACCCCCACUAAACAAGAAUCUCGUCCCGAGAUUCAAGAGGUGAGGUAAGAAGACAGAGGGGAUACAAGCUAACAUGAUCUUCAUGAUCCAUUGAUUCAGAUCGAUCUUGGCGUCCUUCCUUUCGAGAUCUUCAUCCAACACGAUGACGACGGACAGGAACUCUACAGGAAUCGAUCUUCUCGAAGAUCGGGCAACUCAAGGUCAACUCUUGGGGGUGAGAUAUAAAACAUCUCUUGAGCUGAGACACAAAACAUACAUUCAGGGGGAUGGGGUGUAACAGAUGACGAAGGUCCCCUAGGUAGGCAACAAAUCCACGCUCGAUCACGACAUAGCGAGGAGUUAACUGCCAUGAUUCCACAACGGGGCACCUUGGGGGAGGUGACUCGUAGAGUUAUUCCCUUAGGCGGCAAAAAGAAUUACUUUUGAUACAGAGAUCCUUGAAAUUCUCUAAACCAGCCCAAGGAAAAUCACAAACGACCGUUUGAAGGAGUUCAGGAGAACGCCACACUCGGGCUAGAAUGGAUGAUGUGGACUACCUUGUUGAAGACAACGCAAUGGGUGAUUUUUGCUUAUCAUCGGAAAUGGAUGGGACUCAUGGUAAGUCCACCUUUGAAGAUGAACCUGGACAGCAACUGCUGAGAAGGCAGCCCAUGGAAAAUUGGCACGAUGGGGUGCAAGCUGGGAAUAAAAUGCAAAUGUUGGGUGAUACGUCUCCAACGUACCUAUAAUUUUUGAUUGCUCCAUGCUAUAUUAUCUUAUAUUUUGGACAUUAUUGGGCUUUAUUAUUCACUUUUAUAUUAUUUUUGGGACUAACCUAUUAACCGGAGGCCCAGCCCAGAAUUGCUGUUUUUUUGCCUAUUUCAGAGUUUCGCAUAAAAAGAAUAUCAAACGGAGUCCAAACGGAAUGAAACCUUCAGGAACGUGAUUUUCGGAACGAACAUGAUCCAGGAGACUUGGACCCUACGUCAAGAAACAAAGCAGGAAGCCACGAGGUAGGGGGCGCGCCUACCCCCCUAGGGCGCGCCCUCCACCCUCGUGGGCCCCACGUUGCUCCACCGAUGUACUCCUUCCUCCUAUAUAUACCUACGUACCCCCAAACGAUCAGAUACGGAGCCAAAAACCUAAUUCCACCGCCGCAACCUUCUGUACCCACGAGCUCCCAUCUUAGGGCCUGUUCCGGAGCUCCGCCGGAGGGGGCAUCCAUCACGGAGGGCUUCUACAUCAACACCAUAGCCUCUCCGAUGAAGUGUGAGUAGUUUACCUCAGACCUUCGGGUCCAUAGUUAGUAGCUAGAUGGCUUUCUCUCUCUUUUUGGAUCUCAAUACAAUGUUCCCCCCUCGCUUGUGGAGAUCUAUUCGAUGUAAUCUUCUUUUGCGGUGUGUUUGUUGAGACCAGUGAAUUGUGGGUUUAUGAUCAAGUUUAUCUAUGAACAAUAUUUGAAUCUUCUGAAUUCUUUUAUGUAUGAUUGGUUAUCUUUGCAAGUCUCUUCGAAUUAUCUGUUUGGUUUGGCCUACUAGACUGAUCUUUCUUGCAAUGGGAGAAGUGCUUAGCUUUGGGUUCAAUCUUGCGGUGUCCUUUCCCAGUGACAGUAGGGGCAGCAAGGCACGUAUAGUAUUGUUGCCAUCGAGGAUAACAAGAUGGGGUUUUUAUCAUAUUGCAUGAAUUUAUCCCUCUACAUCAUGUCAUCUUGCUUAAGGCGUUACUCUGUUCUUAUGAACUUAAUACUCUAGAUGCAUGCUGUAUAGCGGUCGAUGUGUGGAGUAAUAGUAGUAGAUGCAGGCAGGAGUCGGUCUACUUGUCUCGGACGUGAUGCCUAUAUACAUGAUCAUACCUAGAUAUUCUCAUAACUAUGCUCAAUUCUGUCAAUUGCUCAACAAUAAUUUGUUCACCCACCGUAAAAUACUUAUGCUCUUGAGAGAAGUUACUAGUGAAACCUAAGGCCCCCGGGUCUAUCUUCAUCAUAUUAAUCUUCCAACACUUAGUUAUUUCCGUUGCUUUUUACUUUGCUGUUAUUUUACUUUGCAUCUUUAUCAUAAAAAUACCAAAAAUAUUAUCCUAUCAUAUCUAUCAGAUCUCACUCUCGUAAGUGACCGUGUAGGGAUUGACAACCCCUUAUCACGUUGGUUGCGAGGAUUUAUUUGUUUUGUGUAGGUACGAGGGACUCGCGCGUAGCCUCCUACUGGAUUGAUACCUUGGUUCUCAAAAACUGAGGGAAAUACUUACGCUACUUUGCUGCAUCACCCUUUCCUCUUCAAGGGAAAACCAACGCAGUGCUCAAGAGGUAGCAAGAAGGAUUUCUGGCGCCGUUGCUAGGGAGGUCUACGCAAAAGUCAACAUACCAAGUACCCAUCACAAAUCCUUAUCUCCCGCAUUACAUUAUUUGCCAUUUGCCUCUCGUUUUCCUCUCCCCCACUUCACCCUUGCCGUUUUAUUCGCCCUCUCUUUUCCGUUUGCCUCUUUUUGCCCGUCUCUUGUUUGCUCGUGUGUUGGAUUGCUUGUUUGUCACGAUGGCUCAAGAUAAUACCAAAUUAUGUGACUUUACCAAUACCAACAAUAAUGAUUUCCUUAGCACUCCGAUUGCUCCUCUUACCGAUACUGAAUCUUGUGAAAUCAAUGCUUCUUUGUUGAAUCUUGUCAUGAAAGAUCAAUUCACCGGCCUUCCUAGUGAAGAUGCCACUACUCAUCUAUAUAGCUUCGUUGAUUUGUGUGAUAUGCAAAAGAAGAAAGAUGUUGAUAAUGAUAUUGUUAAAUUGAAGCUAUUUCCUUUUUCGCUUAGAGGUCGUGCUAAAGCUUGGUUUUCAUCUUUGCCUAAAAAUAGUAUUGAUUCUUGGAACAAGUGCAAAGAUGCUUUUAUCUCUAAGUAUUUUCCUCCCGCUAAGAUCAUCUCUCUUAGAAACGAUAUUAUGAAUUUUAAGCAACUUGAUCAUGAACAUGUUGCACAAGCUUGGGAGAGGAUGAAAUUAAUGAUACGUAAUUGCCCUACACAUGGUUUGAAUUUGUGGAUGAUUAUACAAAAAAUUUAUGCCGGAUUGAAUUUUGCUUCUAGAAAUCUUUUAGAUUCGGCCGCGGGAGGCACUUUUAUGGAAAUCACUUUAGGAGAAGCUACUAAACUCCUAGCUAAUAUUAUGGUUAAUUAUUCUCAAUGGCACACUGAAAGAUCUACUAAUAAAAAAGUGCAUGCGAUAGAAGAAAUUAAUGUUUUGAGUGGAAAGAUGGAUGAACUUAUGAAAUUAUUUGCUACUAAGAGUGUUUCUUCUGAUCCCAAUGAUAUGCCUUUGUCUACUUUGAUUGGGAAUAAUAAUGAAUCUAUGGAUAUGAAUUUUGUUGGUAGGAAUAAUUUUGGUAACAACGCGUAUAGAGGAAACUUUAAUCCUAGGCCUUAUCCUAGUAAUUCCUCUAAUAAUUAUGGUAAUUCCUACAACAACUCUUAUGGAAAUUUUAAUAAGAUGCCCUUUGAAUUUGAGACUAGUUUUAAGGAAUUUAUGAAUUCGCAAAAGAAUUUCAAUGCCUUGCUCAAAGAAAAAUUGCUUAAAGUUGAUGAAUUGGCUAGGAACGUUGAUAGAAUUUCUCUUGAUGUUGAUUCUUUGAAACUGAGAUCUAUUCCUCCUAAGCAUGAUAUCAAUGAGUCUCUCAAAGCCAUGAGAAUUUCCAUUGAUGAGUGCAAAGAAAGAACCGCUAGGAUGCGUGCUAAGAAAGAUUGCUUUAUAAAAGCGUGUUCUUCAAAUUUCUAUGAAAAUAAAGAUGAAUAUCUAAAAGUUAUUGAUGUGUCCCCUAUUAAAUCCUUGUUUUGCAAUAUGAAUCUUGAUAAUGAUGGGACUGAAUAUGAUCCACCUUUACCUAGAAGGCGUUCCAAAAAUUCGGAGUUUUUAGAUCUUGAUGCUAAAAUUGAUAAAAGUGGGAUUGAAGAGAACAAAACCCUAGAUAUUAAUAAACCCACUAUUUUGGACUUCAAGGAAUUUAAUUAUGAUAAUUGCUCUUUGAUAGAUUGUAUUUCCUUGUUGCAAUCCGUGCUAAAUUCUCAUCAUGCUUAUAGUCAAAAUAAAGCUUUUACCAAACAUAUCGUUGAUGCUUUGAUGCAAUCUUAUGAAGAAAAACUUGAGUUAGAAGUUUCUAUCCCUAGAAAAAUUUAUGAUGAGUGGGAACCUACUAUUAAAAUUAAGAUUAAAGAUCAUGAAUGCUAUGCUUUGUGUGAUUUGGGUGCUAGUGUUUCCACGAUUCCAAAAACUUUGUGCGAUUUGCUAGGUUUCCAUGAUUUUGAUGAUUGCUCUUUAAACUUGCACCGUGCGGAUUCCACUAUUAAGAAACCUAUGGGAAUAAUUAAUGAUGUUCUUAUUGUUGCAAAUAGGAACUAGGUGCCCGUAGAUUUUAUUGUUCUUGAUAUAGAUUGCAAUCCUUCAUGUCCUCUUAUUCUUGGUAGACCUUUCCUUAGAACGAUUGGUGCAAUUAUUGAUAUGAAGGAAGGGAAUAUUAGAUUCCAAUUUCCAUUAAAGAAAGGCAUGGAACACUUCCUAGGAAGAAAAUAAAACUACCAUAUGAAUCUAUUAUGAGAGCCACUUAUGGAUUGCCAACCAAAGAUGGCAAUACCUAGAUCUAUCCUUGCUUUUAUGCCUAGCUAGGGGCGUUAAACGAUAGCGCUUGUUGGGAGGCAACCCAAUUUUAUUUUUAGUUUUUUGCUUUUUGCUUCUGUUUAGGAAUAAAUGUUCGAUCUAGCCUCUGGUUAGAUGUGUUUUUAUGUUUUAAUUAGUGUUUGUGCCAAAUUAAACCUAUAGGAUCUUCUUGGAUGGUAGUUAUUUGAUCUUGCAGAAAUUUCCAGAAACUUUCUGUUCACGAAAAUAAUUGUUAAAAAUCACCAGAAGAUGAUAAAAUAUUUAUUCCAAUUGCUGAUGAUCAAUAAACAAAUUUUCUAGGUCGUCCUAUUUUGGCUGAUUUUUUGGAGUUCCAGAAGUUUGCGUUAGUUACAGAUUACUACAGACUGUUCUUUUUUUGACAGAUUCUGUUUUUCGUGUGUUGUUUGCUUAUUUUGAUGAAUCUAUGGCUAGUAAAAUAGUUUAUAAACCAUAGAGAAGUUGGAAUACAGUAGGUUUAACACCAAUACAAAUAAAGAAUGAGUUCAUUACAGUACCUUGAAGUGGUCUUUUGUUUUCUUUCGCUAACGGAGCUCACGACAUUUUCUGCUGAGUUUUGUGUUGUGAAGUUUUCAAGUUUUGGGUGAAAGAUUUGAUGGAUUAUGGAACAAGGAGUGGAAAGAGCCUAAGCUUGGGGAUGUCCAUGGCACCCCCAAGAUAAUCUAAGGACACCAAAAAGCCAAAGCUUGGGGAUGCCCCGGAAGGCAUCCCCUCUUUCGUCUACUUCCAUCGGUAACUUUACUUGGAGCUAUAUUUUUAUUCACCACAUGAUAUGUGUUUUGCUUGGAGCGUCUUGUAUGAUUUGAGUCUUUUCUUUUUAGUUUACCAAUAUUAUCCUUGCUGUACACACCUUUUGAGAGAGACACACAUGAUUCGGAAAUUAUUAGAAUACUCUAUGUGCUUCACUUAUAUCUUUUGAGUUAUAUAGUUUUUGCUCUAGUACUUCACUUAUAUCUUUUAGAGCACAGUGGUGGAUUUGUUUUAUAGAAACUAUUGAUCUCUCAUGCUUCACUUAGAUUAUUUUGAGAGUCUUAAAUAGCAUGGUAAUUUGCUUAAUUAAUCCUAAUAUGCUAGGUAUUCAAGAUUAGUAAAAACUUUCUUAUGAGUGUUUUGAAUACUAAGAGAAGUUUGAUGCUUGAUGAUUGUUUUGAGACAUGGAGGUAGUGAUAUUAAAGUUGUGCUAGUUGAGUAGUUGUGAAUUUGAGAAAUACUUGUGUUGAAGUUUGCAAGUCCCGUAGCAUGCACGUAUGGUAAACAUUAUGUAACAAAUUUGAAACAUGAGGUGUUCUUUGAUUGUCCUCCUUAUGAGUGGAGGUCGGGGACGAGCGAUGGUCUUUUCCUACCAAUCUAUCCCCCUAGGAGCAUGCGCGUAGUGCUUGGUUUUUGAUGACUUGUAGAUUUUUGCAAUAAGUAUGUGAGUUCUUUAUGACUAAUGUUGAGUCGAUGGAUUAUACGCACUCUCACCUUUCCACCAUUGCUAGCCUCUUCGGUACCGUGCAUUGCCCUUUCUCACAUUGAGAGUUGGUGCAAACUUCGCCGGUGCAUCCAAAUCCCGUGAUAUGAUACGCUCUUUCGCACAUAAACCUCCUUAUAUCUUCCUCAAAACAGCCACCAUACCUACCUAUUAUGGCAUUUCCAUAGCCAUUCCGAGAUAUAUUGCCAUGCAACUUUCCACCAUCCAGUUUAUCAUGACACGUUCAUCAUUGUCAUAUUGCUUUGCAUGAUCAUGUAGUUGACAUAGUAUUUGUGGCAAAGCCACUGUUCAUAAUUCUUUCAUACAUGUCACUCUUGGUUCAUUGCAUAUCCCGGUACACCGCCGGAGGCAUUCAUAUAGAGUCAUACUUUGUUCUAGUAUCGAGUUGUAAAUAAAUAGAAGUGUGAUGAUCAUUUUCUAGAGCAUUGUCCCAACUGAGGAAUAUAAAAAAAGAGAGAGAAAGGCCAUAAAGAAAGAGAAGGCCCAAAAAAAUGAGAGAAAAAGAGAGAAGGGACAAUGUUACUAUCCUUUUACCACACUUGUGCUUCAAAGUAGCACCAUAAUCUUCAUGAUAGAGAGUCUCUUGUUUUGUCACUUUCAUAUACUAGUGGGAAUUUUUCAUUAUAGAACUUGGCUUGUAUAUUCCAACAAUGGGCCUCCUCAAGUGCCCUAGGUCUUCGUGAGCAAGCAAGUUGGAUGCAGACCCACUUAGUUUCUUUUGUUGAGCUUUCAUAUAUUUAUAGCUCUAGUGCAUCCGUUGCAUGGCAAUCCCUACUCCUUGCAUUAACAUCAAUCGAUGGGCAUCUCCAUAGCUCAUUGAUUAGCCUUGUUGAUGUGAGACUUUCUCCUUUUUUGUCUUCUCCACAUAACCCCCAUCAUCAUAUUCUAUUCCACCCAUAGUGUUAUGUCCAUGGCUCGUGCUCAUGUAUUGCGUGAAGGUUGAAAAAGUUUGAGAUUACUAAAGUAUGAAACAAUUGCUUGGCUUGUCAUCGGGGUUGCAUGAUGAGAGCAUUCUUGUGUGACGAAGAUGGAGCAUGACUAAACUAUAUGAUUUUGUAGGGAUGAACUUUCUUUGGCCAUGUUAUUUUGAGAGGACAUAAUUGCUUAGUUAGUAUGCUUGAAGUAUUAUUAUUUUUAUGUCAAUAUGAACUUUAAUCUUGAAUCUUUCGGAUCUGAAUAUUCAUACCACAAUUAAGAAGAAUUACAUUGAAAUUAUGCCAAGUAGCACUCCGCAUCAAAAAUUCUGUUUUUAUCAUUUACCUACUCGAGGACGAGCAAGAAUUAAGCUUGGGGAUGCUUGAUACGUCUCCAACGUAUCUAUAAUUUUUUAUUUCUCCAUGCUAUAUUAUCUUCUGUUUUGGACAUUAUUGGGCUUUAUUAUUCACUUUUAUAUUAUUUUUGGGACUAACCUAUUAACUGGAGGCCCAGCCCAGAAUUGCUGUUUUUUUGCCUAUUUCAGAGUUUCGCAGAAAAAGAAUAUCAAACGGAGUCCAAACGGAAUGAAACCUUCGGGAACGUGAUUUUCGGAACGAACAUGAUCCAGGAGACUUGGACCCUACGUCAAGAAACAAAGCAGGAAGCCACGAGGUAGGGGGGCACGCCUACCCCCCUAGGGCGCGCCCUCCACCCUCAUGGGCCCCACGUUGCUCCACCGACGUAGUCCUUCCUCCUAUAUAUACCUACGUACCCCCAAACGAUCAGAUACGGAGCCAAAAACCUAAUUCCACCGCCGCAACCUUCUGUACCCACGAGAUCCCAUCUUGGGGCCUGUUCCGGAGCUCCGCCGGAGGGGGCAUCCAUCACGGAGGGCUUCUACAUCAACACCAUAGCCUCUCCGAUGAAGUGUGAGUAGUUUACCUCAGACCUUCGGGUCCAUAGUUAGUAGAUAGAUGGCUUUCUCUAUCUUUUUGGAUCUCAAUACAAUGUUCUCCCCCUCUCUUGUGGAGAUCUAUUCGAUGUAAUCUUCUUUUGCGGUGUGUUUGUUGAGACCGAUGAAUUGUGUGUUUAUGAUCAAGUUUAUCUAUGAACAAUAUUUGAAUCUUCUGAAUUCUUUUAUGUAUGAUUGGUGAUCUUUGCAAGUCUCUUCGAAUUAUCUGUUUGGUUUGGCCUACUAGAUUGAUCUUUCUUGCAAUGGGAGAAGUGCUUAGCUUUGGGUUCAAUCUUGCGGUGUCCUUUCCCAGUGACAGUAGGGGCAGCAAGGCACGUAUAGUAUUGUUGCCAUCGAGGAUAACAAGAUGGGGUUUUUUAUCAUAUUGCAUGAAUUUAUCCCUCUACAUCAUGUCAUCUUGCUUAAGGCGUUACUCUGUUCUUAUGAACUUAAUACUCUAGAUGCAUGCUGUAUAGCGGUCGAUGUGUGGAGUAAUAGUAGUAGAUGCAGGCAGGAGUUGGUCUACUUGUCUCGGACGUGAUGCCUAUAUACAUGAUCAUACCUAGAUAUUCUCAUAACUAUGCUCAAUUCUGUCAAUUGCUCAACAGUAAUUUGUUCACCCACUGUAAAAUACUUAUGCUCUUGAGAGAAGCUACUAGUGAAACCUAUGGCCCCCGGGUCUAUCUUCAUCAUAUUAAUCUUCCAACACUUAGUUAUUUCCGUUGCUUUUUUACUUUGCUUUUAUUUUACUUUGCAUCUUUAUCAUAAAAAUACAAAAAAUAUUAUCCUAUCAUAUCUAUCAGAUCUCACUCUCGUAAGUGACCGUGUAGGGAUUGACAACCCCUUAUCGCGUUGGUUGCGAGGAUUUAUUUGUUUGGUGUACGUACGAGGGACUCGCGCGUAGCCUCCUACUGGAUUAAUACCUUGGUUCUCAAAAACUGAGGGAAAUACUUACGCUACUUUGCUGCAUCACCCUUUCCUCUUCAAGGGAAAACCAACGUAGUGCUCAAGAGGUAGCAUUGGGAAUGUUCCAACCAUCAUAUCUGCCUGAGAUUCAGAUCUGGUUAGAAACAGGAUACUUCAGACUCACAUGUCUGAAAGGAAGAGUUGCAACACAAAUUGACGAGAUAACAUUGCGAGAUUCUCGGGAAAUGAACUACGAUAGCAAGCUCGAAGACAUGAGUUGGUUCUGCUACAUACAUGUGAACACGUUGUCCAAGACAAGCAUGACCACAUAGUAGUCUUACAACGAAACACUACCGAGUUCUAAUUGGGAACCAUCAUUGCGGAGAGCGAAGUCCUGCGCAUGUACCUUUGGGUCCUUAAGGAUUAGCACUUAAGAACUUCUUUUCCUUGAACAAAUCAAUCAGUGGCUUGGUGUGCUAGGGAUUCAUAUAGAAUGAAGGUUGCAAGUCUCCAGACCACAGAAUACUUUGCAUGUAUGCAUGACUGACUUGGGAUGAUUCCAGAGGAAGCGAAACAAACUUUCUCAAAUUCACGGCGGCAACUUGCAUCAUAUGCACGUGAAUUAGAGGAAGUCACUUCUUCCAUCAAACAUAAACUUCAUGAGCUAGCACGAAGAAAAUGCUUUCAAAAGUUUCCAACGCUAACUUAGAUGUUCAACAUGAAUCAUGGACAAGAUGAAAAUGUUGUUAAUGGGCUCAACAACAAACCAUCCAGGCUUCCAUAUAGAUGGAAUUCGACAAUUAAGUGAACACGAUGAUAGCAUUGGCCAGACCAAAGAAUGUAAUGGUGUAUGCCCGAGGGAUCAACCACGAGUAAGACAACAUUACGAACAUCGUUGGUUCUGAUUUUAUUUGAGGAUAGCCCACACUCAAAUCAAAAAUUGGAUAAGAUAAUAGCACCGACAACUAAUCACAAGGAUCAAUCAAUGAAGAUAUCAUCUUUCUUCAAUACACACACACACACACACACCAGGAUAUCCCUUUGGAAUGAACUAAGUCAGAUAAAGCUUUUAUCUUCCAACUCUCCGAGGUAUUGUUUAGCUUAUCAAACUAUUUCAGGAGUAUCCAACACAGAUCCUUGGAGAAAGGGUGGUUUAUAGAAAGACCAACACGAUCACGAACUUAACAUAGCGGUCAGGGGACGACCUGGUGAUACUUCCGGGAAGAUAUCCGGAAAAUCACGAACCACCAUUAUGUCUCUAAGCUCGAGAACAAUCUUGCUUUUCAGGCAAGACGAUAUGAUCAAAUAAGCAAGGAUUGACACUAUCCUAACUCAUUGAUCGAAAACUGCACCGGAAAUAAGGACUAGGUCGCACGAUAAACCUUAGAGUGAUGAUUCAAUAAUCAACACGCUAAGGAUAAGAUUAUUGUCCAUCAACUACCAAGCAACACAGUUGCUAGGAGUAUUGAUUUCACACAUCACGAUUCACUUGUCAGCAUUCUGGUUGCGACAACACGACACCGAGGAAUGAAUAAUGAUGGCGAGAAGUAUCACUACGUCAAGAAUUCAUAAGAGAAGGUGCAAUUCUAAUGACAUUCCUGACAUAAAGUUGGUAAUACUUCAGGGUAGAACAGAGCAAAGCUGGAUUGGCAUUUUGAUCUGCAGAAUACAAUUGCUUUGACCCAAUCCUAGAUAUGGAUGAGGUUCUCGAGUUUGUUUCUCCUAUUCAUUUCGAAUUAGAACAGCUUGACGGACCACAAGAAUAGUAGGCAUCGAUAACAUGAAUGCACAACUAUUCUUGACCAACAAUUGAUACAAGAGGGCAGAACACAACUAAAAAGGGACAACUCAGAGGAACAUAUAAUUCCUUUAACUUAUAGACGCAUCGGUUAGCAUGUUGAAUAAAUUCAACAUGUUUCUUCCGGAUAACCCAUGCAGAAAGGUAGGACUGGCAGGUUCACAAUAUAGAAUCGAUAACUCAUCAAGAGCACUCCUAUUGUGAUAUUUUGGUUCAAAGAACUUUUGCCAUGAUGGUUCAUGGUAUUGGAGGAAUGAGAUACCAUGGACCUCGAGGACUAUCGCAAAGGUUACUAAUAUCUUAAGGGAACUAGCAAACACUAUCAACAUGAAGCAAGUAGGGUGAACCUCGGGUUCAAGGACCCGGAAAUAGAAGGCCUACUAAGUAAAUGGCAUCACGGGAUGCUCUCGAGAAUGAUCGCCAGAAUCGUCACACUAGGAACACAAAACAUGGCCACAUUACUAGGUGAUCCUCUACGACACCUAGGGUCUUAAUAAUAGCUCCAACAUAUAUACCGAGGCAAUGGAGUACCUCAACACACUAAUUUGUGUGAUUAAUCUGGCCCAAAUGAACAUCAGAAACGGGAAGCAGGGAUUUGCAAAUGCACCAGACUAUUUAGAAACCUGGGAUGACUCGGACAGCAUAACGGCUGUAAAUGCUCAAAAUGAUUUGAGACAUCCUGCAAAAUGGUGGCAUAACCACUUAACAUCACAAUAUCAAAGUUCUGAGAUCAACUGUCAACACACAGAAGUAGUAGGAACUGAACUCGGGCUUGAAACCAACAAUCAUACAAGUCUACAGAUUAGUAACACGUGAUCCUGAUAGAAGAUGAGAAAGCCUAGUUCUUAAUCCCCGCAGAAAAGAAGAGGCUGACUCAGAUCAGAAGGGCAUAAUGUAUAAGGAGUAAAAAGAGCCUUACGUUCCCUUGCGCAAUCAAUUCCCUUACAUAACUAAAGCAUUUCUAGACACGACUUCGACCAGUUUGGCUUGGUAAUCCUACAGGCAGUCAGGCUCUGAUACCAAAGCUGUCAGGACCCCGAUUCCAAGUCACAUCGAUCUAGCCGGUAACACCUCAUAUCACUUUGCGGCCUCACGCACGGUAUUCCCACGGGUGUCGCCUUACCAUGGCCCGGGACCGUUAGCGCCUUUUGGCUCACGUAUAUGAUAGUGUCGCUAGGAUCCAUAUGACAGAGAACCCGGGCUGACAUGACUAGUUGUGAACCCAAAGUGGCACUAACUUACGAGGACAGGCAUACAUGAAUCAACAUCGAGCAUGUCGGUCAGCAGCGUGCACAUCCGGGCUGUAGCAUCGGGCUAACAGGACUCCGGUGAACCGGGCUGUAGCAGGCUAGACAGGACUCCGGAUGUCACCGCGUGACAUUUCCCCGAAGGGACAGACACAGGAACGAAGUGAAUCACAUGCCGGCCAGUCAAGUGUUCCGGAGCAGUAGUGCUGGGCUAGCAGGACUCCGGUGAACCGGGCUGUAGCGGACUACUAUGGCUCAUGGAAGCACAAGACUACAUUUCCCCAUAAGAGAGGCUACCAAGGAUAAACAACUAGGUUGUCGGAUCCCACACAUACCAAGCAUUUCAAUCAUACACACAAUAUGCUCGAUGUGUGUAAAUACAACAUGGCAUCACAGCAUAACUCUACGACUCAAGUAUUUAUUCACUAGGCUCCGAGGAGCCAAGUAUUACAAUCAUGGUAUCAUGACCCAACAUACAGAGCAUACAAGCAUCGAGCGGAAGCAUAAACAUGUCUGAGUACAGACAACUACAAAUGAAAAAGGCUGAGAAGCCUGACUAUCUACAAGACCCUCCCAAGGGUACAAGAUCAUAGCUGAGGUAACAAGCUAAACAUCGAAGUCCACGCGGAACUACUAGCGAGACUGACGUCUCUCUGCAAAACAUAAAAUAGGCAAACGUGAGUACAAAUGUACCCAGCAAGACUUACAUCAGAACUAGCUACAUAUGCAUCAGUAUCAACAAAGGGGGUGGUGGAGUUUGACUGCAGCAAGCCAGCUUUGACUCAGUGGCUAUCCUAAACUAUGACUGCAAGUAACUCUUUUGAGGUGGCGCACACGAGUCCACAUAUUCACCAUAUCAAUACACCACUACGAAUCCGCUCCCGUCUCCCUACGGGAAGGCCAUCCAUAGCACUCACGCUUAUCUUGCGAGUUUUAGAGUAUCCACUUUCACUUGUCUAUGAACUGUACAGGCAACCCAGAAGUCCUUUACCGCGGACACGGCUAUUCGAAUAGAUCAUUUAUAACCCUGCAGGGGUGUACUUCUUCACACACGCUCUCGCCACUUACCAUCAUGUACACGUUGUGUAUCUCGGCAACCUUCAAGCAGAAGCCUGGCGAGGGAGUUGGCCACGACCUGACUAACCACACAAGUCUCUAGUCCAGGUUUAUCGCCUAUUCGGGUUCCAUCCGUGAGGAGAUCCGGCCGGGGUUUCGCUCACAGCCCCAAACGAUGUGUGCAGGGUUCCCGAGACACCAAAUGGGCGCCUGGUACACCAUGCCACGGUGUAUCUACCGCAUCAUAGCCCACCCCUAGGGUCAGCGCUACGCACGGCCUCCAACAUAUAUCCUACAAACACCAGAAACUAGUUGCAACUCCUGGACAGAGAUCAAGGCGGUUAAUAAGUCGAGAGGGUCCAUUGGUUUUGGGCCCAACGCGUGGUAGUAGCUGUUCAUGGAUCACAAACACAGAACUCAGUUCCUAAGGACGGUUUCAAUGAGACAACCCACCAUGUACUCCUACAUGGCCUCUCACCGCUACCUUUACCAAAUCGUGUUCACACACUUAGCUCACACACGGUAGGACAUGUUCGUCACCAUUCCAAUUCAUUCCCGAUGAAUCAGACCUGACUCAACUCUAAGCAGUAGCAGGCAUGACAAACAAGCAUGAAUGAGUAGGCACAUCAGGGCUCAAACAACUCCUACUCAUGCUAGUGGGUUUCAUCUAUUUACUGUGGCAAUGACAGGUCAUGCAGAGGAUAAGGGGUUCGACUACCGCAACAAGUAACAGAUGAAUCGUUGUUGUCCUAAUGCAGUAAAGAGAGCAGGAGCGAGAGAGUGGGGUUGUAUCAGAAUGAACAAGGGGGUUUUGCUUGCCCGACAGAGUGGUAGUGGGAUUCUGCCCUUCAGUUGGAUACUCAUGAAUAUCCUCGGAGACAGAACCUACCACGAAGAACACAUCAAAACACAAUCAUCACAUGGCAAUAUGCAACAAUAUGAUGCAUGCAAUGACUUGGCAAAAUGAGUGUGUUUUGGCUAAUGCAACUUAGAAUAGAUUGGUUUGAGUUCAUUUGAAUCAAGGAUUCAAAUGCAAACCCAAAAUAAGAGGUCAUAUUAGUGCAUUAACUUGUUUCACCUAAACAGCAAGGUUAAAGUGUUCUAACAUGCAUGAAACCAGUACAGAUGGAAAGAUUGGAUUUUUCUGAUCAAAUUUCAUAUAUAAAUCUUUGCAUUUGGAGUUACAGAUUAAUUUCUAUGAAUUUUUGAAGUUUGUAGCAUUUUCUGGAAUUUCCUAUAUAAGAAUAAAUCCAGUAAAUGCUUUAUUGCAUCAGCAGUGCGUCAGGGUGACGUCAGCAGUCAACAGGGACGGUCCAAGUCAAACUUGACCGGUGGGUCCCGCGUGUCAGUGUCAUUAAUGUAACUAUUUUUUAGUUAGUCCUAAUCCUAACUUAAUUAGCAAGCGGGUCCCACUUGUCAUAGACCCAGGGGGUCAAACUGGGUCCACCCAGGGUCAAAUCGGUCAGCGGGGUCAAACUCGCCGGCGAGGCCAAACGCGGCGGGGCGGUGCGGGAUUCGUGCUCCGGCGACAAAAACGACGGCGGAGCACAUCUACGUGAUGCGGGGAGUGAGCCGCGUCGAGUUGUGGUAGUGCGUGGAGUUGGGGUGGCCGGAAACGUCGCCGGCGACGACCUUGGCGGUCGCCGGAGUUCGGGCGAGGUCGAAGCUGUCGCUAUGAGGCAUGGCGAGGCGUGUGGGGAGGUGCUAUGGGCUUCUGCGAGUGCGGUGAAGACGAUGGCGUGCUCGGAAUCAAGCCAACGUGGCUGUGGCCACGACGGCGACGUGCGGUGGCGGCGGCGGGUGCGGCCGAGCUCGGUGCAGUCGCUGUGGUGCUCGAGAGCGAGAACGAGAAUUGGGAGGAGGUAGCUGGGCUCACGGCGAUCACAACGAGGCAGACGGCGAGGUCGGGGACGAGCUGGUGCGGCGGUGACGGCGAAGGGGAUCUCCGGCGGCGUUCGGUGAAGACGAGGUCGAAGAAGACGAAGUAGAGCGUGCGAGCGCUCAGGGCUCGGCUAGCUCGAUGAAGCAGACGACGGCGGAGCUCGUGGACACCGCAGCGCGGCGCGGGGACGACGGUGGACGCGAGUUUCAUGGUGGCGCGGGCGCGGCAGCGUCGGCCAUGGUGGGAGAGGGCGAGGGAGAGAGGCAGAGGAGUGAGCGAGGUGUCUGCGGGGUCGGGGCGGCGACGUGGAGCUCUCCCAGGUGUCCAGGGGCGCGGGAGGGAAGCAGCUGACGCGGUGGCGAGGCGCGCACGCCGGCGUCACCUCCCUGCCUGCCUGGCGGGGACGAAGCAGCUGGCUGGAACGGGCCAGCACAGUGCUGGGCCGCCAGGUGGGCCGGCUGGUGGCUUGCCAGGUAAGUUUGUUUUCCUUUUAUUUUUUCUGUUUUCUUUAUUUCUGCAAGUUUGUAGCUUUUCUAGAAAUACUUAGGCAUUUCCAGAAAUCACCAAACUGCACAUGCCCACUGUUUAGAACAUAUCCAACAUGGAACAUUUCAGUUUGGGAUUACUUGGACAUUUAAAAUAUUUAGUAGCAUUUAAAUGUCCAAAUGCAAAUAGCAUAUGAUUUAAUCCAGUGACCUUAAGAUGACCUAGAAAAUUGUGAAUCAAUUUUGCCAGAGGUUCUAACCCAGGACAAAAAUGAUGGACAUUCUAGAAGGGCAUUUCAGGUUCAUUGAAAAAGAUUUUAGUAAACCCUAGUUGUUUUCGGGGGGUGCUGGGGUUCUGUCAUCCCAUUUCAACUUUCUGUGAAAAGUAAACAUGAUGCAACACCAGAUGCUAGCACUAGGCAUUACUAGAAUUGGGGAUGUGACAGUUAAGAUUCUGGAUAAUACAGUUAAAUCUAUCCAUGUGCUGAGAUCGGUGCAAGUCUUUAUUCUUAUCACAACUUUCUUGAAGAAUGUUAAAAUCACCACCAAUCACAUAUGGAGUCCCGAUACUAGUGCAGACCGAGAUCAACUCUUCUAGGAACUCAUCUUUUUUAUCAUCGUGAGCCGCCCCAUAAACCAUCACCAAAGUCCAGAUAAUCUUGAGGUGAACAUCUAGAACAGUAACUUGCAGGAGAUAUUUACCUGCAGUCCAGGAUACAACCUCCAGAGUUUCUUUUUUGACUCCACACAACACACCACCUGAUUUACCAACAGAAGGGAUCCAAUUCCAACUAAGUCUGUCAAAGGGGUCAACUCUUCUCAAAUAUUUUUGGUCAAAGGUUUUUUUAUUAGUUUCCUGAAUACCCACAAAAUCCAGGGAAUGGUCCUUUAUAAUGUCAGAGAAGCAGGUGGCCAUUCCUCUUUUACCUGCUCCUCUAUAAUUCCAAAAAAGGCCUUUCAUGAUUUCUUUUUUCUUGCACCCCCCUUUCUAGCAGCCCUGCUAGGAGACAGAGCAGGACUACCAGUUUUCCCCACCAAAGAGGAUCCAUUUUGACUUCUAGUGGUAGGUCUAGCUAUAACCACAAUAAGUUUCCUCUCUCUCCUUUUUCUAGAUCUCACCUUAGUGAAAUUCAAUUCUUCCUCCUCAUUAACAUCUAUCCACUCCAUAUUUAGAGGAGUCUGGUCCCCUUUAGCAUUAGUUAACAUCAGUUCCCCCCCUCCAGGAUCAUUCUGGACUACAUUAUCACUUUUUGUUUCCAUGUUUCUACAUUUUUCAAGUUCUCUAAGGAUGUCCACAUUUGUGAAAUCAUUAUCAGGAAUAUUUACUCCCAUUUUCACUGCUCCAAGAAUGAGUUCAGGAUUAGACAAGGCCUCGAAAGAGUUGGGGCUAUGUGUACCUUCGAUGUCUCUUUUCUUUGCCGCCGCCAUUGCCUUCUCCUCCACCCUCUCCAUCAUGUUGUGGGCGUUCCUCAGGCUGAAGUGUAGGUUUUCCUCAGUGACCAGUGGGGGAGCAGGGGGCCCCACACUGAUCAUCUCUAUCUCAGGCGACUCGACCCUAUACUGCUGAGGAGUAUUGGCAGCUUUCUCACCAUCGCCACUUACUUCCAUCACCUGCCGAAAUUUUUUAACAACAUCAGAGUAAGUUCUUUUGGGGCAUUCCAGGUUACGCAUCGUAGUUUUCACAACACAGGGGCUUACUUUGUUCUGUUCCAUCUCAUAGGCCAUUGUCUCAAUGAGAAAUGUGGUAUGGAGUGAAUCAUCUGAUUCCACACUCUCCUGCGAGUCCCUGAUGGGGUCUGUUUUUCCACCCCUAGAAAUGAAAGGGCAUUUCACAGAUGGUUCAACAGGAGGUUUGUUCUCUGUACUUUCAUGUGGUAGAAGGGGACAACUCUUUCCAUCAGCAUUUCCAUCAGGUUCAGCAAGCGUCUGAACAUCUUUUUUUCCUCUGUUAGGAUCUCUCACCAGGAUUUGUUCCACCUCAUAAAAGACAUCAUAAAAGUAAUCUCCCAGAACAGCUUUAGCAAUCACAUGGAUCUCAUCCACGUUUCUGCACCCAAGCCUCACCCGAGCAGAGGUCGGGCGAUGCAAAGUAGCAGCAUCAAUCUCCAAGGGGACCCCAACUAGUGAUGCCACAUAUGCCAGAUUUCUUUCACUCCUCUUGUCGAGCGGCACAUUACUGACCUUAACCCAUGCUAUCUCCAUCUUGCCCUUAGCCCCAACCGCAGAUGACCACGGUGUGGCAUGUAUGACAGCACCACUAGUCUUAAGCGUCACCCUCCCCACAUAACAAAUCUGAGCAACAACCCUUGGAUUAGGAAAUCUCACUAUGAAGACCCCUGGCCCUAUAGCAUGAGCAGAGCAACGCCAAUCAGUGGCUAAGUAAGCUGAGAGGUCUAACUCCAUCUGACGCGUAGAAGUCUCUCCUUCCACAAUGGUGACCACAAUAUUAUUAGCCCUAGCUUUUUGCUGAUUGGCUGAGCAGGAAUCGUGAAUGUAGUAAAAACCCUGCCCCUUAGACUGAAAAGCACACAUGGGCGCAACGCAUUCCCAGGGCAAAAAUUCCACACACACAUAUGCUAGAUGACCUAAUUUUCUGCAUCUCUCGCAGUAGGCUUGCGGACAGCGAGUAGGGGGGUGCUCAUGAGAUUUGCAAAUGAGGCACGUAUCUGCUUUUUUGGUAGGAGGCACCUGAGCAGGGGGCUGCUUCCCCUGAGGACGAUCUGAUGGCGGGGCUGGUUGCUUUCCGGUGGUGUUGCCGCCCGAGACGUCUGGGCCUUCUGCACCCAGACACCACCGCUCUGGAUCUCCCUGCGGUUGGUCGCUGCCGCUUCGUCCCAGCGCGCGGUAUCCUCCACCAACGCGAUGUUGGACGAUGUCGAGAUGCCGUAGCUGUCGCCUUCUUCACGCCUCCACGAGAACUUGCUCCGGUCGCCUCCCCGGCCGUUGCCGCGGCCAGCCUGCAGCCCCCCUCCGCGAUCCAUGCGCUCGGCCCNNNNNNNNNNNNNNNNNNNNNNNNNNNNNNNNNNNNNNNNNNNNNNNNNNNNNNNNNNNNNNNNNNNNNNNNNNNNNNNNNNNNNNNNNNNNNNNNNNNNNNNNNNNNNNNNNNNNNNNNNNNNNNNNNNNNNNNNNNNNNNNNNNNNNNNNNNNNNNNNNNNNNNNNNNNNNNNNNNNNNNNNNNNNNNNNNNNNNNNNNNNNNNNNNNNNNNNNNNNNNNNNNNNGAUCUAGGAUCUCCGCCUACCUUACUCUCCCACCACUCGAAGGAAUCUGUUUUCUGGAUCUAGGUUUUUCCGCCGCCACCCAGAAAUGGGAGAAUGAGGUCUCUAGGUCAAGGACCGGCGCGGGCCAAGGCUUUAUACCAGCGCUGCUGCCCCGCGGGGGUGGGUGGAUUGCCCCCACAUGUCGAGCAUCCGCCAUUGGUGGGCUCAGGGCCACGGGCGGGUUCGCCUUGGGUCAGUUCGCCCCACCCGUGCACGUCUCCGCUCUCCCGUGUAUCGCCGCGGCUCCCACAUCACCUCCAUACACCGGCACGGUGGUCAACGCCGGCAGCCGAUCCCGAACCUUCACCAAGUAACAAGGAAGCGAGAUCACGUCACCGAUGUCAAUUUCCUCACCCGCACGCAGGAACCGUGCGUCCACCGUCACGCCCCGCUGAUCCGUGAGGACCAGACGGAGAGCCUCCCAUCGCAACGUCGUCGUCGAGCGAGCGCGAGAUGAGAUCGGCGGCGUACGAGACCCUCCAUCUCACGUCGAGGUCGUCGCCGCUCGUGCCGCUUGAACACGCCAUCGCUCGCUGCUGCACGUACUUAGGUAAACAAAUUCCGUGUUACCAGCUCUUGGCCCUUCGCAUCAAAACAGGACUCUGUCAAAAUCUGUCGUUUACAGUGCUGUUAUUGGCAUGUUGUCCAGGUCUGGCAGACUACCUGACGCCGUUAGGUUUUUCGCGGGAUUAACCAACAAAGUGGGACUCAGAAACAUGUAAUGCGAUGAUAUUGUGUAUGCCAGUAGUGAUUUAAUGGAGCAAGCUCUGGGCCUCUUUGUGAUGGCUCUGUGAAAUGCUGUUCUUCCAACUGAGUUCACUUUUGCAAGUGUGCUGGAGAUGGAGCCUGUGUUUUGGUCUGAUGGAGCAGGGCACCCAAAUCCACCUGCUGGUCUAAAAACGUGGGUUUGAGGACGAUAUAAUUGUCCCACUGCUAUCAUUGACAUGUACUAUAAGUUAGGUUCCUUGAAGCAUGUCAGGAAACUCUUCAAUGGUGUCUGUGUCAAGGAUUUGCUGCUAUGGAAUACAAUGAUUGUUGGUAUAUCGCAUAAUGGGAAAGGCAGUGAAGUUGUUCCAGUUACCGAGGCUGAGGCCUCCUACUAAGUAGGAGCAUUUUGCAUAGUCGAAAGGUGAACUUGUUCUUUUUGCUAGCUUUAUGAAUGCCUUUUAUUGGAAGUAUAUAUUCUUGAACCUUUCUAUAACAGAAAUAUACUUGGAAGGAUUAUUUAGCGCAAGAAGAACAAGCGUGAAUGGGAUGAGCAAACUUCUUCGUGGAAGAUGACUUAUGGCUAUGAUCGUGGUAAUGAUGAUAGAGACAUUCCGAUCAUUGAGAUGCAGAGGCCGGGGGUAUUCCUCCUUUUCGAAAAAAGACAUUCCGAUCAUUGAAGCCAGAAUCACAGAUGGUUAGCAACUUGUCUUAUGUAUCUAAUACUUGUGAAUUCAUUUAUUUAUUUCGAGGCAAGACGAGUAAUCUUUUCAAGCUUUCCCAGUGCUGAGUACACAUUGUGGUUAUCAUGUAAUGACGUAACUGCUUAACAGCAUGCAUGCUUCUUCUUAUGUACACCGAUUACUCCACCGUUCGUUUUAAACAUCAUACACUGUUUUCAUUUAUGACCAUUUGAAUCUAACAAUGUAAUUGUUAUGAAAUGUAUCCGUUUUCAAACAUGUUUGCUCAAUCUGUUACCGCUCUAAUUAGAUAUUUGUCUGUGAUAGAGCUUGGUGUUGAUCCUUUUGCUCAAAGGAGGGAGGAGAAGAACAGGGUUGAUUAUCAAGAAAAGAACAUACUUUAGAAUUUAAAGAACGCUGCAAAAUUUAGUGCUCUGCCAAGGUAAUCAUUUCUAUUAUCAUCAUCUGUAUACAUCAUGCACUACUUUGUUUAUUAUCCAUUACAUUAGCAACUCAAGUUUCUCAUCUAACGCUUUCUGAAAAAUACCGGAACCGUGCAGUCAUAUACAGCUUGGUGCCACACCUGUGCCCAUCACUGGGAUUAAAGCGGAUCUGCCUAGAAAAUCUAAAAACAAAGAUGUUGCGAAUCUUCAGUAAUAAAUGUGGUUUUUCCAGUGCUUGGGAAAUGAAUCAAAACUAUACUUUCUGGAAACCUCUAGAAUGUUUUUAAAAGAGAAAGACAGCCUAUAUCUUUAUUUGCUUUCCAUAUUAGUAUGUAGAAAUCACGGAUGUUCUACGGCUCCGCUGUCUGGCAGCUCUUGCCAUCAAGGUAUAUAAAUACAGUUUUUCUUUGCCGAGCUUUGUGCUAAUCGAAAAUAUAAUUUCUUAGUUGCGCCAGAAAUCCGUAUUGCACGUGUAUGUACAAGCUAGUUUGAUUUUUUUUCUCACUUACAUGUCAAUCUAGUUAUGCAGUAUUUUUUGGAUUGCAUAGGUCUAGUCAUUUGGUUUGGUACAAACUAUUUUAGAUCUUUGAGAUCCAGCGCCGCAAUGACCAUUCUCUAGAAUUCUGGAUCUAAAUAUCAGUAUGGUGUUAGCAGCCGUUGAUUUUCUAAUUAGGAGGUUAUAAAUCUAACAAAAAUUCAUUGACGAGGGCAGUAGGUAUAGAAAUCGAUGGUUGUCAUGAUCUGAUAGUUAUGAUUCUUCUCAGGUUAGCAUAUGAUUUGGUUGUAGGACGAGUGCGACCCUAAGGUCUAUAUCACUGUCAAUCUCAAAUCCUACUCUUUGUAUUGAACUAUCUAUUAAAACAGUGCCACGGGAUAUACUAGAUGAAUUGGGAGGUUGGAGUUUUGGCAACCUCGAUCGUAUGAAUGAUGCCAUCUCUAAAGGAGAUACAAGUGCGGAUGGUGAUACCAGAAUAUGCAUCUUAAUAUGUAUGAAUAAAAUAUCUUUAUAUAUCAUGAAUAUAUAGUUGGAAUGGUUUACCAUGAUUCAGAUAUUCUAUUUAUUUCUGCUCUGUAUUCAUGUUCACUACUGGUAUUCGUAUCUGAAGGAAAUAUGCCCUAGAGGCAAUAAUAAAGUUGUUAUUUAUAUUUCCUUAUAUCAUGAUAAAUGUUUAUUAUUCAUGCUAGAAUUGUAUUAACCGGAAACUUAGUACAUGUGUAAAUACAUAGACAAACAGAGUGUCACUAGUAUGCCUCUACUUGACUUGCUCGUUAAUCAAAGAUGGUUAAGUUUCCUAGCCAUAGACAUGAAUUGUCAUUUGAUGAAUGAUAUCACAUCAUUUCAUUAAUUAGAGAAUGAUGUGAUUGACAUGACCCAUCCGUUAGCUUAGCACUAUGAUCGUUUAGUUUGUUGCUAUUGCUUUCUUCAUGACUUAUACAUGUUCCUAUGAGUAUGAGAUUAUGCAACCCCCGAAUAUCGGAGGAACACUUUGUGUGCUAUCAAAUGUCACAACGUAACUGGGUGAUUAUAAAGAUGCUCUACAGGUGUCUCCGAUGGUGUUUGUUGGGUUGGCAUAGAUCGAGAUUAGGAUUUGUCACUCCGUGUUUCGGAGAGGUAUCUCUGGGCCCUCUCGGUAAUGCACAUCACUAUAAGCCUUGCAAGCAAUGUGACUAAUGAGUUAAUUGCGGGAUGAUGCAUUACGGAACGAGUAAAGAGACUUGUCGGUAGCGAGAUUGAACUAGGUAUUGAGAUACCGACGAUCGAAUCUCGGGAAAGUAACAUACAUAUGACAAAGGGAACAACGUAUAUUGUUAUGCGGUUUGACCGAUAAAGAUCUUCGUAGAAUAUGUAGGAACCAAUACGAGCAUCCAGGUUCCGCUAUUGGUUAUUGACCGGAGAUGAGUCUCGGUCAUAUCUACAUAGUUCUCGAACUCGUAGGGUCCGCACGCUUAACGUUCGAUGACGAUCGGUAUUAUGAGUUUAUGUGUUUUGAUGUACCGAAGGUUGUUCGGAGUCCCGGAUGUGAUCACGGACAUGACGAGGAAUCUCGAAAUGGUCGAUACAUAAAGAUUGAUAUAUUGGAAGGCCAUGUUUGGACACCGGAAAGGUUCUGAGUGGUUCGGGCAUUUUUCCGGAGUACCGGGGGGUUACCGGAACCCCACGGGGAGUUAAUGGGCCUUAAUGGGCAAUGGUGGAAGAGAGGAGGAGGCGGCCAAGGUGGGGGCGCUCCCCCCAAGCCCAAUCCGAAUUGGGAGGGGUGCCGGCCCCCCUUUUCUUCUCUCCCUCUCCCUCUUCCUUCUUCUCCUACUCCAACAAGGGAAGGGGGGAAACCUACUCCUAUUGGGAGUAGGACUCCCCCCCUUGGGCGCGCCAUAGAGAGGGUCGGCCCUCCCCUCCUCCACUCCUUUAUAUACGGGGGAGGGGGGCACCCCAUAGACACACAAGUUGAUUGUUUAGCCGUGUGCGGUGCCCCCCUCCACAGAUUUCCACCUCGGUCAUAUCAUUGUAGUGCUUAGGCGAAGCCUUGCGUUGGUAACUUCAUCAACACCAUCAUGACGCUGUCGUGCUGACGAAACUCUCCCUCGACCCCAGCUGGAUCUAGAGUUCGUGGGACGUCACCGGUGAGCUGAACGUGUGCAGAUCGUGGAGGUGACGUACGUUCGGUGCUAGGAUCGGUCGGAUCAUGAAGACGUACGACUACAUCAACCACGUUGUCAUAACGUUUCUGCUUUCGGUCUACGAGGGUACGUAGACACAUUCUCCCCUCACGUUGUUAUGCAUUUUCUAGAUAGAGCUUCCGGUAGGAAUUUUUUUGAAAUACUGCGUUCCCCAACAGUAUCUAUUCUUGAAUAAACAUAUUCAUCUAUCUUCUUAAUCUGGCUAUGACGUGAAUAUGAUUUUCUAUUAUGGAGCUGCUUUUGAUCAGUUCCCGCCCUUGUCACCAUCUACUUUUCUUUUUUUCUUUGUUUGAAACCAUCUGGUGGGAAUAUUCAACUGAGUUAUCCACUCUCGCUAUACUUGCUUUAUGGAGCACUUAUGGGGCCUGCCUGGAGUUAGAAACCACCCUGACCAGUAUUCAUUGGUUAUGCCUGAAUAUUCAACUGAGUUAUCCACUCUAGCUAUAUUUGCUUUAUGGAGCACCUAUGGGAAUAUCCAACUGAGUUAUCCACCAAUCUAAGUUGUUUAUUUGUUAUGGUGCCAUUAAAUAAUCAGGACAAUUCUUGCUGAGUAUAAUUUUAAUAUAGAUCUGUGUUUAGGAACACAUCUUAUAUGUUGUCCAGAGGGCAUUCUCUCUUUGGGCACUGCACUUAAGAUGUAACAGAAAACAAGAUGCUAAUAUAUAGGCGGAAAGUGUUUCCGCGGACCUAAUAUAAAUAAUAGAGGCUUAGUCUCUAAUACUAUUUAUUUAGAGUCAAUGGUCUAAAGAUAAUAUCAAUAAGGCCUAAUAGGGAAAAGUAGCCUAUUGGCCCAAUAAGGUUGUGGCGCCCCCUAGCUUAUUGGAUAAGCUUUGGGGACCGAAUUGAAGUUGGGGGAGGACUCCUCCCCUAGGCCCCUCCUCCAAGUCGCCACCCCUCCCCAACACCUAUAUAUACAAGAGGAGGGUGCGCCUCCUAGAACAUAAGUUUCUCCCGUUGUCUCGUGCCCCCCCCCCCCAUCUCUAGUUCUAAUCUUGACCUAUUUAUAGUUCUCUAGUUCCUCAUAAUAGAGAAGCCCCGUGAGGUUCUAUUCUUCCUCCUCUAAUUAACUCUCCGAUGAUGAUUUGCUUUGGACGGUGAAGCGCUGACGGAUCGUGAAGCUUGUAUGCCUGGAAUCAUCUGUAGAGAGGUCGUGAUUACGGUCUUCGGUUCGAGGGAUCGUGAAGCCUGUAUGCCUGGAAUCUGUAGAGAGGUCGUGAUUUCGGUCUUCGGUUCGAGGGAUCGUCCGUGAACGGUUCAAGAGACUUCAUCGAUGAUCUACGCGAACUCUUCUUCCGCUACAAAUCGAAGUUGCUAACGAUCCGAUCUAAACCUUUAAUGCAACUUCAUAGUGUUCCUGGGAUCGUGAUCGUAGGGUGAUUUUUUUGUUUUCUGCUACGUUUCCCAACAUUAAUGACCAAUUGUAGCCGGAGCAAAAUUGGGUACAUAAGUGUACUUGCUAUUAGGACCGUUCAGAGCUCCAGGGCGCACACUACUAGAUGGUACCAUAUUAGCGGAGUUCGACAUGAAACAUUGUUGAGGAGCGCAUACUAGCGGCGUUCGGAGGGAACACUGUUGACUGUGCAAAUAUAUAGAGUGUUUGGCUCGAGCACUGCUAAUAACAUGUUACCAGCGGCGUUGUACUAGCUACCCCACCCAUACGCUGCUAGUAAGCACAUUUGAACCCUACUAAUGAGGGGUUCUGUACUAGUGUUGUCAUCACCAACCUAUUCUCCAUCAUCACCAUCAUGAUAUCUUCAUGUGGAGUAAUUGCUUCGUAAGCUCAUGGAGUGGAUGGGAAUUGGAUGAGAUCUCUUAUGUAAUAGUUACUAGAUUUGUUAGGGUUUAAUGCCUGGUACCUUGUAUGUUAUCUUGAUGUUGCUAUGAUUUUGAUAUGCUUAAUGCUUGACCCGAGGGCCUGAGUGCCAUGAUUUUAGAUUUGGACAUUUUAUUAUUUCAUGAAUAUACAUGUAUUUUGGAUCAUAUCUACAAGCUUAUGCACUUUUUAUAUUUAUGAACCGGAGGCCUUAAAGUGACGACAAUCAGGGUAACAAAGGGAAUGACUAUUAUUCGAGGAUUAUCAUUGAUUAUUAAUGUGGUGCUUUGUCAAAUGUGUGCAUUAAUUACCCGUAAUUUUCAAUAUGACCCACAAAAAUAGGAGGAUGGGACAAAAGAUGUGAAAAUUCUUAUCUCAAGCGCAUACAACUACAUACAGAAUACAUGCCUACUUAUAAUUGAUGAAUGGGAUCUAGCCUAUUCUCGCCAUAUGUUACAGUAUUAGAUAAUUGAAUCUAUCCAUGCAGCAUCCACAAUCCAUCCCCAUGCAUACACUUUUUAUUAUUUUCUCUCUCUUUAAGUCACUUUUGUUCUCGGCAAUUGCUGGGAAUUACUAAUUUUGAUAUUAUUCUGCAAUCUGCACAACGCCUUUGCUAUAAAUAAAUUCUCUAGAGCGAGUAUUUGUUUCCAGGUGUGGUUGAAUUGAGAACUCAACUACUAGAGCUUAUAAAUAUUCUUUGGCUCCUUUUGUGUUGAAUCAAUAAAUUUUGGUUGUAAUAAUUCCCUCAAAAGUUGUUGUGAUCCCUGCACUUAUAGAAUAUCUUAUUGUAUAUCACACGCAUAAACAACAAAAUUCUUGAUCACGUUGUGGUCAUGGUAGUAUGUAUGCAUGUCAUAUCACACUAUACAAUACAUGAUAUACUUAAUUGUAAACUAGAACAUGUUGUACAAUUUCUCAUGAGGUUAUUUAUUAAUUUUCCUCAUUUUAUAUUGGUAAUAUUAAGUCAAAUCACAUGGAUACACAGAAACUUCUGUAUUCAAGAUUACAGAUACUGCACGGCCGCAUCGUGCAAUGGAUGAAAAUCAUAUUUUAUUCAUGACGGUGGCGAGAAGGGAAGACACCAUGUAGUGAGGAACACCAGGGAUUCCCGCCAUAGAGAACUACAGUGUGCUACUUAGUCUACUAAAUGGGAGGGCGAUAGAGCAUGUUUCUGCGAAGCGUCUAUGCCAGAUGAAGUAUGCUUUACACAUUCACUCUCGCAAACUUCCAUUCUAACAUACCACUUGUUGGUCACUAAACAGCAGAAACAAUAUGACUUCUUUUUGCACAACGGAUCUCCUUUUUCAUAGACGCAUAAUCCAGAAGGUAAAUUGAUCUUUUCAUUUUCUUGACCUUCCAUGAUUUGGCCUACAGAAUACAUGAAAUCAUUAAUGUAUUCAAAAGCAAUUGUUUGAUGAGCUACAAAGAAACGACCAAAAUCAUAGACAAAAUUCUCUGACUUGGGAAUCUGUAAGCACCUCUAGAUUCAACCACAACAUAUGUACUAUAUUUUAUCAUAGAAAAAGUAUUCACAAAAAUAAUAAAGUGUAUUUUCUAAUACUAGUCGUUGGUUUAUAGCCACUUACACUGUAUGGAUCACAGAGUACAUGAGAAAUCCACAGAUUAUGGUAAAUGCAGAGAAGGAGUUCAUGUACUUUUCCAUCUAAUUAGCGCAGUGCAAUGGUAGGUGCUUUAGUAGUGUUCCUCACGGUAGUUAGAGUAUGUUUUCUUCUUACAAGCAACAAUGGAAGAUGUUUGGUGUGUCCUAGCACCAUCCUUAUAUAUACAUACAUAUCGCUACAAAAAUGGACAAACAUAAAAUUUAAAUAGGAACAUAUAAGUGAAUGUUUUAAUUCUUUGCACCACAUCCCAAAUUUAGUAUCUAUAUUUGGAAAACAGCGUAAAUAUGGGUGGCAGUUUAACAUGCUAAAUAUUUCUCUUAUUAAUGACAUACCAAAUCUGGAAGAGUAUAUCUUCUAUAACUAACGGUUUCCUAUAAAUCUUCCGUUUAACACGCUAUAGGACGGCCCACACAACACGCUAUACAUUAUGUAGGUGCCGCACAUUAUAUAUAUAUUCAAAAUUUCAUUUCUGAACCCUUUAUAGGAUUUUACUACUGCCAACGUCCUGCCAUAAAUGGACGCAACUAACUUGCAUAAUCACCAGCAGCGUCCAUGCAAAAGUCCAACGCUGCAACUGUGUGAUCAUUAGCGGCGUCCAGGAAAAAAAACGUUGCAAGCAAUGUACAUGAGGGCAGAGGCUGCGUUAUAAACAUCUGGCAGCGUGCGGGCACGUCACACGCCAUCAAUUUCACCUAUUGUAGCAGCAUGCGGGGAAGAUGGGCACGCGGCUACUAUCAUAUCUUACACCAUGUGUACGGCCGAUCAUGUCGGUCUUUAAACUUUGCGGCGUGUAGCCCGAGCGAACGAUGCUAACUUUUACAAUCUUGUAGCGUUUUAGUUGGGCCAAACGCUGCGAAGGGUUGCGCCCAACAAUUGAUCACCCUUUCUUAUAAAUUAAAUCCCCUAGAAAAAUGCAAAACAACAGUCCAUUAUAGAAGGCGUUUAAACAGAAAAAUUAUAUAACUUAGUAGCAGCGUGUACAUAUGUUAUUUUAAUUUCUUAAAAUGCAAAUGAAGUCCCAAAAAAUAUGAAACUUGGUACACUGUAAUGAUAUGACACCUAGAGGCUAUGGUAAUUCUUUUUAGAGAUUACACAAAAAUUAUCACGUAAAGUACUUAGAAAACGCGCCAUCUCGAACGAAGAAUUUGUGGUUUCGAGAGGGAACCGAUCAAGUUUAAGGGGAAAUCGUCGCCUUUGUCGGUUGGUUUGGAAACUUCUUUUGUAAGUCAUAGCAAAUUUUAGAUUUUUUAAUUAGUACUAUAAUUUACUUAAAAAACAAAAAAAACUGGAAGAACAAACUAGCAGCGUGCUUACGUAGUCACACUCUGCUAGUGACAGUAUCACUAGCAGCGUUCGAGCAUCCUGACACGCUGUUAAUUUUGUCUCCAAAAUAGUGCUUGUCUGCAAAACAGUGGCCGGUCCUCCACUUAUCCUCUCAAUCCCACCUCGUCCUCCUCUUCCUCCUACGCCGCGCCAUCGCUCCUCCUAAACCACAUCCACCUUCAACCUCGUUGAUGCGGCGGCUGCCGCCCAUGUCCCCGUUGGACCCUUCUCUCGCAUCGCGCCGAUGCCGCUACUGGACCCUCCUCUUGCACUGCCGCGGGCUGGCUGCUGCGACGGUGAGCAUCACAACAAAGGAGUCGUGUGUGGGGUGCCUUCUGCUGCUGGUGAAUGGGACGAUAAACACCGACGCUCCUCUUCUUCCUCGAUCCGCUCAUCGCCUAGUCGUGCGCCCGGUGAGAUGACGACCCUUCCUCCCUUUCUAUUUUCCUUGCAGUGUUCUGAUUUCCUGUCUGGAUUAAGAGGCAUUGGUUAACUUAGUAUUGAACUCAUGCUCCAGCCAACUCAUCCAAAAGUCCGAACUGAUGAAGAUGGGUGGGGAAUAUAUUUCAACAGACCCACCGUUUGCACCCAACCCCGCAUCACGGGCAACACGUACCAUCCGAGUAAUUGAGUUUGUUCCGACACUUUUUUGACCAACAUGCCGCAUCCAAACUUUACAAAUGACAACGAGGCUGCAACGGUGCACAACAGGUAAAGAUGCCGUUAUGGAAGGUGAUGCCAUGUCGUCUUACGCAUUGCUUCCCGCUCGCUACGACGCUUCACCAACAACAUCUUUGCCAUCGACCUCGGCAUCAACAUCCUGUUGUUCUCCAGACUCCAGGGCACCACUUGCAAGAGAUCUAGCGAGGCCAUGAACAUGCAGUAGAAAAAGGCAAGGAUGCGUGUUCAUCUGUUAACAACAUCACCUGUUGAAUAUAUGAGUAAAUUACUACAAAAUUUAAUUCGAACAAACAGUAAAUAAAUCAUGACGACGAAAACAGAGUGUGACGCCCCCUAUUCAAUCGUACAUUAAUCAUACACGCAAACGUGUACGAUCAAGAUCAGGGACUCACGGGAAGAUAUCACAACACAACUCUAGACACAAAUAAAAUAAUACAAGCUUUAUAUUACAAGCCAGGGGCCUCGAGGGCUCGAAUACAUAGCUUGAUGCACAAGAGUCAGCGGAAGCAACAAUAUCUGAGUAUAGACAUAAGGUUAGACAAGACUGCCUUAGAAGGCUAGCACAAACAUCAACGGUCGAAGAGGCAAGGCCUCCUGCCUGGGACCUCCUAACUACUCCUAGUCUUCGGCGGCCUCCAUGUAGUAGUAUCCGUCGGCGGUGGCAUCUGGCUCCAGGGAUCCGCCAUCUGGUUGCAUCAACCGGAAAGAAGGAGGAAGGGGGGAAAGGGGUAGCAAAGCAACCGUGAGUACUCAUCCAAAGUACUCGCAAGCAUCAGAUCUAUACUAAGUAUGCAUUGGUAUCAUAUGGAAGGGUUAUAUAUGUGGACUGAACUGCAGAAUGCCAGAAUAGAGGGAAAGGCCUAGCCUAUAAAAGACUAGCAUCUUCAAGCAGCUCCAAGCAUCUUGCAGCAUGUAGAAGAGUAAACAAUAGCAGAUUAUAUUUAACAAACAUGUUGUAGCAUUAAUGCCCAGAGAUCCUUCCUCGACUCCCUGCGAUAAAGCAAUCCCGGGGCCACAUAUCUCAAGUAUCCAUUUCUAGUUGUAAAAGAUCAGAAUAUAAGUCUGAACGUCCGUUACCGUGGACACGACUAUUAAUAGAAAAUCUUCCCUGCAGGGGUGCACCACGUUUUCCAACACGCUUGAUUACUCUGGACGGACACACUUUUCUGGGUCAAUGCCCAGCCUCGGAAAAUCAACGUUGUAGCCCUACCUAGGCUCAGCAGAGAGGUCCCCGCCGGUCUACAUCCUAAGCACUCCGGGGUCUGGGCCCAUUGCCCGUUGCACUCCGGGUCGUUGUGCGCAAGGGGAUACUAGAACCACCUCUGCCUAGAUGGCGCGAUCCGGCCCGGCCACAAUGCUGAACUGGACGUCUAACAAAGCUUCGGCUGAUACUACGAUGCCGAGGCCCAUAACUAUUCUCGCGUGGUGGUUAGUUCGUAAAGGCCAGAGGCCAACUCAUAACAAAUACCCAAACCAUAGUGUAUUAUUAGCUUUUGGAGACGAGCAGAGACUCAUGAUAAUGUGACCCCGUCGCCCCGUCUCGAGGAAAUACGGCAAGGGCUAGCCCAGCCCACUCGGGGGCGGCCUGCCUGCCCGGCCGUGCCUCGUAACCAUCUUGCGGGUGCUCUCCGGGCCCGCCCGACUUUCCCAAAGGUCUCAAGUAAAGUUAGGGUAACCGUGUGUCCAAACAUCAAGGGGAAAACCCGCGGAAUCACCCCUGGUGAAUUCCACUUGAUGUAAUCAUCAAGGUGAACGUAAGAGGAACCACCCUCGAGGUUCACACUUGAGGGGUUGCACGAGAGAGCCGUAUCGGGAGUGCUGAAGGAGGAACCACCCUCAUUGACCACGACCAAAUAGCUACACUACAGAGUUGUCAUCGGGAGUGCGUUCUGAGGUCUCACCCUCGUCACUCGAUAAUAGCUCUACAGAGUCGGGCAACAAAAGGGGCGUGAUGUGAUGUGAGGUGUCGGGCUCUGGUCGUCGAUCACGUUGAUCGAGUCGUCGAUGAUGAAGCAGGGGCAACAAGGACAAGGUGGGGGUCACAGAUGGAUCACUAACCAACCUAUACUAAGAAGUUUAGGAUAAGCAGGUAAGGUACAAUGAGCAGGUUACAAAAGCAGGCUAUGCAUCAGAAUAGGAGCAAUCAAUUACAGUAGCAAAAUCUAAUGCAAGCAUGAAAGAAUGGAAUGGGCGAUAUCGGGAUGAUCAAAGGGGGGGCUUGCCUGGAAGUUCCGCUGAAAGGGAAGAAGGCUCGUCGGUGACGUAGUCGAUCACAGGGGCAUCGGCAUCGGUCUCGGGGUCUACCGGAGAGAAGAGGGGGAAGAAAUAGUAAAUACAGAGCAAACAUAUACAUGACAAGCAAUAAGCAGCGCUAGGGGUGUUCUAACGCGACACUACACGAUACUGGCAAAGGGAGGAAACAUCCGGGAAAGUUUUCCCGAAGUUUGGCAUUUUCAGACAGAUGAAACGGAGGGGGACGGUUGCAGGUUUGCUAUGCUAGGGACGUGUGGCAGACGAACAGGCUGCAUACUCAGAUUCGUCUCAAAAUUCUGAGCAACUUUAAUGUAGAAAACUUUUUCAUCCGAGUUACUGAUUAUUUCCUAUGUUUUUCAAAGAUUUAACAAUAUUUUGGAUUUAUUAUUAAUUUGAAAAUAAAUGCUAAAAUGCUAGGGACACCCAGCACAGGGUACACAAAAGUGCACCCAGUGGCUGACAGGUGGGCCAGGGGGUCCCAGUUGACCAGUCAAUGUUUGACUAGUCAAUAGGGUGUGGGGCCCCCUGUCUUACACACAACAGCUAACCUAACAGUUUAAUUAGACUAGUUAUGUAAUUAAGCUAAUUAAACAGAGUUAAUUAAGUUAAUUAACUUAUUAAUUAAUUAAUUAACUAUUAUUCUUUAACCCUUUUUAAAAUAACAGGGGCGUGGGGCCCCCUAGUCAGUGGGUCGGGGGGGCUUAGCGGGCGACGGGCUAACGAGGCUGCGGGCGGGGGUGUGGGCGCCCGCCUGAACACGCACGGGCGUACAGGAGCGACUGGGCGGCGGCGCCGGAUGCUAGAGGAGGCCGCGGGCGCGACGUCUGGGGCGGCGCGACGAGCGACGGGGCCGCUGAGCUGGAGCGGGGCGAGGUCAAGGCGCGGGCGAGCGGGUGCGUGCCGGCGAGGGCGGUCGCCGACGGCGGGCGCAGGAUGCAGGCCCAUUGGUGGCGUGGUGGGACUGCGACGCGACCCGUGUGGGCAUAGGCGGCGGCAGUGGCAAAAGGGGGGUCCGCGACGGCCAGAGCCAGCAGGCCAGGGGAGGCACCCGGGACGCGGGCAAGGCACGACGACUACGGCGUCCGGCAGUGAAGGAGAGGGGAAGGGGAAGAGGGCUCACGAGGCCUUGUAGAUGUGCUAAAGUGAGCUCGGGGCAGCGGUGGUCGACGAUGGGGACGGCGACGACGCGAUGGAGCCGCUGGGGAGGAGGACGGGGACGAUCCGGUGAAGUCGGGGAGGCGGUCGGGCGAGGGGGGCUCCACGCGGCGGCGGUUGUCGGGUGACGAGAGAGCGUCGGGGCGCAGCGGGGUCGAUGCGCGGCCAGCGGGCGCCAGGCGUAGGGACGUCAGCGGGGUCGGGCGCUCCGCCGAGAUCCAGACGGGAGGAGGAGAAUGGGAUCGUGGGAGUGGGGAACGUGGGGGAGUGAGGGGGUCGUGCGGGGGAAAAGAUCCCAGGGAGCUGACGAGGAGAGGGGGGACUCGGUCUUAUGCCCACGCGGCAUGGGCUGGUAGGCCAGCUGGGCCAGUUGGCCCAGUGGGGGGAGGUCUUUUUUUGUUUUGCCUUUUUUUUGGUUGUUUCUCCUUGUUCUUUUAUUUACUUUUGUUGUUUAAUUUAAUUUUGAAUAUUGAAAUCGAACGUGAUUGAAUCAUCACGAGGUUAACAACAGUAAUUGCGGUGACGUGGCAUCAUUAGCAUGGGAUUACUGUAGCAUAAUUAUCCGGGUGUUACAAUUCUCCUCCACUACAAGAGAUCUCGUCCCGAGAUUUAGGAGGCAGAAGGAAAAAGUUUGGGGUAUUCAUCAGGAAGGCGAUCCUCGCGUUCCCAAGUGGCUUCGUCUUCAGAGUGAUGCGACCACUGGACCUUGAGGAACUUGAUCGCCUUCUGACGUGUGCGGCGUUCAGCUUGGUCGAGAAUGCGGACCAGAUGCUCUUUAUAGCAGAGGUCCUAUUGCAACUCGAGCACUUCAUGAUUCACUGCUCGGAUUGGGUCCUUGAAGCAGCGGCGGAGUUGUGACACGUGGAACACAUCGUGAACCUGAGAAAAGUUCGACGGUAGUUCCAACUGGUAUGCCACUUUUCCACGCCUUUCGAGAAUAGUGAAUGGACCAAUAUAGUGAGGAGCUAGCUUGCCCUUGAUCCCGAAGCGGUGUGCACCCUUCAUUGGUGUGACCCGAAGAUAAGCCUUUUCACCAGGUUGAUGGACCAUGUCUUUGUGAUGACAGUCAUACUGAGUUUUCUGACGUGACUGAGCAGUCUAGAGAUUCUCGCGAAUAAUGCGGACUUGUUCUUCGGCGUGUUGGAUAAUAUCCGGACCGAAGAGUGGACGUUCCCCAGUUUCUGACCAGUUCAGAGGGGUUCGACACUUUCGUCCAUAUAACACUUCGAAGGGGGGCCAUCUUCGGACUAGCUUAAUAGUUAUUGUUGUAGGAGAACUCAGCAUACGGGAGAGAUUCCUCCCAUUUCUUGCCGAAGGAAAUAACACAAGCUCGAAGCAUGUCUUCGAGAACUUGAUUGACACGUUCAACUUGUCCCUGCGACUGAGGUUGAAAAGCAGUGCUGAAAGACAGAUGAGUUCCCAUAGCUUGUUGGAAACUUGCCCAGAAUCUUGAAGUGAAUAAGCUGCCACGGCCUAAGCUGAUUUCCAGCGGACUACCGUGAAGUGAAACAAUUCUGGACAUAUAGAGAGUUGCCAACUGACUAGCAGUGAUGGUUUCUUUGACGGCCAGAAUGUGUGCAACUUUAGAAAGCCGGUCAAUGACGACAAGAAUAGCAUCAUUACCUUUCUGUGAUUUGGGAAAACCGGUGACAAAGUCCAUUCCGAUUUCCAUUCAGGAAUAGAGAUAGGUUGCAGAGUUCCAGCAGGCCUUUGAUGUUCUGAUUUUAUACGACGGCAAACAUCACAUUCAGCAACAUAACGAGCAAUGUCCUGCUUCAUAUUUGACCACCAGAAUCUCUGACGAAUGUCUUGGUACUACCGGGAUGAAUAGACAACGGAGUGUCAUGAGCUUCUCUCAUAACUUCCCGAGUCAUAUCCAGGUUGUCUUUUGAAGGAACCACUAGGCGACCUUUAAAGAACAAGGUGCUAUCAUCUUCAAGAGUGAAGAACGAGGGCCUUCCUUCUGCGAGGUAGCACUUAAUCUUCUUAACUUGAGAGUCAUACUUCUGUAGUCUCUUGAUGCUCUCCACGAGAUCUGGUUCGACAACCAGGGUAUUGAGGGAACCCUGAGGAACAACACGGAGGUUCAUCUUGCGGAACUCUGGAGGAGGGGGAGCGAGUGCACCAGGUGGAACAAUAUGGAGGUUCAGCUUUUUGAAUUCUUCAAGAAGCGAGGGCUGAACUUUGUGAACCUGGAGGCGGUUGCAAUAGGACUUGCGGCUCAAGGCAUCAGCCAUUACAUUAGCCUUACCUGGUGUAUAAGAAAAACCCAAGUCAAAAUCUGCUACGGUCUCCAUCCAUCUCUGCUGACGGAGGUUCAGGUCUGGCUGGGUAAAUAGGUACUUCAGACUUUGGUGGUCGGUGAAGAUCUCGCAACGAUUACCAAGAAGGAAAUAUCGCCACUACUUCAGUGCAAAUUUAACUGCAGGAAGAUCAAGGUCAUGGACUGGGUAGUUCUUUUGGAAAGGCUUGGAAUUCACAAACGGCUGGAGACUUUUCAAUUCCCACAAGAGGAGAAGCGUUUACGCGUUCAAGGAAUAAAUCCAUGUUUCGGCAUUAUGAACAAGAUGAGCAUGGUAGCUUACUAUCUCACUCGAAGGAUGUAGUAGAUGGAAGGUUUUAGCGACGCAAAUGAUAGAAGCGGUAUGUGUUUCAACCAUUCCAUUCCCAGAAUGAGGUCGAUAUUGGAAGACUUCAAAGCAAUGGGGGAAACAUGGAAUUCCAGCCCUUCAAUUUCAAAGGGGAUGUUGGGACUAACCCUGGUGGUUCGACAUUGGCCCGCAGAAUGCAGCUUGGAAUUCUGGCCAAGUAAUGGCGGUUCCAACAGGUAAGGAACGACUGUGGCUGUCCUACCAUUGAGCAGCAGGACCUUUCAGGUAGUAAGCCGCGAAGGUGGCAUAGUUGGAAGGGGCUAUAUCAGCAAACUCUAACUCGAAAGUGAUGUCAUAGAGCCAGUUACAGCAUGAAGUGGCUGAGACGAGUUGCGGUAGAUGACAGGGUUGAGACGCGCAAAGACUUACAGAGUUACUGGGGUUGGCUGCUGAUUCAUAUUGGGGUGCGGAAACUGAGCCAUGACUCAUACCAUGAACUGGCGAUUCAACAUCAAACUGUUGUAUCAUUCCGGCCAUGUAUUCUGGAGGUGGUGGAUUGUUGGGACCACGGCCACAUCCAGCGGGUCUAACCCGCCCUGCUUAAAUGCGACAAGGACGGGGUAGUUCAGCAAGGGUUUGUGCAAGUGUAUAGAGUCAUUCAUGACGUAUCUUGGACAACGAGCAAAGGCAUUGUAUGUACAAAGCCGUAGUCAUUGAAGACAUACAUAUAAAAAUGUAGAGCCAAUUACACGUUGUUCGUAUGAGUUCGGACAAGAGAAGAACCUUAGACAUACUAGGCGGCACGUAUGCACGCGAUGGAGGGAUACAAUAGCGGGACAUAGCAAAGGCUACAUCAACGUCAGGGAAAACCUCUGGAACGAGGGAUUUGAAAGUGACAAUGCAGGGUGCCCUCGAUAAGAGGAUCCUGCGGUCAAUGAACAUUAUGAAGCAGAUAUUGGCCCUUAAUUCGAGAAAGGCGUAAUACAAAUCUCCGGAUGGAUGUGAUCACGAGAACCUAAUGUUAGACUUAGCAAAAUCAUUUAACCCGAAUAAAAGAGAGAUCAGAGUCCCAGAGUAUAAACGAGGAGUAAAAGAUCCUAAUACCACCCAAUGGCGACGUGGGCCCGUAAGCCACACAGCCAUGUUAGUAAAUCAGUUAUUCAAAGACUAGAUUCAACUUCGGCCAAGGAGUUGGAAAUGGGGGUUCCUACAGGCAGUCGGCUCUGAUACCAACUUGUAACGCACCCGAUUCAAUCGUACAUUAAUCAUACACGCAAACGUGUACGAUCAAGAUCAGGGACUCACGGGAAGAUAUCACAACACAACUCUAGACACAAAUAAAAUAAUACAAGCUUUAUAUUACAAGCCAGGGGCCUCGAGGGCUCGAAUACAUAGCUUGAUGCACAAGAGUCAGCGGAAGCAACAAUAUCUGAGUAUAGACAUAAGGUUAGACAAGACUGCCUUAGAAGGCUAGCACAAACAUCAACGGUCGAAGAGGCAAGGCCUCCUGCCUGGGACCUCCUAACUACUCCUAGUCUUCGGCGGCCUCCAUGUAGUAGUAUCCGUCGGCGGUGGCAUCUGGCUCCAGGGAUCCACCAUCUGGUUGCAUCAACCGGAAAGAAGGAGGAAGGGGGGAAAGGGGUAGCAAAGCAACCGUGAGUACUCAUCCAAAGUACUCGCAAGCAUCAGAUCUAUACUAAGUAUGCAUUGGUAUCAAAUGGAAGGGUUAUAUAUGUGGACUGAACUGCAGAAUGCCAGAAUAGAGGGAAAGGCCUAGCCUAUAAAAGACUAGCAUCUUCAAGCAGCUCCAAGCAUCUUGCAGCAUGUAGAAGAGUAAACAAUAGCAGAUUAUAUUUAACAAACAUGUUGUAGCAUUAAUGCCCAGAGAUCCUUCCUCGACUCCCUGCGAGAAAGCAAUCCCGGGGCCACAUAUCUCAAGUAUCCAUUUCUAGUUGUAAAAGAUCAGGAUAUAAGUCUGAACGUCCGUUACCGUGGACACGACUAUUAAUAGAAAAUCUUCCCUGCAAGGGUGCACCACAUUUUCCAACACGCUUGAUUACUCUGGCCAGACACACUUUUCUGGGUGAAUGCCCAGCCUCAGAAAAUCAACACGUCGUAGCCCUACCUAGGCUCAGCAGAGAGGUCCCCGCCGGUCUACAUCCUAAGCACUCCGGGGUCUGGGCCCAUCGCCCGUUGCACUUCGGGUCUUUGUGCGCAAGGGGAUACUAGCACCACCUCUGCCUGGAUGGCGCGAUCUGGCCCGGCCACAAUGCUGAACUGGACGUCUGACAAAGCUUCAGCUGAUACUACGAUGCCGGGGCCCAUAACUAUUCUCGUGUGGUGGUUACUACGUAAAGGCCAGAGGCCAACUCUGAACAAAUACCCAAACCAUAGUGUAUUAUUAGCUUGCGGAGACGAGCAGAGACUCACGAUAAUGUGACCCCGUCGCCCCGUCUCGAGGAAAUACGGCAAGGGCUGGCCCAGCCCACUCGGGGGCGGCCUGCCUGCCCGGCCGUGCCUCGUAACCAUCUUGCGGGUGCUCUCCGGGCCCGCCCGACAUUCCCAAAGGUCUCAAGUAAAGUCCGAGUAACCGUGUGUCCAAACAUCAAGGGGAAACCCCGAGGAAUCACCCCCGGUGAAUUCCACUCGAUGUAAUCAUCAAGGUGAACGUAAGAGGAACCACCUUCGAGGUUCACACUUGAGGUGUUGCACGACAGAGCCGUAUCGGGAGUGGUGAAGGACGAACCACCCACAUUGACCACGACCAAAUAGCUACACUACAAAGUUGUCAUCGGGAGUGCGUUGUGAGGUCUCACCCUCGGCACUCGAUAAUAGCUCUACAGAGUCGGGCAACAAAAGGGGCAUGAUGUGAUGUGUGGUGUCGGGCUCUGGUCGUCGAUCACGUUGAUCGAGUCGUCGAUGAUGAAGCAGGGGCAACAAGGACAAGGUGGGGGUCACAGAUGGAUCACUAACCAACCUAUACUAAGCAGUUUAGGAUAAGCAGGUAAGGUACAAUGAGCAGGUUACAAAAGCAGGCUAUGCAUCAGAAUAGGAGCAAUCAAUUACAGUAGCAAAAUCUAAUGCAAGCAUGAGAGAAUGGAAUGGGCGAUAUCCGGAUGACCAAAGGGGGGCUUGCCUGGAAGCUCCGCUGAAAGGGAAGAAGGGUCGUCGGUGACGUAGUCGAUCACAGGGGCAUCGGCAUUGGUCUCGGGGUCUACCGAAGAGAAGAGGGGGAGAAAUAGUAAAUACAGAGCAAACAUAUACAUGACAAGCAAUAAGCAGCGCUAGGGGUGUUCUAACACGGCACUACACGAUACUGGCAAAGGGAGGAAAUAUCCGGAAAAGUUUUCCCGAAGUUUGGCAUUUUCGAACAGAUGAAACGGAGGGGGACGGUUGCAGGUUUGCUAUGCUAGGGACGUGUGGUAGACGAACGGGCUGCAUACUCAGAUUCGUCUCGAAAUUCUGAGCAACUUUCAUGUAGAAAACUUUUUCAUCCGAGUUGCUGAUUAUUUCCUAUGAUUUUUCAAAGAUUUAACAAUAUUUUGAAUUUAUUAUUAUUUUGAAAAUAAAUGCUAAAAUGCUAGGGACACCCAGCACAGGGUACACAAAAGUGCACCGAGUGGCUGACAGGUGGGCCAGGGGGUCCCAGUUGACCAGUAGGGUGUGGGGCCCCUGUCGUACACACAAAAACUAACCUAACAGUUUAAUUAGACUAGUUAUGUAAUUAAGCUAAUUAAACAUAGUUAAUUAAGUUAAUUAACUUAUUAACUAAUUAAUUUAUUAACUAUUAUUUUUUAACCCUUUUUUAAAUAACAGGGGCGUGGGGCCCCUGGUCAGUGGGUCGGGGGGGCUUAGCGGGCGACAGGCUAACGAGGUUGCGGGCGGGGGUGUGGGCGCCCGCCCCCGCCUGAACACGCACGGGCGUACGGGCGCGACUGGGUGGCGGCGCUGGAUGCCAGAGGAGGCCGCGGGCGCAACGUCCGGGGCGGCGCGACGAGCGGCGGGGCCGCUGAGCUGGAGCGGGGCGAGGUCAAGGCGCGGGCGAGCGGGCGCAUGACGACGAGGGCGGUCGCCAACGGCGGGCGCGGGAUGCAGGCCCAUCGGUGGCGCGGCGGGACUGCGACGCGACNNNNNNNNNNNNNNNNNNNNNNNNNNNNNNNNNNNNNNNNNNNNNNNNNNNNNNNNNNNNNNNNNNNNNNNNNNNNNNNNNNNNNNNNNNNNNNNNNNNNNNNNNNNNNNNNNNNNNNNNNNNNNNNNNNNNNNNNNNNNNNNNNNNNNNNNNNNNNNNNNNNNNNNNNNNNNNNNNNNNNNNNNNNNNNNNNNNNNNNNNNNNNNNNNNNNNNNNNNNNNNNNNNNNNNNNNNNNNNNNNNNNNNNNNNNNNNNNNNNNNNNNNNNNNNNNNNNNNNNNNNNNNNNNNNNNNNNNNNNNNNNNNNNNNNNNNNNNNNNNNNNNNNNNNNNNNNNNNNNNNNNNNNNNNNNNNNNNNNNNNNNNNNNNNNNNNNNNNNNNNNNNNNNNNNNNNNNNNNNNNNNNNNNNNNNAGCUCGGGCGGCGGUGGUCGACGACGGGGACGACGACGGCGCGAUAGAGCCGCUGGGGAGGAGGACGGGGACGAUGCGCGGCCAGCGGGCGCCAGGCGUAGGGACGUCAGCGGGGUCGGGCACUCCGCCCAGAUCCAGACGGGAGGAGGAGAAGGGUAUCGUGCGAGUGGGGAACGUGGGGGAGUGAGGGGGAUCGUGCGGGGGAAAAGAUCCCAGGGAGCUGACGUGGAGAGGGGGGACUCGGUCUUAUCCCCACGCGGCGUGGGCUGGUAGGUCAGCUGGGCUAGUUGGCCUAGUGGGGGUGAUCUUUUUUUGUUUUGCCUUUUUUGUUGUUGUUUCUCCUUGUUCUUUUAUUUACUUUUGUUGUUUGAUUUAAUUUUGAAUUUUGAAAUCGAACGUGAUUGAAUCAUCGCGAGGUUAACAACAGUAAUUGCGGUGAUGUGGCAUCAUUAGCAUGGGAUUACUGUAGCAUAAUUAUCCGGGCGUUACACAGGGAUUAAACUAAUCAUGCGGACUAGUAUAGUAGAUGAAGAGAUCAAAUCUAGGGCACAGAGUAGAACUAAGAAUUCUAGCACGAUCUCGAACAAGGAGGACAAGAUCACAUACAGUGCAGCGGGAGCAGGACCGCCAGCGUUGAUGUUGUCGCCCAUGUCGUUUAGGAAGAGGUUGCCGAGGUCGGGGAAGAAGUCGGCGGCGGCGAAGUCGUCGCUGCCAGCAGUCGCGCGAGUGCGCUCCCCAAAAACCUGAUCGCUCCUCUCCCAUACAGGAUCACAAGAGGUGGGGCUCCGGAGGCCUGCUGUCCCUUCUCGCGGUGCACUCCGAAAGGAGGGAUGGAGAAGACUUGCUUGGCAGCGCAAUGAUCUGGAACGGUGGUGCGAAACCAUGAGAAACGACGGUGGCUAGGGUAGACGUCUGCCUGACCAUAUAGUGCGGGCCGGGUAGGUCAUGCGAGUAAACCCCACGUCCGAGUCGUCGAGAUCCAAAAGAAUCGAAAACGGUUCAGUAAUUAACGCGUCUGUUGAUUAUUAACUAAUGACUCACUAAUUUUUCCCGAGCAGCAAAAAUAUAGACAAUGUGCAUAGCUCUGUCCUCGGCUCGGCUCAUUCCCGCAACCCGCGGCACGACGAGGCGUGGCGUGGCAUGGCGAGGAGGAGGAGCACGCGUGUAGGUCUCCUCUUCUCAUGCUCUUACAAGUGAUAGAAGAGCUCACCUUAUAAAGAGGUGCAACUCUCACUCAACUUCCGGGGUGGGACUAAACUUUAGUCUCACUCAUACCACUCACAAGCUAUGCAUGAAUGGGCCAAGAGAAUUUCAGAAUUUUAGUUGGGCUUUGGGCCAAAGGCCUACUAGCAAAUUCCAAGAAUCCCCCACAAAGUCUCAUUGGCACAUCUCAUCACUUAGUUCCAAAACAUUGUUUAUACACCGAUGCUUAGUGGAUAGUGUAAAGUUGAACUUCCCGUGAGAGGUUUAUGCUAGACUAGAUCGCAAUUUGAAUAGUGGACUAUGCCUUGAACUACAAGUUUUCUGCGAGACUAGUUUCACACAAAUUCUCGACCGAUACUGGGCUGCCGCAAGGCUUUCCCGUGGGUGGAGCGUAUACGUCAUAGGGCCUUUCAUGAAUUUAUUAGAGAACACCCAAUUCUCGCAGACUGGGACGUUAACAGUCAAAUUCAUAUAGGUGUGUUCCUCGGGAGAUGCUCUGCAGGACAACAUCUCUGCUUACUCAAAUAAGCCACUUGGAACACAUUAAGAUAACUAUCAACUUGCCAUGCAAAUCGGGAGAGUAUUGCAUCUUCAUGGAGUGGGAUAAUUGAAAUAGGGAUACUCUCGUCUCAGCUGACGAACAACUUGUCUCCCACUUCUACUUCACGGGAUCUCCGAUCACAUAGAGUGGGUUACCACUAUGGACAACUCAUGCGGUGGAUCUCAAACCCAUCUCCAUCGAUGCAUUAUCUAUCACAUUACGUGAUAAACCCUUUGUGAAGGGAUAUGUCAAGUUUUUCGACGUUUGGAUAUAAUCCAACGUAAUAACUCCGGAGUUCCUCAAUUUUCUGACAUAUUUUAGUCUCCUCUUCACAUGCCUUGAGGACUUCAUAUUAUCCUUAGAACUGUUUAUCUUGACGAUCACAGUUUGAUUAUCAGAGUUUAUCAUGAUAGGGGGUAUUGGUUUUUCAACCAUAGGUAAGUCCAUCAAGAGCUCACGAAACCACUCUGCUUCAACAGUGGCAGUGUCUAAUGCUGUGAGUUCUGCUUCCAUAGUUGACCUCAUUAAGAUGGUUUGCUUGCAAGACUUCCAGGAAACGGCGCCACCACCAAGUGUAAAAACGUAACCACUUGGGGCCUUAAUCUCAUCAGCAUCAGAUAUCCAAUUUGAGUCACUAUAACCCUCCAGUACCCUUGGAUACCCGGUGUAGUGAAUCCCAUAGCUCGCAGUGCCUUUCAAGUAGCGCAUAACUCUCUCAAGCGCAUGCCAAUGAUCAUCUCCCGGUUUUGACACAAACCGACUCAGCUUGCUCAGAGCAAAAGAGAUGUCAGGCCUCGUGGCACUCGCCAAAUACAUAAGCGAGCCAAUAAUCUGAGAAUACCUAAGUUGAUCUCUAGCCAUAUGUCGAUUCUUUCGAAGAAACACACUAGCAUCAUAUGGAGUUGGAGAAGGCGUGCAGUCGCUAUACCCAAAACGACUCAAGAUCUUUUCCACAUAGUGAGACUGAAGCAGUGUGAUCCCACCAUUCCCAUCUCUCGAUAGCUUGAUGUUUAAGAUAACAUCAACUACUCCUAGAUCCUUCAUCUCAAAACAGCGAGAUAAGAAAUCCUUAACCUCCUUGAUUAGAUCAAGUUUGGUUCCAAAGAUUAGUAUGUCAUCGACAUACAGACAAAGAAUAAAUCCUUCGCCCCCACCAUGGUGAUAGUACACACACUUGUCACCAUCGUUUACUACAAAGCCGGCAGCAGUUAAUGUUCUUUCGAACUUCUCAUGCCACUCCUUAGGAGCUUGUUUAAAGCCAUAUAAAGACUUUAAUAACUUGCACACCUUUCCUUCCUGACCAAGUACUACAAAACCAUCUGGCUGAUCCAUGUAAAUUUCCUCCUUCAACUCUCCAUUGAGAAAAGCCGUCUUAACGUCCAUUUGAUGAACGAGAAGACCAUGUGAGGCAGCCAGUGAUAGUAGCACCCGUAUAGUGCUCAGUCUAGCCACGGGUGAGUAAGUAUCAAAGAAGCCUUCACCUUCUUUCUGGGUAUAACCCUUGGCCACAAGCCGUGCCGUGUACUUUUAAAUCGUACCAUCAGGUCUAAGUUUCUUCUUGAACACCCACUUACACCCUACAGGUUUGCACCCAUAAGGACGGUCAGUGAUCUCCCAGGUUCCGUUAGCUAAGAUGGAAUCCAUCUCGCUACGAACAACUUCCUUCCAGUAGUCAGCAUCAGGAGAUGCAUAGGCUUCUGGUCCUGGGUGUGUCAUCCAUGAGGUACACAAUGAAGUCAUCACCAAAGGACUUUGCAGUCCUCUGUCUCUUACUCCUUACAGGAGUUUCAUUGUCACCCACAACAGGAUUCUCAACAUGUUCCAUCGCAAUCGUUGGUUCAGGAAUUACAUCGAAUUCCUCACUAGAUGGAGUAGGUAUCUCCUGAUUUGAUGAACUCGACAUAUCCUUCAUAGGAAAUAUGUCCUCAAAGAAAGUUGCAUCAUUCGACUCCAUAAUCGUACCAACAUGCAUGUCGGAUACCUCAGAUUUUAUUAUCAAAAAUCUAUAGCUAAUGCUAUGAAAAGCAUAGCCCAGAAGAACACAAUCCACGGUUUUUGGUCCAAGCUUGUGCUUCUUGGGAAUUGGUAUAUUGACUUUCGCCAAACAACCCCAGGAACAUAGGUAAGAGAGUUUCAACCUUUUCAUUUCCCAUUCCUCAAACGGAGUCAUGGUCUUAUGCUUUGUGGGAACUCGAUUUAGGACAUGACAUGCAGUCAUUAGCGCCUCCCCCCACCAUUCCUUGGAAAGACUCGAUGUGUCUAACAUGGCGUUAACCAAAUCAGUUAGAGUUCGGUUCUUUCUUUCGGCCACUCCAUUAGACUGAGGUGAGUAGGGAGGCGUCCUCUCAUGGAUUAUACCAUGUUCCACACAAAGCAAAUCAAAUUCAUUAGAAAAAUACUCUCCACCACGAUCAGACCUUAGCCGUUUAAUUUUUUGAUCAAGUUGGUUCUCCGCUUCAGCUUUAUAGUUUUUCAAGAAAGUUAAAGCCUCAUCUUUUGAUUUCAGAAGAUACCCAUAACAAUAUCUAGUGGAGUCACCAAUCCACGUCAUGAAGUAUCUCUUUCCACCUUUUGUCAACAAGUCAUUCAUCUCAUAAAGAUUAGAAUGUAUAAGCUCUAGUGGCGCCAAGUCUCUUGCCUGUGCAGUCUUAUGGGACUUGCGAGGUUGCUUAGCUUGCACACAUACGUCGCAUUUGGAGCCUUUGACAGUAGGGAUUUUCGGAAUUAAUUUCAUAUUGGCUAGCCGCAUCAUGCAGCCAAAGUUAAUAUGACAAAGUCAUGAAUGCCAAAUAUUAGACUCAUUAUUGUGGCAAACAUUAUUAAUAACUUUAGUGCAAAUAUCUGACAAAGAUAGGCGGAACAAGCCUCCGCACUCAUAGCCUUUUUCAACAAAUUUUCCACACUUGGAAAUUACAACUUUAUUGGACUUAAAAACCAACUUAAAACCAUCUCGACAUAAACGAGAACCGCUGCCGAGAUUCUUAUUGAUGGACGGCACAUGAUGAACUUUCUUCAGAUGCACGGUCUUCCCCGAAGUAAACUUCAGAUCAACCAUACCGACACCUCGAACAAUGGCAUGUGACCCAUUCCCCAUCAGCGCGGGAGAAGUCCCUGUGGCCUGGUAAGAACAAAACAUGGAGGCGUCAGCACAAACAUGUACAUUGGCACUGGUGUCAAUUAACCAAUCAAGAGAUUGAAAUACUGAAAGGAUGGUAGGAAGAAUACCGUACCUAGCUUUCUUCAUAUCAGUAUCACCGAUGACAACAUUAGCGGACUUGCCACUCUUCUCAUGUUCACGCUCCUCAAAGCGGUUAGGAUAUUUUGGAGGCCGGUGAUUAGGGUCACCAUAGACAUGGCAAAGUCCCUUCCCCUUCUUAUGAGAAUUCUUUUUGAAGUUGGUAGAAUGUGACGGCUUGUUCUUUGCAUCAAACUUGCCUUUGCCCUGAGUUUUUUUCUUGUUAUUUUUGAACUUGUUGGGCUGGAAGUUCUUCUUUUAUACCAUGUGGGCACUAGAAGCUCCCUCAUCAACUCGAGCACGUGUGUCUUUUGCUCUCGCCUUCUCUUCAACAUCAAGAGUACCAAUGAGAUCCGCACUGGAAAACUCCUGUCUCUUGUGUUUCAGGGAAGUAGCAAAAUUGUUCCACGAAGGUGGAACCUUGGCAAUGAUGCCUCCGGCAACACACACUUGAAGUACUCGAGUUCCUUCGCGAGCGACUGUAUCUCAUGAGCUUGCUGGACAACAGAACGCUCAUCGGUCAUCUUGUAGUCAUAGAAUUGCUCCAUGACGUACAACUCACUGCCGGCGUCCGAGGCCCCAAACUUGGCCUCGAACGCAGCCCACGUGUCCUUGCCGUUGUCAAACAACAUAUACGAAUCCACAAUGGAAUCAUCAAGAACACUCAGAAGGGCGCCUUUAAAGGGGGUAUCGAUCUUCUCAAAAGCUUCCUAUUGUGCAGGAUUAAGAUCGCCCUCGGGCUUGCCCUUGGUGGCGUCAUACCAGUACAUGGUCUGGAACCAGUAAACUGCUCUCAUACGCGACCUCUUAUAUUGCACCCCCUUAAAGGUAGGCGGCUUCAGAUGCGCAGCAAAACCACUCGAACUAAAUUGCCUAUAAUCAGGUUUUUGGAUUGUUGAAUAUAUAUGAGCAAAUUACUACGAGAUUUAAUCCGAACAUAUAGUAAAUAAAUCAUGACGAUGAAAACAGAGAUUAAACUAAUCAUGCGGACUAGCAUAGCAGAUGAAGAGAUCAAAUAUAGGGCACAUACUAGAACUAAGAAUUCUAGCACGAUCUGGAACAAGGACAAGAUCACAUGCGGUGCAGCGGGAGUAGGACCGCCAGCGUUGAUGUUGCCGCCCAUGUCGUUGAGGAAGAGGUUGCCGAGGUCGGGGAAGAAAUCGUCGUCGGCGAAGUCAUCGCUGCCAGCAGUCGCGCGAGUGCGCUCCCCAAAAACCUGAUCGCCCCUCUCCCGUACAGGAUCAUAAGAGGCGGGGUUCCGGAGGCCUGCUGUCCCUUCUCGCGGUGCAUGCCGAAAGGAGGGAUGGAGAAGACUUGCUUGGCGGUGCAAUGAUCUGGAACGGUGGUGCGAAACCAUGCGAUACGGCGGCGGCUAGGGUAGAUGUCUGUCUGACUAUAUAGUGCGGGCCGGGUAGGUCGUGGGAGUAAACCCCACGUCCGAGUCGUCGCGAUCCAAAAGAACUGAAAACGGUUCAGUAAUUAACGCGUUCGUUAAUUAUUAAUUAAUGACUCAUUAAUUUUUUUCGAGCAGCAAAAAUAUAGACAACGUGCAUAGCUCUGUCCUCGGCUCAGCUCAUUCCCGCCGCGGCGCGACGAGGCGAGGAGGAGGAGCGCGCGUGUAAGUCUCCUCUUCUCAUGCUCUUACAAGUGAUAGAAGAGCUCACCUUAUAAAAAGGUGCAACUCUCACUCAACUUCCGGGGUGGGACUAAACUUUAGUCCCACUCACACUACUCACAAGCUAUGUAUGAAUGAACCAAGAGAAUUUCAGAAUUUUAGCUGGGCUUUGGGCCGAAAACCUACUAGCAAAUUCCAACAUCACCUUCACUAUCACUCGUCGAUAGGUCGACGCUUUUGAAUGUCGAGUGGGGUGAACCAUGAGACACUCUUGAUUGUAAUACACGAUAACGGGGCUAUCUAGUAUAUGAGGAUGUUCAUGCCAUCCACAACGGUGCGGAAGGGGUUUACUACGCUUUAUUUGAAUUCAAUAGUAGGUUUCAUAAAGAUGGCAUCUGGAGCGGUAAGCAGCUACAAAUGGUGCCCCACAUUAUUCAAAGUCGAUCAUCUUAGUCUUGAUAUCUGCAUUAAUAACCGAGCUAGUUCCCAUAUACUAACCGUAGCCGCACAAUCAGUCACUACAAGGAUCUCUUGAAGGUUCAGAUGAGAAGCAACGCUAGGGCAUCACUAAAAGCCAUCGCCUCGAGGAUCUUCGAUUGUGCUUGGUCUAGGAAUGCAACCGCUGAAGCUCCCAAAAAAAGAACCAUUUCAUUCCGGCAGACCACAACCAGCGAUCCUUUACGAGAUUUCUAUUUGCCGCACUUUGCGGCAAAGUGUCGACGAAUCGCACAAGGAGGAUGCUACCAGCGAGCGAUUUGGGCCGGCCCAUCUUUAGCGCGUACCUACAGGUUCCGGUUUUGGGAUCCUUCUAGAGCGUUCCCAGCCAGUUCUUACUGGUUUUGGGAACCAUCUAGAAGGUUCCUGAACUGGUUUAUAAUUUUUUCUUUUCUUUUUCUUUUUUACUCUUUCUGUUUUUUUCUUCUUCCCUUUUCUGCUUCUUUUUUCUUUUGUUUUCGUAACUUUUUUGUUUUCUUUCAGUUUUCUUUUUCAAGUUAAUUUCUCUUUUCAACAAAUUUUCUUUCUUUCGUUUUUCAUUUAUUUUUAUUUUCUUCUCUUUUUCUCAAACUUUUUUCAAAAUAUUCAAGUUUUGUUCAUGUUUCCAUAAAAUGUCCAGCUUUCGAAAAAAAUGUUCUCAUUACACAAAAACGUUUAAAACUUUUGAAAUUCAGAAAAUGUACCGGAUUUCAAUUUCUGGUUCACGUAUUAAAAAAAUCACGCUUCCAAAUUUGUUAGGGAUUUUUCAAAUUUGUUCUCCAGAUUCAAGAAAUGUUCGUGCUUCGAAAUUUGUUCUCCGUUCUGAAAAUUGUUCUCAUGUUUCAAAAAAUGUUUGUGCUUUAAUUUUUUCAGAAAUUUCAAAACGUUCAUGUUUUCAAGAAAUAUUCAGUUUUUGAAAAAAAUAUUCUCAAAAUUCAAAAAUUGUUCUCAUUACACAAAAGAGUUCAAAAAUUUUGAAAUUCAGAAAAUGUACCAGAUUUCAAUUUUUUGUUCACGUAUUCAAAAACAUUCACGCCUCCAAAUUUGUUCAGGAUUUUUUUCAAAUUAAUCUCUGUUUCAAAAUUUGUUCUCAAAAUUCAUAAAAUGUCCGUGCUUUAAAAAAUUGUUCGCGCUUCGUAAUUUGUUCUCAAGAUUCAAAAAAUGUUUGUGCUUUAAAAAAUUGUUCACAAAUUCCAAAACCAUCAUGUUUUCAGUUUUUUUGGGGAAAUUCAAAAUUUGUUCGCGUGCAAAAGUUGUUCAUGUUUACAAAUUUUGUUUUGGAAUUUGAAAAAUGUUCCUGUUUUUGUAAAAUUGUUCCUGUUCAGUUUGUUGGGUAGCUUAGAAAAUGUUCCUGUUUAAAAAAUGUUUGAUUCUCCAAAAUUCAUUUGCAUGUUUAAAUAAGUUUGAGUUCUCUCAAAAUUCUUACCAAAUUUGAAAAAUGUUCCCGUUUGAUGAAACAUUCACGUUGUUUUUGAAAAAAAUAUCGUUCAAAUUUUAGAAACAUUCGGAUUGGCGUUUGAGUUUCUUAAGGUGUUGCGCUGUAAUGUAAUCAUUUAAGAUCACUAGCUCAAUUGGUUAGAGGCAUAUGCUCUCGAGCAGCCAGUCCUUGGUUCGAACCACGGAAACCCCUAUUUGACGCUUUCUGCGUCAAACAGUUGACCGACGCACAAGGGAUAGACCGAUCGUACAGGGUACGCGAUAAAGUGGGCCGUCCCAUCUCCCGCUGUACGAAGUUCCGGUUUUGGGAACUUUCAAGAAGUUUCCCAGACGGUUUUUAUCCGUUUCUAGAGGGUUCCUUAAGCGGGGUUUUUAUUUUCCUGUUAUUUUCUGUUUCUCUUUCCUUUUUCAGUUUUUUUCUGUUUUAUCUGUUUGGUUUCCUUUUUUCUUUUUUUUCUUUUUCCCUUUUAUUUCAAAUUAAGUCCGAGAACUCAAGUAUUGUUCAAAAUUCAAAAAAAAAAUCUUGUUUUUGAAAAUUGUUCAUCGUUUCAAAAUACUGUUCCAAAUCAAACAUUGUUCUCAUUUUUUCUAAAAUUGUUCUCAUUUUUUCAAAAAUUGUUCACAACUUCAAAAAAUGUUUCGCACUUUACAAAAAGUGUUUGGGAAUUUAAAAAAUGUUCCCAUUUUCAAUUUUUUGUUCACAAAUUUAAUAAUAUUUAUAUUUUUAGAUAAAGUGUGCAUUUGUCAAGAAUUUGUUUUAUUUUAAAAAAAUCUUUCUUAUUUUCAUAAAUUGUUCAUAGAUUCAAAAUAUGUUCUUAUUUUCAAAUUUUGUUGACAUCUGAAAAAAUGUUCAUUGUUUCAGAAAAAUUCCGGAGUUUCAAAAAAUUGUUCGUAUUUUCAAAAAUUGUUCAUAGAUUCAAAAAAUGUUCGUCUUUUAAAAAACAUUCACAUCUGAAAAUGUUCAUGUUUUCACUUUUUGUUCAGAGUUCCAAAAAAUGUUCGUGUUUCCACUUUUAUUCCUAAUUUCAGAAAAAUAAUUUCAUUUUUUAAAAAAAAUCACAAAAUCAAGAGAUGUUUGAUUUUCUAAAAUUUCGUUAGAUUUUUUUUAAUAUUUCACACGUCAAAAAGUAAUUAGUUCCUUAACUAAAUCGUGUUUGAAUUUUCAUUAGACAUUCAAUCUUACAAUACUGCCUUAUUAAAGCCAUGAGCUAGGAAUUUAACAGCAAGCCUCUUCAGGUGCGCUUGAUACUAGCCUGCGUGUAGUUUGUGUGGUCGUGGGUUCGAACCUGAUCGAGCGCAUUAAUUUUUGGAGUUUUCGGGUGCGCUCCCGCUGCUGGGCCGGCCCAGUUCGCUACUUCUGUGUGCGUCAAGACGCUACUCGCCGUAGAAUGCGGCGCAUAGGAGUUCCAUUUUUUAUUCCAGCGUUAUGUACUUGUCGCUAGCGAGAUAGGCCCACCAAGCCCGUGAAUGAGCAGCCCUAUGCGAGUGCCCAGCAAUUUGACGCAAAACGAAAAGUUUUCCCUCUAGUUAGGGUUUUGUUCCUCGGGGGGCGAUUUUCGCUACCGUCGAGACCUGUCCUUCCCCGCCCGCGAUUCCUCCCCAGCUGGUUCCCCUGGAUCGUAAGGGGCCGCUCGCACUGCUCCUGAUCGGAGGCGCUGGCUGUUGGGUGGAUUGGGGGCAUAGGGCAUCUGCAGAACCCGAUCGCUAAACUCGGGUUAGGGUUUCAACAUGGCGGCGGACGGAUCCCCGAUUCCAGAGGGGUCAGCGACGUUGAAAGAAUGAUGCAAGAGCUGGGCUUGAAGGAGGAAGACCUAGACGACGUGGUCUUCGACGAGAAGGACGCGCCGCAGGCGGCAGCUGGAUGGAUCGCUGUUGCUAGGGUUAACUCUAAUAAACCCUAUAGUCAGUUUUGGUUCUUUCGGAACAUGAGAGCGGCUUGGGACCUCGCGCAAGAAGCCAAGUUCAAGCCUCUAGAAGAGAAUCUCUAUACUAUCCAAUUUUCCUGCUUAGGGGAUUGGGAGAGGGUCAUGCAGGAGGGACCGUGGCACUUCCGUGGGGAUGCAGUCAUCCUGAAGGAAUAUGACGGAGUGACGAAGCCAUCAAAUGUCAAGCUGGACACAAUUGAGAUCUGGAUCCAGAUUCAUGAUGUCCCAAUCCUCUACGCCCAUCUGGUUCCAUCCCUUGCAUCAAAGGUGGGUGAGGUUCUUUUCACCGAAUCCCAGUCGCAUGAUUUCACCAAACCCCUCAAGAAUGCAGUAUCCAUGAUACGGGGUGGCGAGAGGCAGAUAUACAAGGUCAAAUACGAGAAGCUACCGGAUUGGUGUGCGGUGUGCGGCAUGCUGGGUCAUCUCUUCAAGGAACAAGGGACAGGCAUCCGCCCUCCGUCAGCUCUUGUCUUUAAGGAGCUCAGGGCGUCUUGGUUCAUGAGGAACGGCAGCGGCCCGGGAGGAGGUCGCGGACGCAGGGGUGGUCGCAGAGGAGGACGUACUGGAAGAAGCGGGAGGUCACGCUCUCAGCAGGGCGGGGAUGACGAAGAGCACACGGAACAAGUCUUGGAGAUGCUUCAUGCUGAGAGACUCAGGAAGAGGGGAUCGGAACCAACGCAGCACCAAGCCCAGGUUGUGCUCUCGAACAAUUCUGACCAAUCUUCGGCGGUGACAAAUGGGACUAUGCUGGCACUGCCCCCUCCAUCGGUGCCACUAAGCCCAAGCGCUAUUAAGGAGACAAAGAGAGCAAAGACGGUGCCUGAGACGGAGAAGGUUUCAGCGGCGAGAAGCUUGUUGCUCAGCAAGAUCGAUCCAAAGUUGGCGGGCCCGAGUGACGGGCACCGCCGAGCCCAAUGAGUGUACUUUGCUGGAACUGUCGCGGCGCGGGCAAAGCCGCGACAGUCCGUGAACUUCGCGAAUUCGCGAAGAAAUUUGCCCCUACCCUACUGUGUAUUGUAGAAACCCAGCUCGAAGGCUCGAGGGUAGAAGCGCUAGCAGGUACACUUGGAUAUGAAAAUGGUUAUGCAGUUAGUAGUCGUGGUAGAAGUGGGGGUAUUGGUAUGUUUUGGAACAAUGAAAUGAAUAUCGAGUUUUUGGGUUAUUCUGAUUAUCACCUUGACUGCUCGGUCCUUGAACCGGGUGAUGAUCCUCGGAGAUUAACUGUAGUAUAUGGCGAAGCUCUGACCCACAAGAGACACCAGACGUGGGACACGUUAAAAAACAUCAGCACUUUGAGCAGUCUCCCCUGGCUAUGUGUUGGUGAUUUCAAUGAGGUGUUGCGUCCGGAAGAACACGUGGGAGUCGGACAGCGAAGCAAUGCGCAAAUCCAAGCUUUCAGAGACGUCGUCGACGUUUGCAUGUUACUUGACAUUGGUUAUGCUGGAAUUCCAUGGACUUUUGAAAAGAAGGUCACGGGAGGAACAUUUACAAGGGUGCGUCUUGACAGAGCCUUGGCCUCGGCGGAAUGGCAAGCCCGCUUUCCUUUGGCUGAUCUCACACAUCUGGUGGCAGCCACGUCCGAUCAUAGCCCUAUAUUGGCGAGGAUGAAUAGAGAGCAAAGACAUAAUGAGAGGCAAAGCUCGUUCAAAUAUGAGGUCAUGUGGGAGGGCCACGAUUCCUAGAGCAGUAAGAUCACGGAGGCAUGGGCAAAUCCUGGAGCUGCCACCAGGUUAGAAGAACUCAGAGCAAAACUUACAACGGUGUCACAAGAUCUUGGGCGAUGGAAUAGGGACACCUUUGGGAGUGUACACAAAGAGAUUAAACAGUUGAAGGGGGAACUUGAGAAACUUAGAUCGGACGCAAGCCGAACCGCUCCAACACAUGUCGAACUUAAGAUCAAUGAAAAGCUUGUGGAGCUAUAUCACAGGGAGGAGGUUAUGUGGAGGAAGAUAUCUAGGGUGGAGUGGCUCUCUUCGGGAGACAGGAACACUAGAUUUUUUCACCUACGGACAAGCAUCCGUCGCAAGAAAAACAUGAUCAAGGCUUUGCAAAAUUCACUUGGUGUGCUAACAGACGAUCUGGAGGAGUUGAAGGCCAUGGUAAAUGAUUUCUAUAAAACACUAUAUACCACGGAGGGGGUGGGUAACAUGGAGACGGUCCUCAACUGUGUCCCGGCUAAAGCAACGUUGGAGAUGAAUGAGUUGUUGUGUUCCCCUUACACAAAUGAGGAGGUUAAGGCAGCUUUGUUCCAGAUGUUCCCGACCAAGGCACCUGGUCCUGACGGAUUUCCGGCACAUUUUUAUCAGCGACACUAGGAGCUUUGUGGUGCAGAGGUGACUGAGGCAGUGUUGAGGAUUGUGAGAGGGGAGGAGAGCCCGGAAUUCAUAAACGACACUAUCCUUGUUCUUAUUCCCAAGGUAACAAACCCCUCCAUCUUGUCACAAUUUAGGCCCAUUAGCCUAUGCAAUGUCCUAUACAAAAUUGCAUCCAAAGUCAUUGCAAACAGGCUUAAGCAAAUUUUGCCGGAUAUCAUAUCUGAGGAGCAAUCGGCCUUCGUACCAGGCAGACUCAUCACGGAUAAUAUCAUAAGUGCAUAUGAGUGCCUUCAUUUCAUGAAGCGGAGUAAAGCGAAGGCUAACAGCUAUUGUGCACUUAAGCUUGAUAUGAUGAAAGCAUAUGAUAGGCUGGAAUGGGACUACCUGGAAGCAAUCAUGGGAAAACUAGGGUUUGCCACCCCCUGGAUAAAAACAGUCAUGAGCAUGGUGCGGUCUGUUUCUUUUUCGGUGCUCUUUAAUGGUGAGAGGCUUGAUCAUUUCAUGCCGAGCAGAGGUAUAAGGCAGGGAGAUCCGAUAUCCCCCUAUAUCUUCUUAAUUGCAGCGGAGGGCCUUUCGUGCCUCCUGAAAACCAGUUCUUUGUCACCAAAUAUUGUUGGAGUAAAGGUGGCACCCACGGCUCCGGCCGUUAACCACCUUCUUUUCGCAGAUGACAGACUGCUGCUUUUUAAGACAGGGAAUGAGGGGGUAGUAGCGGUAUUAAACCUACUGCAAACGUACUGUUUGGCUUCGGGACAGAGGAUAAAUCAUGAUAAAUCUUCGAUUUUCUUCAGCAGAGGAUGCCCACAAGCGGUAAGAGAUGAUAUGAAGAAUGUCCUGAAUGUGCAUAACGAGUCCCUAAGUGACGGGUACUUAGGAAUGCCAACAGAGGUCGGACACUCGAAGAACGGGACUUUCAAAUAUUUGAGGGAUCGAGUUUGGGAAAAGGUGAGAGGAUGGAUGGAAAAACUCUUAUCUUCAGCGGGGAAAGAGGUUCUGAUUAAAGCAGUUGCCCAAGCAAUUCCAGUAUAUUCGAUGGCCUGUUUUCGCCUCCCUCGGGGACUAUGUGAAAGUGUUACUUCGCUAAUCAGACAAUUCUGGUGGGGAAGCAAGCAAGGGAAACGGAAGCCGAGUUGGGUGGCAUGGGAUGUGAUGACCUUACCAAAGCAUCUCGGAGGCCUUGGCUUUCGGGAUAUGGAGAUGUUUAACUUGGCCCUCCUAGCUCGGCAGUCCUGGCGCAUGUUGCAAAAACCCCUGUCCCUGAGUGCGAGGAUAUUGAAAGCAGUCUAUCAUCCUAACUCAGACAUCUUUGGUGCAACGUUGGGAUCCCACCCCUCGCAGAUAUGGAGAGCUAUAUUGGAUGGACGAGAUAUCAUGGUCCAGGGGCUGGUGCGCAGAAUUGGAGACGGUGAAACAACAAAUAUAUGGGAGGACAAUCGGUUGCCGAGACCAAAUAUGAAAAGGCCGAUCACUUCUCUAGUCCCUGAUCCACCGAUGAGUGGCCGAGUUGAUAGACCAUACUUCAUCAUCCUGGAGGGAGGAUCUGGUCCGGUCGGUGUUUAUAUCGAUAGAUGUUGUAGCCAUAUUACAGAUACCCCUUUGCACAUGUCAGACGGAUGAUUUUUGGGCUUGGUCAGAGGAGCGGAAGGGCAUGUUUUCUGUGCGAUCGGCAUAUCGGAUGAUUCAGCGAACAAAGCUAAGUAGGGAGGCAUGGUUGUAUGAACAGGGUGCCUUUUCUGACUCUCUAGGUACAGACCAAGGUUGGUCUGAGCUGUGGCGGAUUAGGGUUCCCUCAAAGCUGAAUUUUUUUCUUAUGGAGAUUAGCCAAACACUCUAUCCCCACAGCUGCACUUCUCCAUCACCGGAACAUGUCAACUUCAAGAGCUUGCUGUCUUUGCGGGGCUGUCGACACUUGGCGCCAUGCUCUAGUGGACUGCUCGGUCUCAAGGAGCACUUGGGCACUUUCUUCUGAAGCUGUCCUUGACAAACUGAGUACAUGCAGAGAGGAAAACGCAAAGAGAUGGCUGUUCGUCAUGCACGAAGCUCUGAACCAAGAUGAUUUUCUUGUCUUUGUUGUCACCCUAUGGGCGCUGUGGAGUGCUCGUAGGAAGGCAAUGUACAAGGAUAUCUUCCAAACACCUUUUGCCAUCAACGGUUUUGUAAAAUCCUACAUUGCAGAGCUCAAAGCCCUCCACGAGCCGGGUGCGGCUGGCAUUAGGGUGCCACAACAUCGCCCUAAUUGCUAGAUUGCACCGCCCUUGGGGAUGGUCAAGAUCAAUGUAGAUGCCGCGGUGGGCCGAGUGCAUGGUGCAGCGGGAGCUGGGUGCAGAGACCGAGACGGAGCCUUCUUGGGAGCUUCGGCGGUGGUUUUCUCCCAUCUGUCAGACCCAGGCACCCUGGAGAUGCUCGCUAUCAGGGAGGCUCUGGCGUUAGCAGAUGAUCUCUGUGUCAGGAGGAUACAUGUUGCCUCAGAUUGUAAGGUGGCCGACGACAUUCAAUAGCAAAACAAAGGGAGCUACGGUGCAAUUGUGCAUGAAAUCAUACAACAUAGGUCUGUUUUUGAAGCUUGUAAUAUACUUCAUGAAUUUAGGAGCUCGAAUAUCGAGGCUCACAAACUUGCAAAGUAUGCUUUAUCUCUGAGGGUUGGCCGUCAUGUUUGGUUAGGUCAACCCAACGAUCUUGAUUUCGUCCCUGUAAACAUUGUGACGACAUAAUAAAGCUUUGCAGUUUGUCUCAAGAAAAAAGCAAUUUGACGCAAAAUGCGGCGCAUAGGACCUCCCAUCCUUUACACAGCAGCGUCGACCAUCAGCUUCACGCAUCCUUGCACAGGCUGCCUCCAAUUUACGAGGCCCAACUCGAAAUUAUAAAAAAGUAGGCCCAGGUCCAAAAUACAAAAAAUAGGCCCGACAUACUAUAUGUUCUUGUCAUGGAAACAACUUCAAAGUUAGGAAGGGAUCGUUAGUAACGUAGUCACAACAACAAUGAUCAGAAAGGCGUCCAGUUAUCUUUCCAUUGUAUUGCAUAUUUUCUUGAUAAUUAUUUGUUAAGAUACCUUUUGGUUGUCUUAAAAAAACAAUGAUCCAAAAGGACACUUCGAUGCUUUUUGAAUACGUUUAGUCACCUCAAUGGGGCACGACCUAGUCCUCUUUUAGAAAGACAACAAUGGAGGUUUUCUUGUAGGCUUGAGUCAUAUGAGCCUCCGAAUAUCAUCUCCUUCUAUUCCUUAAUGUCGGUCUGAGUCGUUGAAGACACCUUAGACUUGAUCCUAAGGGCUCCCAGAUGACUUUUGGAGCUCUCUAGUGUCCGCCCCUUACUUUGAUCCAAGCGGGAGUGAAUGGAGUGCAUGCCAACGAAGUGCUUAUAUAUGAUAGGUUCUUAACGAAUGACCAAACCCGCCCUUGUGGUGGUAGGUGGGAGGGAUAUGGGAGGUAAUCUUCGAGAUAUGGGUCCUUUGUGAACUAAGAGAGGGGAUGAGUCCAUAGAGGAUUUAUAGUGAAAAUGAUCAUAUCUAUCAUAAAAGUUCAUCGGAAGUACAAAGCAUCUUAAUAUAAUAAAAAUCACAUCGAGAUUCCAAGACCACUGAACGACCACUACUGCCGCCAGAACGAGCCAUUGACGCGCCGUUGUUGCCUCUCCCCUACCGGAGCCAGCUUGACCCUUGUCGAUGACAGAUGGAAAGUCUUCGUGCAUAUGCCCCUAAAGACCAGCGCCCUGGAGCCGCAGUCGUCGCCAUUGAACCCUUGCAUAGAUCUGAAGCACCCCCCACCAAAUCUCGCCACAUGACGAUAAAACCUAACCUCACCAUCCCAAAGAGACGACAGGGAUCUAUGAUGAAGCUCCGUCGACUACUGUGUUUGGUGUCCUGCAGUAGUGCACGUGGAUGGCGACAUGUGAUAGCGUUCGACCAUGUUGGAUGAAGAUGAAGACACUGGGUCAGAUGGUCAUGGGGAGGAAACACAAUCAAUGUGCCACGAAGCCUUGAUAAUUUUCGCUUUCGAUGGUGUGGUGAGACGGUGAAUCUAGAAUAGAGGCUAGGUGGGGAAGCAAAAGAUGCAAGAGAACCUUUUCCCAUGAAGGAAGGGACCACCUAAACGACGAGUGAGAAUGAUAAGUAGGAGUAAUAGGCAGAGCUGGAUCGACCCUAGGUGAAUAAGCAGGUUGUGUCUUAAUCUAUUCACUAGGUGGAUCCACUUUGAGUGUUCAAUCUAUGGUUCAAGGUUACAGGCUUCGGGCUCUUUGCUUUGGGGGAUUCCUACUACUCCCUCCGUUCCUAAAUAUUUGUCUUUUUAAAGAUUUCAAAUAAACUACCACAUACGGAUGUAUAUAGACAUAUUUUAGAAUGUAGAUUCACUCAUUUUGCUCCGUAUGUAGUCACUUGUUGAAAUCUUUAGAAAGACAAAUAUUUAGGAACGGAGGGAGUAUUUCUUUAGUCGAUGCAAAUUGUGACCCGGAUCUCGCGAAUAUAUCGAGUCCAGCCAAUAAUGCCACUAUUCGAUUGAUUCUUAACGAAUUACUAUUAUCAAUUUGUGAGGGCCAUCCUCUCUAUAUAAGAAAUCGUUGAUUAAGAAUAUAGUUCACCGGCUCGAAAAAAACAUCUUUUUAUACAAAGUUGCUUUCUGGUUAUGGGUAUGGCGGCUGUUCUCCUUUUUCUCCGGAGUUGCCUCGAUGACGGUGGAUAACAAUUCGACAAGGUGUAGUAUUUUUCAUGGAUGAAAUUGUAGUUUACUUCUUGUCGUGGUCCUCCGUGGAUAAUUACAUGCAAAAUCGCAAAGCUUUUCUUUUACGGAAAAAAACUUUUGCUGCUCUCCGUGCCCUGCAGUGGACAAGAUGCAGAAAAAACAGAUCGGGAGAAUCUGGCAGGGAGCGCCUCCCACGCGCGCUCUCGUCACACACCAUGCUCUCCGCAGCUGCCUCGCCGCCGCCUACUCCCCCCUUGCUGGCACCCCUUCCGCCGCGACAAGCGCCGCAGCAGCCAGCCGCUUCUCUCGCACAGCAUCCUCCUCGCCGCUCUGCUGUCUGCUCUAGCCCCGUGACCUCCCGGCCGCGCGUAGGCUGUUCGAUGGAAUGCCUCACAGGGGCACCGUAGCUGGAAGUGCCUGUCCGUUACCGCUCUGCCCGGCAGAACGCAGUAGUUUGCGACAGAACGUGUAUACGUAUCAACGUGUCGGCCUCUUCAAAUGUGCGGUGCACGUCUUUUGGGGUAUGAAUGAGCAGGACAUCGUUUCGGUGAACUCUGUCACGUCAGUGUACAAAGAUGAUAGCCAGAGCGAUGCAGUGUUCGAGUGUUUCCCGUUGGUUAGAAGCCAUGGUUUUUUGGUCGACAAGUGCAGUGUGUCAACGGUGCUUACCAUGUGCACAUAUAUCAAGGAUUUGGCUAAGGGUUACCAGCUCUUGGCCCUUUGCAUUAAAACAUGACUCCUGUCAUCUAUAGUGCUGUUUUCAGCAUGUUGUCCAUGUCUGUCAGAUUGCUUGAUGCCAUCAUGUUUUUCGAGGGAUUAACCAACAAAGUGGGACUCAGAAACAUGUAAUGCGAUGAUAUUGUAUAUACCAGAAGUGGUUUAAUGGAGCAAGCUCUGGGCCUCUUUGGGAUGGCUCUGUGAAAUGCUGUUCUUCCAACUGAGUUCACUUUUACAAGUGUGCUGAGAUGGAGCUUCUGUUUUGGUCUGAUGGAGCAGGGCACACAAAUCCACGGGCUGGUAUAUAAACGUGGGUUUGAGGAUGAUAUAAUUGUCGCCAUUGUUCUCAUUGACAUGUAUUGUAAGUUAGGUUCCUUGAAGCAUGUCAGGAAACUCUUCAAUGGUGUCUGUGCCAAGGAUUUGCUGCUAUGGAAUACAAUGGUUGUUGGUAUAUCGCAGAAUGGGAAAGGCAGGGAAGCUAUUCCAAUUACCGAGGCUGAGGCCUCCUACUAAGUAGGAGCAUUUUGCAAAGUCAAAAUUCGAAAGGUGAACCUGUUCCUUUUGCUGGCUUUAUGAGUGCCUUUUAUUGUAAGUGUAUGAACUUGAAUCUUUCUGUACCAGAAACAUACUUGCAAGGAUUAUUAACGCAAGAAGAACAAGCGUGAAUGGGAUGAGCAAACUUCUUCGUGGAAGCGGACUUAUGGCUAUGAUCGUGUUAAUGACGAUAGAGACAAUCCGAUCAUUGAAGCCAGAAUCACAGAUGGUAAACAACUUGUCUUCUCUAUCUACUGCUGGUGAAUUUAUUUAUUUAUUUCGUGGCAAGACUAGUAAUCUUCCCGAGCUUUCCCAGUGCUGAGUACACAUAGUGGUUAUCAUGUGAUGACAUAAAUGCUUAACAGCCCGCGUGCUUCUUCUUAUGUACAUUGUUUAUUUUUAAAUAUCAGAUGCUGUUUUCAUUUAUGACCACUUGAAUCUAACAAUGUAAUUUGUUGUGAAAUGUAUUCGUUUUCAAACCUGUUUGCUCAAUCUGUUACUGUUCUAUUGGAUAUUUGUCUGUGAUAGAGCCUGGUGUUGAUCCUUUUGCUCAAUAGAGGGAGGAGAAGAAGAACAGGUUGAUUAUCAAGAAAAGAACAUACUUUAGAAUUUAAAGAACGCUGCAAAAGUUAGUGCUCUGCCAAGGUAAUCAUUUCUAUUAUCAUCAUCUGUAUACAUCAUGCACUCCUUUGUUUAUUAUCCAUUACAUUAGCAACUCAAGUUUCUCAUCUAACGCUUUCUGAAAAAAAAAAACCCGGAACCGUGCAGUCAUAUACAGCGUGGUGCCACACCUGUGCCCUUCACUGGGAUUAAAGCGGAUCUGCCUAGAAAAUCUAAAAACAAAGAUGUUGCGAAUCUUCGGUAAUAAAUGUGAUUCUUUUAUCGCGGAGUAUGGCGAAUCAAUGCUUGGGAAAUGUAUCAAACUAUACUUCCAGAAACCUCUAGAAAGUUAUAAAAAGGGAAAUCAUGCAUAUCUUGACAGCCCAUAUCUUUAAUUGAUUUCCAUAUUAAUAUGUAUAAAUCACGCAUGUUCUACAGCUGUGCCGUCUUGCCGCUCUUGCCAUCAAGGUAUAUAAAUACAGUUUUCUUUGCCGAGCUUUGUGCUAAUCGUAAGAUAAUUUCUGAGGUGCACAAGAAUUCUGUAUUCGACGGGUAUGUACAAGCCUGUUUGAUUUCUCUCACUUACAUGUCAAUCUAGUUAUGCAGUAUUUUUUGGAUUGCAUAAGUCUAGUCAUUUGGUUUGGUACAAACUAUUUCAGAUCUUUGUGAUCCAGCACCGCCCGCAAUGGCCAUUCUCUAGAAUUCUAGAUCUAAAUAUCAAUAUGGUGUUAGCAGCCGUUGAAUUUCUAAUUAGGAGGUUAUAGAUCUAACAAAAAUUCAUCGCUGAUGCCAGUAGGUAUAGAAAUCGAUGGUUGGCAUGAUCUGAUAGUUACGAUUCUUCUCAGGUUAGCAUAUGUUUUGGUUGUAGGAUGACCGCGACCCUAAGAUCUGUAUUACUAUCAAUCUCAAAUCUUAUUCUUGGUAUUCAACUAUCGAUCGAAACUGUCCCAUGGGAUCUACUAGAUGAAUUGGGAGGUUGGGGUUUUGGAAACCUCGACCGUAUAAUGAUGCCAUCUCUGUAGGGGAUACGAGUGCGGAUGGUGAUACUGAUACCAGAAUAUGCAUCUUAAUAUGUAUGAAUAAAAUAUCUUUAUAUAUCAUGAAUAUAUAGUUGGAAUGGUUUACCAUCAUUCAGAUAUUCUUAUUAUUUCUGUCUGUAUAUUCAUGUUCACUGCUGGUAUUCUUAUCUCUUCUUUGAAUAAACAUAUUCAUCUAUGUUCUUAACAUAGCUAUGAUGCGAAUAUGGUUUUUCUAUUAUCCAGCUGCGUUUGAUCAGUUCCCACCCUUGUCGCCAUCUACUUUUCUUUUUUUCUUUGUUUGAAACCAUCUGGUGAGAAUAUUCAACUGAGUUAUCCACUCUCUAGCUAUAUAUGCUUUAUGGAGCACCUGUGGGGCAUGCCUGGACUUAGAAACCACAUUAUCACUAUCGAUUGCUUGUGCAAUCUAAGCUGUUUAUGUGUUACAGGAACACAUCUUAUAUGUUAUCCAGAGGUCAUUCUCUUUUUGGGCACUGCACUUAAGAUGUAACAGAAAACAAGAUGCUAAGUUUGUGGUGGCUUCCAUUGCUGUAGAAUGGCUCAGUUGCCUUUGUAGCCAGAUUUAUUCCAUUGAUCUUUGUCAACCGUUUACUUUGUUUGAUUUUGCUGGUGUAUAUUUGGCUGUGCAUGCAUAUUUUUAACUAUGUCUGCUCUGGUGCUGUUACUCAGAACUGAUCUUAGUUUCUGAACUAGCAAAUAAUUAUAUUUCAUUUUGCGAGGAUCCUAACAAAGAAAUGCACUCUGUUUGAAACUGAUCUUUUAAGAGAGGCACAAAUGUUCACAAUCAUCUAAAGGCUCUGAACAAAUUUUUAUUUUGUAACCUAGAGGCUAGCACUAUCUAACUGUCUUAAAGAUUGUCUUACUUUAUGAUCGAGCUCAUCAUUAUUUUUCAUUCUUUUUUCACAUUGUUUUACAUUAUAGUUGAUCUAAUUAAUAGUGAUUUUCAUUCUUUUUUUACAGUGCCGGAAAGACCAUUGAUUUUCGGGCAAGCAAGAUCAAGCAGUGCACAUGGUACCGACUUCGCAACCUCAGCCUGCAAUGGGUGAUGUCACCCCUGCCGAUUCACAGCCAACUUAACCAUUCCCUGGCAAUCCAGCUCAGCUCAGUGCUCAGGAGCAGCUUAUGUACGAGCAGUCGCAGGAGUAUCAGCUGCAGCUCCAGCAGCAGUGCCAGAGGCAGCUCCAGCAGUUCUGGGCCGAGCAGCGGUCAGAGAUCGAGCAGGCCACCGACAUCAAGAACCACCCCCUGCCACCCACCAGGAUAAGGAAGAUCAUGAAGGCCGACGAGGACGUCCGCAUGAUCUCGGCAGAAGCUCCGGCGCUCUUCGCGAAAGCAUGCGAGAUGUUCACACUGGAGAUGACGAUGAGGUCAUGGAUGGUCGCCAAGGAGGACAAGCGCCGGAUCCUGCAGAGGAGUGACAUCGCUGCUGCUGUGGCUAGGACUGGCAUUUAUGAUUUCUUGCUGGAUUUAUUUACCAGCGAAGAGACGAAGCAGGGCUUCUUGCUUCCUAGGGCCGGGCAGGGGCAGCAGCCCAUGGGGGCUCAAGCUGGUGCAUACCCGUACUACUAUGCGCCGGAGCAGCAGGUGGCAGGUGCGUCUAUGGUGUAUGGUGGCCCGUCGACUUAUGUGUGGCAAGAGCCUCAGGUGCAAGAGCAGGGCCAUCCGUCCAGCACCUACGUGUGGCAAGAGCCUCCGCAACAGCAGGAGGGGCCCUGAAGCUAUCACCGGAUUCAGAGCCCUCGUUUCAGCCUGGACAUUUCCAAAAAACUUUGGGUUUCGCGUUAGCUUUCAUAUGAUCGUUAUUCGUCGUUUCAAACAGGUCAAAGUUUGGUUGCUGUUGUCAUGGUGUCGUAUGAGAGGUACUAUGAAUUUGUGAUUCGAGACUAAUUGGUCGAAUUUUACCAUUCCAAACCCAAAAGUUUGCCUCCGGUGUAUGCCUUGUUUUUAUUUCUAUGUAUUUGUGAUAUGUUUGCGUGUGGCAGUACCAUGAAUUUGUGAUUUGAGACUAAUUGGUCAAACUUUACCGUUCCAAACCCAAAAGUUGGCCUCUGGUGAUGCCUUGNNNNNNNNNNNNNNNNNNNNNNNNNNNNNNNNNNNNNNNNNNNNNNNNNNNNNNNNNNNNNNNNNNNNNNNNNNNNNNNNNNNNNNNNNNNNNNNNNNNNNNNNNNNNNNNNNNNNNNNNNNNNNNNNNNNNNNNNNNNNNNNNNNNNNNNNNNNNNNNNNNNNNNNNNNNNNNNNNNNNNNNNNNNNNNNNNNNNNNNNNNNNNNNNNNNNNNNNNNNNNNNNNNNNNNNNNNNNNNNNNNNNNNNNNNNNNNNNNNNNNNNNNNNNNNNNNNNNNNNNNNNNNNNNNNNNNNNNNNNNNNNNNNNNNNNNNNNNNNNNNNNNNNNNNNNNNNNNNNNNNNNNNNUUUUCUUGUGGUUAAGCUGUAUUGUCUUGCAUGAAAUUUCAGAUCAUGUUGAGCUCCGGAUGAGUUUGUCUGAAACCGAAUGUGCAUUGGUGUUUUGCAAAAUCAACAGUUGAUGAUGGGUCAUUCUGCUGAAGCAUGACAAGUAGUAGUAACUGAAUGCACAAGGGUCCGCCCUGACACUGAUGAUGCUGGUAGUCAAAAACGGGUGGCAUUUUUAGCCUCCAAACUGUCGCCCCACGCCUGCUAUCACAGGCCGUGAUGGCCAUCGAUGCGGGGUAUCAUUAUCAUCGCAUCACGUGCCUCACUGGGCUUGUGUUUAGCCGAGACCAGAAAGAGCUUCCUUCAUUGUUGUGGAAUGAAUGCUAUGGCAGGAUUCCUGUAAAAAAACAAUGGCAGGACCUAUGGACCCGCCGCUCGAGCAGUCCGUGGCUGGGGAUCGAUCAUAUGCGCGCCGUGCCGUGCCGGUCGUGCCACAGACGGCGACCUGAGACGGGCCAUGGUCCAGCCCAGGGCUUUGCCAAGAUCGGCAUUGCAGAUUGCAGCACGGGAGGUGGAUCAGAUUACUCUCCACCCACGGCAGUGCGUUUUGUCACUAGAGAGAUAUACGCACCUGAAAUUUAGAUGCCGAGAUGUUUUCUUUUAUGGAGAUUGCUCCAUGUUUUCUUGUGGCUCAUUGUUCACAACAAAAGCUGAACUAAAGAUAAUCUAGCUAAGCGUCAGGUAGUUUCAGAUGUUUCUUCUUUUGAACCAAAGCCUGAAACUAUCAAGCACCUUUUCUUUGAUUGCAUUGUUGUUCGACAGAUAUGGAAGAUUGUGGCUGAUAUAUCAAAAUAUGUAUAUGGCAACCGUAAUCGUUUCUGCAAAACUGCCACACCACUCGGUGUCCCUUCGAUCGGCAUCGCACACAUAAGUCUUCCUCCCAUAUUCCUCCCCCGCUCUAAGUCCCCAGCCGACAGUGUCUUCCUCUGAUUCCUCCUCCCUGCCGCCAAGUCCGAGCCCACCUCGCCCCAUCCUCCUCCGGCGAGCCGCCGCCGGCAAGCCAAGCCGCAGUGCCGCCCCUUGCUCCCUCCUUUUCCCUUCAUCUUCCUUCCUUCCUCCCUCUCUAUCAUAUCUUUCUCUCUGCUCACGAGAGCUCCCAUGGCGCCGCCCAUGGAUCCGAGCAAGCUGCCGCCGGAAACACAACCCAUCCACUGGACCCCCUCUGCCCAAACGGUCGCGACCUCUGGCGCCUCCCUGGCGUCCGCCGCUGCCUAGUCGUCAUCCUCGAAGCCCGCGAUUGCAACACCUUCUCCAGGGCCGGAUCAGGAGGUGUGAGGCUCCAAGAAAUUAUGUAGUUGGGAGGUGUAAAUGAUGUAUGCACGACCUCGAAUUCGCCGCUGAUUUGGCCCGAUCUUUCACGGUACAACGAACUCCUCUGAAAUCCACCGAUAAAAUCUCCCAAUUACGCGAGCAGUACACGUAACCUGAAGAUGGGGUAACGACAACCAACGGACAAUCCCUCGACACACGAGGAACCUCCCGCCAAAGUAGACGUAACCAGCGCGCAACCCGUCGAAAACGACAGACCUCGAGCCAAGUGCAACUUUCAGACAGAAAAUUCACACAAAAUAAAUAACAACGACAGCCGAAGAGGGGCGCUUCAUAAUCGAUAUGACGCUGUCUAAACUGUUAGCAGCAAGCCAUGCCCGUGAUGGUGGCGACCGGUGUGAGUGCACAGUGGAGUCCAUGGCGCGUCUGUGCACGUGUGCGUUCGGUUAGUUGUUAGACUAGUGUAGCGGCAUGCACGAGUUUGUUGCUCGGGCGUGGACCAAGUUGGCUGCAUGUGAGCUGGAGGCCGUGCGAGUUGGAGCGCGUCUGCGCGCGCCCCGAGCGUGCGGAUCAGGCAGGUGAGUGUGGCAUGCAUGUAGGUGGAUCGUGUGACUUAUGUCGUUAGUGGACUGGCCAUGCAUGUGUGUGCAGCUAUUUAUAGGAGCCUGCGAGCUUGUGUGUAGUGGGGAGGAUCCAGAGUUGCCGGGUGUCGCCAUGUAGCCACUGUAAAGAAGAAAAAAUUGGGACGUUUGAGCGCCUGUGGCGGUGUUCAUCGCCGGCCAGAAAAUCUUAUGUCCAUUGUUCUUCUUUUUCCAUCUCCGUUCAAGUGACAGGAGAGGUAGCUAGAGGGCUUCGGUUUCAACAUAAACUCCCUCUUGCUGGUGGACCCCAUCCAGAAUCCUUCAGGCUUAACAACUUAAACGGACAGGAAAUCCUUCUGUUACUAUUUUUCUUGUGAGGCAAGAAGAUGAAUGAAAAUCCUCUUAGUAUUUCCUUCUUGCUUAAUUUGUGCGCCUGCCCCAAGUUCUGGACAAGAACAUCAUGUUCUUUGUCGUCCAUGUACACAACUUGAUUUUUAAUCAAUUUCUGAUUAGGCCCACUUGCAUGUGUACAUGAUCUUUGAUUCCCUAAUACACGUGUGCAUGAAAACACAGCUAUGUACGUUGGGCAAUGCCCAUAUGGAUUAAUCCUUUAUACUGUACACUGUUUUUCCACGGCUGCAACCAACGCCUUAACCUCCUUGUCGUCUCCACCCAAUGGAAAUAUUUUUGGCACGUAAUUAUCUUCGGCAGGCAAUCCUUUAAUAUGUGACGUUUGAAUAGUAAUCGUGGUUGUAUCAGUAAACCAGCUCAAUUGACCAAAAAAUGGAGUUCCGAAGGUUGCUGCGUCGCCGUAAAGGAUGGACGAGACCCGGCGCCACCGCUUCGCAGGAGUGUGUUGUGCGUCCCUUGCCCGUUCAGUUCAGUUGUCCCUUGCCCAUUCAGUUCAGUUGUGUUGCUUGGUUGUCUCGUAAGAAAAUUUAAAGGAAAAUGUAUUGUCAAGAGAUGCCAAUACUGUUGUUGCUUCUUUGCAACUUUUUGUUCAUUUCUUACAAGAAACUGUAGCCUAUUCAUAUUUGGUGCUGCUACAAACUUAUAAAGUGUACAAUUAGACUAGCCUGGUAUAUUUAGUACUUCAAUUUAUUGUUCAGUUGUACGACUUGUUGGUACAAAAAAACUAUGUUAGUUCUACACAUUUUCCAGUGUUAUGUGCUAGAAUUUCAGUGUUAAGUACUACAAAAAUGUUCAAUUUGGAGAGGUUCCGGUGCUUUGUUGCUGCUGUUAUGUGCUAGAAUUCCAGUGUUAUAAAUUGUUUCUUGUGUUCUUGUUAAGCCUGUAAGUGAGGCUCUAAAAAUGCAGUUUGGAUAAGUUCCAGUGCUUUGUUGUUGCUGUUAUGUUGUACACAAUGUGCACUUUAAAGAGGGUCCAAUGCUUGGAUGGUGCCGUUUCUUGCUAUUAAGCGUGCAAGUGUGUUGUGAGAAUCUGCAAUUUGAGAUAUUCUAGUGCUUUGCUGUAGUUUGUUAUUCCUGUACUAGCACUUGUAAAAGUCAGAAAUUAGGAGACGUUCAAGUCCCAUGUUGCAGUUGUUUUCUUGCUUCUGCUAAGUCCGUAGGUGUGCGCUAUUUUGUUUUCGAACAAUCUCGUGUAUUAGAUCUAUAUUGGAUGGUAGAUAAAAGAGGGCAUGUUACAACACGACUUGCUAGAGGCAAGUCACUGGAUCUCGGUCCAAAUAAGACAAAUAAUAUUAGGGAUUGUAACGUCUGUGUUGUGUGGUGGGGGAACUUAGUUGUUCUUUGGCUAGAUACACCGCAAUAUUGGUACCGGUUUGAAGUUCAGAUCAAUUUUCAUCGUGUGGGUGAAAAUUGAUGCUAUUUUCGAGUGUGAAGAAUUUUUCUUUCCAGUCACACCGUAAUUUUUGUUUCCUUUUUUUGAAAGAUUGACUACUCUUUUUUAAUUUUCAAGGUUGACACUGUAACAUCGACAAAAAAAAUUCAAGAAACAGUUAGGUGAUUAAGGGGUGUUCAUUUUCACAUGGUAAUUUAUGCAUUACAGAUUUGAUAACUUACGAAGGAACACCGUGACAACAUUUUGUGUAUGUUUCUUAAUUGAGAAUUUUUUUCAUGUGUAAAUAACAUGGUAAUAUAUGUAGCGCAUACCCGAUGACUUAAAUACAAAUCCCAGGGUAACUUUGGCCCGGAAAAAAAAAGAUAACGUCACUAACUUAUGUGUAAAUAACAUAAUAAUUUACGCUCGACAGACUUUAUAACUUACAUACAAACAUCAUGGCAACUUUAACAGCGGAGGGUGGAGGGAGUUAUUAAAAACAUACCCCGGUAAUUUUUGUAUAAAUAACACGGUAAUAUAAGUACCGCAUAACUGAUAAUUUACAUACAAACACCAUGGUAACUUUUGUUCCGGCAAACAAAUUGUUGAAAAACAUAACCCGGCAACUUUUUUUGUAAAUACUAUGGUAAUAUACAUUUCGUAGACAUGAUAACUUAAGUACAAACACCGCGAUAAAAUUAAACAAGUAGGAGAGUUGUUAAAAAAUAUACCCCAAUAACUUUACGUGAAAAUAACUUGAUAAUAUAUGAACCGUGUACAUGAUAAUUUACAUACAAACAUCGCGGUAAUAUUGACCAAGGGAAAAAUGUUAUUGACAAAUGUACUCCUGGUAACUUCUGUGUGAAUAGCUUGGUAAACAGGAAACACCAAUUUGAUAACUUGGGUGCAAACACCAUGGUAACUUUGUCCAAAGAGGGGGAAAUUGUUGAAAAGUAUACCCCGACAACUUAUGUGAAAAUAGAACAGUAAUAUACGAAUCGUAUACACGAUAACUUAUGUAUAAACACCGCGGUAACUUUGACUAAAGGGCAAAAAAGUUGUCGAAAAACAUAGUCGCGAUAACUUAAGUGAAAAUAGCACGGUUAUAUAUGAACCGCAAAACCCGCUAACUUACGUACAAAUGCCAUGAUAAGUUUGAUUCGAGUGCAUGAAGUUGCUGAAAAUAUACCUCGGGAACUCAUGCAUAAAUAACACGGUAAUAGUCUUGAUUUGGGGAAGAGUAGUAAAAAGUGGUCAAAAAUACACAUGGUAACUUUUUGUAUGUAAAUAGCAUAGAAAUUACGCACCACAACCUUGGUAAUUUAGGUCCAAACACCGCGGUAAAUUUGAUUUGGAGAAAAAAAUUGUUGAAAAGAUAACCCUGGUAACUUCUGUGUAAAUAGCAUAGUAAUAUACUCAUCACAUACCUGAUAACUUACGUACAAAUACCAUGGUAGUAUUUGACUCGGUUGGGAAAUUGUUGAAAAUAUACCGCCGUAAAUUUUGUGUAAAUAGCAUGGUUACAUACACAUCACAUACCUACGUACAAACACCACGGUAAUCUUGAUCAAGCGGAAAAAAUGUUAGAAACAUACCCCCGGUAACUUAUAUGAAAACAUCAUGGUAAUAUACGAAUCGCAGACCUAAAAACAACAUGAUAAUAUAAGGACCGCAGGCCCGAUAAUUUAUAUGAAUAAAGCAUGGUAAUAUAUGAACUGCAGGUCGGUGAACUAUUUUUAUGCCUUCGAUAACUUAUGUGUAAAUAACACGGUAACUUGCAUAUAAUGGGCAUGGUAACUUAUGCAGCCUAGGCGUGAUAAAUUUUGGCUGAAAAAAAGUAAUCGGAACAUGCCAACAUGGGAUCUAGUUUUCAAAGAUCUCGUCGCGAUGAAUCUUUUAUGUAAAAGCGGUUUUUAUAUCAGACCGACGGUUUGAGCUACAAAACAUUUAAUUUUUUGAAAUAAAGAGAAUCUAGAAUGACAUUAGCUUUUUUGUCCUCUAGUGUAUGCAUAUAAUUAGAAGAAGAAAUGCACGUGAAAGGAGAAAGAAUGCUAAUGUAUGUAUGUAUUUAAAGUGGAGGAAGUAGGGGUGUGGCAGUUUUGCUUAUAUGGCACACGUGUGCCAAAUAUCACAGUCCCUGAUAUAUUACAUCUUCCAGUGCCAUGUUUUUUUGAAUCUUUCAUGUCCUUUUGGAAACAUAAGAAAAAGUUUGAUGCUAUCAAUUUACUAACAUUUGCCACCUUAUGGGGCUUAUGGCGUUUGCGCAAUGGCUUUGUUUUCCAGGGCCAAAACUGUUAUGAAGUGUGUGUUGGGUUUAGUAGGUUUACUUGUGUGUCAAUGGAAGGUUCUCUGCUGAGGUGUUCAAGCCACACUUCUUCUCAAAUGCCUAAGAGCAUCUACAGCCAGACGGCUCAAACCAUCUCUCAUUCAGCCGCGGACGCAUCCGGUCAGUGACCGGACAGGAGAGAGAAGAAAAAAAGUGACACAACCGGACCCCUCAUAUCAUCCUAUAUGUCUGGGUUGUCCGCGAACCCUCAUAUCUAUCUCAAAUGUAGGGAGGAUAUGAGGGCUCGCGGACGCGCAUGGGCGCGCCCGGUCAGUCCGCCACGUAGGAUGCGGCCCCACCUUGGACCAUCUUUUCUUUUUCUUUAUUCAUUCUUUUCUUUCUCUCUCUUCAUCUUCACCAAUCAUGUGCAAGUGACCGAAUAUAUGAGAAGAAAAAUAAGAAUUAUGGAUGUGCAGACAGAUAAAUAGGGGCUUAAAAUGGACAUGUCCAGUCACUGAGGACGUUUGAGGGGUCAAAUUACAUGUAUGUGGCUGUAAAUGCUCUACGACUACUAGAUCAUCGAAGAGGAGAAGACAGGUUUCUUUCCCUAGGGCUGUAGGGCUGUAGUUUAGGAUUCAUCUCCUGAUUAGGUUCCAAGACCAGUUUACACGGACACAGUGCAUCACUUGCUGUACAAGGCUAAUAAACGACGUCAUAAAAGGGAGGUUCAUUCGUUGUUGUGGAAUAAAUAAUACCUCUGGACCUCUGGCUUUCCGGGAAAAUAUCUAGUGCUCCAAGCCGUAGGGUGAUACGCUGCUCCGGGUUCUCUAGGUGGGUUGGAUCUGCGCCAAAGGGACAGGAUCAAUUCACUGAUCUUUUCACAUGUGCCUCUUUGAACAUUUGCGUCUUGCUCCCUAGGAAUAGCAUGUCUUCGCAAAAUUAUUCUCCACGCCUUCUCAGUUUCUCGCGUCAGGCAACAAGAUGGUUAGCAGCUUACAACCAGGACAGCUAUAUAAAUACUCCAGCAUGGAUUGUUGUCUGAUGAAUUUUCAUAACCACCAACAUGGAGUAAAGUAUAUAUGACCAUCAUAUCUUACAUUCUUAAGAAGUUGAUCCCCACUAUUAGUAAUUCUCUCAACAUGCAGUCUAUCCAUCUCAGCAUCCUGCCACAUCAUCAAUUAUUUUCCCAUUUAACUGAUUCCGUCGCUAUAUUUCCAAACUUAAGUUACAACCGAAGCCCAAUGGUCUCAACUCGUAGCAGGAAAAAAGCCCAAACGUCAUGCUUAGAGGAUCUCCAGCCGGUUCGCCCCUCCAGGCCGCCGAAAAAGAGCCGCCUGGGAGCGAACCGGCGCUAGAUUGGCCCCUGGGGGCGAUCUAGCUCCCAGCCACGCCCCCAGGCGCCCCCCCAAGUCGCGGCAAAUUCAAACUUGGUCAUUUACGCUCACAAAAAAACGCCACAAGUCGGGCGAUCGGCGGCCCAGUUCGGCGAUCAUCACCUUGCCACAGUUCGGAUCGGAUGAAAAGUUCGGCGUACAAAAAAGAAANNNNNNNNNNNNNNNNNNNNNNNNNNNNNNNNNNNNNNNNNNNNNNNNNNNNNNNNNNNNNNNNNNNNNNNNNNNNNNNNNNNNNNNNNNNNNNNNNNNNNNNNNNNNNNNNNNNNNNNNNNNNNNNNNNNNNNNNNNNNNNNNNNNNNNNNNNNNNNNNNNNNNNNNNNNNNNNNNNNNNNNNNNNNNNNNNNNNNNNNNNNNNNNNNNNNNNNNNNNNNNNNNNNNNNNNNGGCGGUAUCGGAGCUGCUUCUAUGCUGGGCGGCGUCGGCGCGGCUUCUGUGCUGCUGGGCGUCGUGGAGGCAUCGUCGCUCGGGCUUGGCGGCAUCGUCGGCGUGGGCGUGGGAGUUGGCGGCGCCGUCGACGGCAACUGGUUCAGGAUGAGGCCGCGCUCCGCUAGGUACCACGCCUUGACCUGCUCGUCGUUGCUCUGGAGCAUGUCCGCCCCGCCCAUCAGGAAAGCCAGGUCAGUCUUCCUCUUCUUCGCGGCGACGUUGGUCCGGAGUAUGUCGAGCUUGACGACGCUCUUCGUCAUCAACGCCGACCACCGCACCUCAGUCUUCUCUUCACGUAGGGCGGCCCGGGCCUGUGCGUCGGCGAGGCAAUGCUCAAUGGACUCCUGCACUCGCGCGGUAGCCGAGUCGGCGUGUUUCCCCUUCUUUGCCCCUUUGUUGCCUUCGGGGCGCCCGUCGCCCGUGCCCGGCGUCGGCGCGUCCGACUUGUAGGUCUCCUUGGCCUUGGCGAGGGGUGCGUCGGACAUGCGCCCACUUCUCGCACUUCUCGAUCCGCUUGAAGACGUGGAGGUACUUGAAAUCUUGGUCGCUGCUGUCCUGGCGAUACAUGGCGAACAUCCGCAGCAGCUGCACCGACGAACAAACAGUUGGCGGGGGCGCACGGAGAAAAUAAGUGGGAGGCCGGCGUGCCAUACCUGAUCCUCAAUGCUGGUGCCGCUCUCCGGGCGAGCGGCGAUCUCCUCGACGAUCCCAUGUCAUUUGUUGCACGCCGACUGGAUGAGCCCCCAAUGGUUCGCCAUUGCCUUCGCCCCGCGCUGCAUGUACAUGCCUUUGAAGUAGGGGGCGACGAGCUUGCGCUCGUCGAACUCGGCCUUGAUGCGGUCCUAAUACGUGUCGAUGCUCUGGUUCGUGCCGGUGAUCGGGUCGAGGCAGACGACUUUCCACGCUUCGGCGAGGCACUCGUCCUCCUUGGACGCCCACUUGAUGCGCGGCUCGCCGGUCCUGGCCGCCCCCUUCUUCUUCUUCCGUUUCCUAGCCGGAGCAGGCGCCGGCUCCUCCUCCUCCUCCGGCUCCGGCUCCUCCUCGCCGUAGUCGAGGUCGCCGCCCAUGUCGGCGUUGAGGUCCAUUGUGUCGUCCUGGGUAGUGAACCCAGGGGACGCGGCGGCGGCGGCCGAUCCGGCCAUGAUGAUGUCGUCCAUGUCGGCUUCGGUCGCGUCGGUGUCGCCGAGAUGCGACGUGGAGGCUUGGCAGAAGGGCAACGCGCCACGGCAGAGAGGGGGCGUCGGGGAGGAUGCGUAGGCCGGUGGUGAGUAGGUGUAGGGAGGGUACUGCACGCCGGCGAAGGCGGGCGAGGGCGCCCGCUGGGCCGGGUGACCAUGGGGGAAGGUGAUGUUGGGGUUGAACCCGUCGUGCGCGUCACCGUCGGCGUAGCCCGGCGACGGCGUGCAGCCCCAGGGGUGUGGCGACGACGAGAAGCCGGACGGAGAGCCGACGCUUUGCUGGCUCUAGGGCGCGUACGCGGCGUGGCCGCCGGGUGGAUUCAUCAUCCUCACGCGAGCCGCCUCGGCUUGUUCGGCCGAGCGCUCCGCCGCCGCCGCAGCCGCGAGCGCCGCACUGUCCCGGGCCUUCUUGGCGUUGGCCCUGUUCCGCCGGUCGGUGGUGAUAGCCUCCCGGCGCUGAACUUCCGCCCUCCAGUCGGCGUUGGACAUGCCCGGGGGCUUGGACGGCGGCGCCCUUGGCUUCCUCUGCUUCGGCUGGGCGGCGGCGGUCGCACCCGUCGCGGCGCGGGGGACCACGUACUUCUUCGGCGGCAUGGCGGCCGGCUGCGAGGAAAGGAGGAGGAGAUUGGGGGGAAUGGAGAGAAUGGAGAGAAUGAGAGAGAAGCCGAGGGGUAAAGCGGGGAGAAACGGCGGGAAAAGGGCCUCCUCUCGCCGACGAAGUGGCCCCACGCCCCUUCUCGCUUGUGCCGGCGCUCCCAGGUGCCCCAGCGUGCCGGGUUUGGCUCGGAUGCGCCGGCUGUUAUUUCGGUCCAACCCGGCAAUAAACGAACCCCUUGGACGCGGCUGGGCCAAUUUUCGCCCGCUGGCGCAAAAAAAUCGCCUUGGGGGGCCUGUUGGGGACACGGCUAAAAAUGCUCUUAGAAAAAGAACAGCCGUCCUAUCCCACCCCCGCCAUGCUUUCCGUUUGUCCUCCUCUCCCUCUCCUUAAAUAAAGGAUCAGUCUUUUCCGUUUCCCCCCUUGAAUAGUGCGCCGCCUAAGAAGAGAUCUCCGUGUGCGCCCUCCGUCACGGUCGCCAGUCCGCGGCGCAUACGGUGGCUCUCUCGGCUUUCUUGGACUGCGGUUUCAUUGAUGGUGAGAAUCGAUCUGGUGCUCUGUAACGUCGUUGAAUCGGCUGCGGUGCUGCUUCUUUACCUUUGUUCCUCCUCUCCUUUGUGCCUUGAUUGAAAUCCGAACGCAUCAGUGAGCCAUCCUUUUUGGUUUUCUACAUUUACUCUAUGGGUAUUUAUCUCCAACGUGAGCUGAAUUUUUGAUUCGUAAGUUGCAGUCAACAUGCUGGUAGGUCGCCUACUGGUAGCGCAAUGAGGAUGGAUGAGACGAAUCUGGAGACCUCGCUGUCCGCCGGUGCCUCUUCCAGUUCACUCAUGAGGUUAGUCCAGAUUUCCCCUAAUUCCAAUCCUCCGCUAUUGCCUUGCUGCUUUACUGCCACAAUAACCUACAGAUGAACUGUUAAUAUUUAUGUGAUGUCUCAUGAGUUAGUUCACAAAUGACUGAAUACACCCACUUUUAUGGAACAACGAUGCAGAAAAAAAUUGCUGCAUUCCCUUCGCAUCUUACUCUGAAUUUCUGUUGGCUCAAGUGAAUGCGCACCCAAAUCAGAACAUUAUUUGGACUCAGCUAACACAUGCACCUGAAUCUGAAUUCUAUCUUGAUUGAGUCAAAACAUGCACUUUAUAAGAUUCCUGCAGAACUAAUUUAGACUUGAGGUGACUAUUUUUAUUCCUACAGAUCUAUUAGACUUGAGGUGGCCUUUUUCAUUCCUGCACAUGGCUGUUUGUUAAUGGCAAGUUCUGCAACAUUUUGACAAAGGACACCGAUAACUGCCACACGUGUGGUGUAUCGGGUGGUUGUGCCGCACGCCCUGUGUGGCAUGGAGAAGAAACGGCCCACACACCUACGUGUGGGCAAAACAAGUAAUGCCCACACACCUCUUUUUUUCCCUCCCGGUCCCUCUCACACGCGUGCGUGUGGGCGAAAUAGAUAACGCCCACACGCCCCGUACGUCAGGCCUCGUACCUCGUGGUCCCGCACGCCCCGCAUGACAGUCACCGCGCGUCCCGCAGUUGCCAUGGUCCAGACCCUCGUCCAUGUUCGUUUAACUGCAAUUGCCAUGUCGCUGAACUUCGGUUGCCAUGUCGGACAACUAGCUACGGUUGCCAUGGUUGCUCAACUGCAGUUGCCAUCUAAUGUCAAAAGUUUCAGAUGCCAUUUUUGGGCAACUGCGGCUGUUGCCAUGUAUGGUCUGGUUUACCACUAGGCAGUUGCUAUGUAUGGUCUGGUUUACCACUAGGCAGUUGCCAUGUAUGGUCUGGUUUACUAUAGUUGCCAUGAUUUGAAAACCUUAGGAGUUACCACCUACUAACACUAGGCAGUUGCCGUGUAGUGCUACAAAAAGACAUGGCAAAACAACAUGUUCGGGUAAAAAAGAGAGAGUUGUCAUCUGCUUACAAGCACACUAGGGCAGUUGCCGUGUACCCUGCAAAAAUACAUGGCAACUGACAUGUUCGGGUAAAAAAAAGAGAGAGUUGCCACCUGCUUAUAAAGCACACUAGGGUAGUUGCCAUGUACAGUGCAAAACACAUGGCAAGUGGCAACUUGGGUGUGGGAGAUGAGAUGGGCGUGUGGGCGAGAUGGCAAAUGCCCACACACCAGCCCUUGUGCGUGAGUGAAAAGUGGCGUGUGGGCGAACUGCUGAACGUCCACACACCAGCCCCUCCCGUGUGAUGAAACGGCCGUGACCAGCCCAGUCCUAUGUGGCACUAGAAACAUGCCAAGAUUCGUGUGCUAACAAACGGACGCGGAUCCACGCGUGUGGGCGUUAGACUUUUCGUUUGACAAAUUGUACAGAGGGAAGUCAACUGAUUGGUAGAUAUAUCCUCACAUGGAAUUAUGUUCGCCAACUUAUAUAUAUUAUCAUGAAUUUCGCUUAUUUGUUAUGGAGAUAGUCAUCUCAAGGCGUUCUACACACUGAUUAGAUUUCCAUACAUAUUAAUCGUUCAUUUUUUCUUCAACUCUAUUGUUUCAGUCUACUGUUUGUUGCUAUGCAUUGUUUAACAGGUUCAUUGGUGAGUAGUGGCCUCUCCCUCUCUCCCUCACUCCCCCCUCUCUCUCUCUCUCUCUCUCGUGCUCUCUCGUGCUCAUCUUUGCUGGAAAGUACACAUAUUUUCCCUACGCUUGAGUAAGAUCCAGUUAUAUAAUCGAUACCUCUCUUGCUUGCUUACUAUUUGCAUCCAUGUUUUCUUAGUUGUUUCACAGUAAAGUACGUGUGAUUAAUCAUGAACCUGGAUACAACUGGAUAUAUAUUUUCUCUUAGAUAUAGGCUAUUUUAUACAUACACUUACUUUACCGAAGAUCUAAGAUAUUCCAUUGUGAAGAUGUAGGUGAAAGAAGCUACAUGUUCUUGGUAUCCAUAGAGUCAGACAGUACUGCUGGAUCAAACUACAUUCACGUGGUGUGGUCAUGAGAUAUGGCAAGCAAGCAAGUUGGCAAGUUGGUACAUUUAGCUGAAAGUAGAAAUUUUGACCCAAUUUCGGUGUUUUCUAUUGUAUUCUUUGUUUCGGAACCAUAUUCUUAUAUGGUUUAUUUUGGCAGAAGUGUGAGUUUUAAACUGUUUCUUUCGCUGUUCCCAGUGACCGGCCGUUGUGCUAUACAUAAAUGUUAUGGUAGACAAUCAUUUAUUCGUCUUCUAUUUCAGAUUCACGUUGCUUGGCUAAGAUAUAACAUGCUGUCUGGUGAAGCUACUAAACCAAAACCAGAUCGAAAGGCUUUGUCUCCAUUACUCUUUAACUUGUGGUAAUGACUGGAUUUUCUCAACAAAUUGGUUUAUCUAUUAUUUAGUGGGUCAGCAUAAGUAGCUGCAUAUGAAAUAUAUGUAUGUAUUUAUAACACAAGUAAGAGUUUAAUGCCUUAUGUUCUUUUUUCUAAAUAAGAACAUUUCUGCAUGUAUACCUAUUUCCUAUAAUUGUAAGUCAUUUUAAUGUUAUGUACGAUUAGACCUUAUAUGGUAUGCUAAUGUAUAACUACAUGUACUUCUAUUAUUGAUAUUAUGUUUGAAUUAUAUUUAUUAGUAUUCAGUCCAAAUUGUUUGCACUAUGAAUGCCGCAGCAACGCACGGGGUAUCAUCUAGUAUAAUCAUGAAAUCAGACAAGCAUGACUGGGAAGAUGUUCUAGUGCUGCCCAGUAGUCUUGAAAAAUUGUUCUACGUCCAAAAACAUUCCUAAUUGGAGAAGAGCUGGAGUAUUUCAGUCAAGGAACAUAACAGAAACAAUUUACAAGCAAACAAACAAGCAAAAUCACGAAAUCGAACACCAGAAAACACCCCGGCCGCCGCCUACCCAAUCAUCGCUGAUACACGGAGUUACUAUCAGUUAUAAGACAAACUGACAGUCAGUAGUUACAAGCAACACACAGCCUGAUCGUUGCAAUAACAAAAAAAAAAAAAAGAAUGAAAUCAUUACAUAGAGUUUUUCUGGAGCGUGUUGUUGCGUACAUCUACUCUUCUCGGCGUCGAUAGCAAGCAUUACUAAAAGUUUCAUCAUUAGUCGUGUUCAUGUUAUGCUAAACGUGGCUGGCCAAAUUGUGGCAAAUGUCCGUCGUGCAACCAAGUUUCAGAAUCAGCAACACACCUACUCUUCCAAUGUAGAUUCUCCAUAAAAGUGUGGUCCAUGGUGCGCGAUUGGCUUCAACUUGACUACAAAAAUAACACUAUAUUGCUAAGAUUAGUCACCAAAAUUUCCUAAAUCAGAUCCCAGCGAGCUUAUAUCAAAUUCUACAAGUAAUCAAAGCCAUUAAUACCUACCAGAAAAUUCACCUAAGGAACAAAAUUCCCUACCAAAUUAUAAUCAGAAUCUCAAUUGCAAGAAAGCAUCGGCCACCACGAAGUGGCUGGUGACGGUGGAAAAUGAUUCGAGCAAAGAAGAGAAAGAGAGACUGGAGGGGUAUGCACUCGUUGCAUAAUUAUCAAGUGUAGCAGGGUGUAUUUUGCAUAUUUGCCAGUGGGAAGUGAGCCUUCACAAUCAUUUCCCUCCAGUCUAGAUCCAAAGAUCCACACGCUCUUGUAGCAGGGGAUCAUAUCAGGUACCGUAUCAGUGGAUACGCACUCCGGUCAUAUGUGGGAUCGAUCACAUGCGUGCCCUGCAGGUUGCGUCACUGUCGUGUGCCACAGACGGCAAGCUGAGCAGGGCCAUAGUCCAGCCGAGGGCUUUGCCAAGAUCGGCACUGCAUCACGGGUGGUGGUUCACAUUACUCUCCACCCAACGGCAGUGCGUUUUGUCACUAGAUAGAUAUAUAUGUGUUAGAAUACGUAUAGGACUAGAGAUAGACUAGCAUUUUACAUAUCAUCUUAUACUUCAGGUCAUAGGCUUCUUGCCCUCUAAGUCUUGUACACCUAUAUAAUCCCUAUGAGGGUAACAUCAAUACAACACAACAUUCAAUUAUCCUAUAAUUUUCAUAUGGUAUUAAAGCGGUUAGUCUCAUGACGCCGAUCCUAGGCAUCCCCACCACUUCCGCAGCGCGCCGCCCCCUGAGGAGAUUAAUCUCCUCCCCCGAGGGCGCGGCACCCGAUCAAUUAAAGAUUAGAUUGGUCUUGUAGUUUAGAUUCAAUUUCGAGUUCCCGAUAGAUCCAUAGAUCAAUUCUCUGCUAGAUUAGUUUCCAGCAGCCUCAAAUAAAUCUCGACGAUCCUCAAAUUCCGGUGAAAAUCAGUGCAAGAUUGGGCGGCGAUCACGGUGCCACGGUCAUCUCCAUCGCGCUCCGCCGCAAGUGGCUGGCUUCAAGAUCCAAACUACACCAGCGAGCGACAUCGAGAACUUCAUCGACGACAACAACAAAAAAAAGCAACGACAGAUUGCUAGGCACGCGGCGGACACGUACGUACGCGCUGGAGCAAGCGUGGGCGCUGGCAUUCCAAAGACACACGCAUGGCCAGGCGCUGGAGCAGCCGGCCGAUGCAACCGCUCGGCACGCGUGGCCCAGGCAGUCCGGUGGAGCGGCGGGCGGCGCCACGCGCUCACGCGGCCAAGCCCCCUCCACACCAAUCGCGCCGUCAACAACUCCGCUCAAACCCAACGACACGCCGUGAUUGCGGGUGGGAUCCGAAUUUUCCGCAUGGCUCGACUCCACGAUGCUUGCAACUGCACUGAGCCCAGCCAACCUGCCGCGACGACAACCAACACCAUGCACGCUCGGGCUCUACAUCGCCAAACUGCCCAGCCACACGUACGAACGACAACGCGGGCGGAUCAGAUGGUUACAAGAUGCAUGCGUGAUGCCUCAUUACGUGAGGUACAACAGCCUGCGAGUCUUCUACGCCUCCAUCUGCUUCACAAGAUGCGCGUCUUUCCCGGACCGGCACGACUGCACAGCUCGGAUCAUGGGAGGGGCGAGUUCCUGCGACAUCGACGAGUGCGCGACCAGCUACACCGAGCAGACUCGACAUCUACGAGCAGGCGCUCGACUACACCGAGCAGACUCCCGACAUAUCGCCGGCCGCACCCACACAAGCACUCGGCGAUCGACUCCUCCACCGAGCGCUGCAUCCCAACACCGAGCUACAUCAUCUUCUGCAUGGCUGCAUCGACCGCCGCCGAUCCAUACUGCACGGUCACACCGACGCCUCCGCAUCGAGCCGAACGACAUCAAGCUGUCCGACUACGCGAGGCUACGAGCCAACAUACUUCUUCGGCAAGGCAUGGCAUCGCCGACACUUUAUCGCCAAGGUCUUCAUCAACGUGGUCUUCAUCAUCAUCAUCGUCAACACACCGCCGUCACCUCGUCCACAAGAUAAACACCUAGCGUCCUUUGACAGACUUUUCUGCAAGAAUGGCAAGACUGCAUCGGCACGGCGUCACUAUAGUGACGACCCUAUACGACCACACGGUUCUGGCAAAACCGAUGUGUGCUCGAUGGCUUCCUCCGGUCUUGGCAAAACCGGCGGACUCAUCGCCAACGACACCCUCUGACAUCCGAAGGUGCAUCAUCCACGUCUGCAGCUCCGUCAUAGCGCAUUUUUUUGCACCUCCGGCUUUGUGCGGCUUCAUCAUCCACGAUGAUCACACCAUCAAUCGCGACUACCUCAACCACGUCUACCUCGACCACGACUACAACACCAUGAUCGGCUACCUCGACAUUGACAUUAAUGGCUACGUCUACAGCGACAUAUCGGCAACAACUCCAGUCAACAACAUCCGCGUCAUCACCAGCGUUCACGCCACUCCCGCUGUGACUGCAGGAGGGAAGAGAGGAGAGAUAAGGAAGGCACCAGAAGGGGAUGCAGUAUCCGCCCUAGGUACCGGCCCAUCAGAGACGCAGCUGAUGAUGGUGUAGCGAAGAAGACGACAGAAGCGCAAGACUUCAAAUUCAGUCGCAAUCGUCCGCUUCACUCCCGCUACGGCUAAGGGGGAAUGUUAGAAUAAGUAUAGGACUAGAGAUAGACUAGGAUUCUACAUAUCAUCUUGUACUCCAAGUCAUAGGCUUCUUGCCCUCUAAGUCUUGUACACCUAUAUAAUCCCCAUGAGGAUCACAUCAAUACAACACAAUAUCAACCAUCCUACAAUUUUCACAAUAUGCACCUGAAAUUUUGGAUCCGAAUUUUCUUUUCAUGGAGAUUGCUCCAUAACAAGGCAAUGCAGACUUGUAAACAUACGUUGGCGCUAGAAUAAGGCUACAUGUAUCCUGCACAUUAGCAAAUGGGUGCACCUUGAGAUGCGAAUAGUGUCCAUAAAAUUACACUCCUUGCUUGGAAAAUGCAUAUAAUCAUACUUUUUGCGCCAAUAAUUUUUGUAUGAAAAGAAAAAAUCAUGCGAUGAUGGCAAGAACUUCCACACAUAUAAAAUUGUGUAUGUAGAACCACUGUCUCCCGCUGGUUGUCUGUGAAAGCACAAUACUUACCCUCAACAAACUUCUUUUAAAACACAAUAGUCAGUCAAAGCUGCCCGCAUACACGAGCAUACAAUCAUGUCUAUGGACACACGCACGCACACCCUACCUCUAUGAGCACCUUCGAGAGACUAAGCCGGCACAACAUCUUGAGAUUGACGAAGUCAUCACAAGCGCCUAGUUGUCGACCGCGGGCGGGGCGGAUGAUGGCUUCCUUGUCGGUGGCAGGGCGGGCAUGCGUGGGGCGUGAGGGUGCAGCGGAGGAGACACAUCCUCUUUGAUGUCCACAACCUCCUUGGUCGGAACUUCCUUUGCCGCCGCUUCCCGCUCGCCUUUUUUCCUUCAUCGCUUCCUCCGGGCAACGUUGUCCUCCUUGCAACUCAUCCCAUGGGUGAUGAUGAGGCAAUCUGUGCUGGUGGUGAGGGCCGGGUACCCGUCGAUGACAUCUAGGGUUGUGGAUUGGAGCGGCGAUGCCUGGGGGGACGCAAGGGUGGAGGACGAAGACUGCUUGAACGCGGGAAUGGAGGACAGAUACGAGAGGAGGGUGGUGGAUUUGGUGUUGGUUAAUUUGAUGAAAUUCAGGAAGGAUCUUGUCUGUCUAGUCCGACGUGGCGAACGCGCCCGGACCUUCUCAUAUCCGCCCUACAUAUGGGCAGGAUAUCAGAGGUCCUGGUCAGCUCAGACGCAUGAGGCUGAUUUGAGGGACCAGUUAGGUUGUGAUUUUGUGACCAGUGCCGUCCGCCCGGGCGUAUUGGGGACAUUGGAGAAGCUCGGAUGUAGAUGCUCUAAGAAGAUGCAUUCGCCGGGAGAUAAUGACACAUGGACCAUUGGUCACACAGGGAUCAUCUCUUCAUAAGUUGUCUUUGGCACCCGUCUGUAAUUUGAUUUUGAUCUACUUUUAACCAUCAUUGGCAGUUUGGCACCCGUCUCACUCCCAUUUUUUAAUGUACAAUUUUUUGGGAAGUUCAGCAUGUCUGAAAGCACAACGUGACGUUCGUUUGCUAAUAUAAUUGCCAAGUAUCCGUGUAUAACCAAUGCAUUGAAGUUUAAAAUUCCAAUGCAUUAAAGUUGAAAAUUGUGUGGUCACCUUUAGCUAAAUUUGCACACUUUUUAAACAGGUUUUGGACUAAUUAGUCUCACUAGUCGUCCACCCGUGCAUUCACACGGGCUAGUUAUCUAACUUUAUCUUGUUGUCUAUGUUAUGAUCUGAUAUUGAUUUGUGAUAUUUCUUGGAUGUGUGUCCAAUCAUAUAGAUUAAAGAACACAGGAUUUCAUAUACAGGGAGAAUAUAUGGUGGUAAGCCAAAUAUUGGAAUUCCAAAGUCCAUCAUAUAAUGAAUUUUGAAGAUGGUAGAUACAGUCAUGUGAUGCACGCAUAGUUUCCCUACAGAUAUGUUUGUCUGUCUUGUUCGGGAGGAAUGUGGAGCUGUCGAAUACACUGGUUAUUUGCUUAAACGUAGGGACAUGACCUCUUAUACAUGUAAUUAUAUCAACUUUUUUUCUAAAAUAUUUGUCGCAUGUAUGCAAAUGCAUUUGUUGUGACUUUGCAUAUGGAAUAAUAGUAUUUUGUGCAACAUGUGACUAUAAAUGGAUGGAGUGGUCCUAAAAAGUUUGUGAACAACCCUCUCCAAUCUAGACUAUAUGAAUUUAUAUUGAAUAUGUUAUAUUUUCUUGAUUGUAAUAUUAUCAUAGAAUAUUCAUGGAAAAAAGUUACACAAUAUCACAGGGUUACUGUUACUUAUUAACAUAUGAUAUAAAACUAAAAGUUCAAAGUAAAAUAUUUUAACCGUGAUAUGCCCAAAAUUUCUUCAAUUUAUCAAUAGAUAGUGUAAUUGACUUAUGGAAAAUAUCAUGUAUACCACAUGAAAGACGAUCUAUUAGCAUUCGUCGUACUCCCCUACAUAUAUAAGUACAAAGUUGAUAUCCAUUUGUCAUCCAAAAUUGUAUAAAAUAUGCCUUGGUGUUGCGAAAUAUUAAAACAACUAAAUAGUUAAUUAAUGUGUUCCUUAAUCCUAUACCGAUUGAAAGCAGAGAAUUUGGUGGUUGUUCAGUCAAUAAGAAAAGAGUAGAAGAUAUAUGCCAAGAGCAAUAAUUCAACACGUAUAGUUGCAAAAUGAAUAAUUUAUAAAUACUGAUAACAAACGCAUCAUUAUCAAUCAAACAAUUCAUGCGAUAAAAGAACGAUAAUUAAUAAUGUGCUUCUUAAGUUUAGGUUAACCAUCAGCAACAUAAUCCACAACAGAGUAGAACACCAUAAGUUUACAGAACUAAGGGGCUUUAGAACAUAAUUAGUUAUUUCAAACUCAGAAAAACUAUAUAUUACUCAGUUUUGCGGAUAUAAAUAAUAUUAAUACAAUUUUAAUUGGUUGUCCACGUUUCUCAAAGGUCAUCUGUUCAAGUCAAAGUUAGUAACGCAUUGGGUUAAUACAAUAAGAAACGAAAUAAUAACAGGAAGGUUAUGCUAUUCUGUAUACCUAAAUGAUUGUUUACUAUCUUUUGAAUUGACGUAUAUAUCUGAAUUUGGUUUGUACUAAGAGCAGAAUUAUGUAUAACAUUUUUCAAUAACCUUAGAAUCCAUGUACAAUAACAUGUAUGCUGAUGUUACAUAUAGAGGAUGGAAACAUAUUUCAAUAUUGGGCAUUCAUGUGCAAAUAUAUUAAAAAUGAAUUGAAUUCAACUGUGUAAUUACGUAAUAGCAGUUUUGGCCCAGUUUAUCAAAUGUAUGAUGUAAUGUUAGUCCACCAGAAAAAAAAUCAAAAGAAGAACCAUCGGUAUAAUAUAUUUAAAAACUGGGCAUAAAUUUAAUAACCAAAUUAUUUUAAUGCAUUUGAAAAAUUGCAUUUUUUUUCUUGGAGCACAAUAAAAUUAUGUACAUGAAUUGCUAAUGACAGUAGAUGAUUAUGACGAAGGGUCUAAGUUUUUAAGUAACUAUAAAUAAGGACUAAGGAGUGGCGGGUCUGGGAGUUGUCCAAAUAGUAUUAAAUAACAAAAGGCCUGCACCACCUCCUCCCGUGGCGACGCCUCCCGCUCCGGUGACCGCGGCGGAGUGGCGCACCAGUUCACGCCCACGCCGGCGGCCAUCUCCGGAGCAGUGCAGGACCAGCCCCACCCCUGGCCCAGCAGCGCCUGGAACGCGGCCGGCGGCUCCUCCUCCAUCGCCUCCUCCCUCCUCUCCUCCGUGAUGGCCGCCAUCUGCAGCUCCGGGAAGGCGACGUCACCGGCGGCAGAGAGUGCCAUGGCCUCCAUGACACGCUGCACAAGACAGGCCUCCUCCUCCGCUGUCAUGCGAGGAGGUGGAGGUGGCGAAGGCGACGGCAUGGGCUUCAGGCCGCGCACCCGCGUAUGCCCGCGCGCCUCACGUGGCCGCUGCGGCCCCGACACCGUGCCGGCGAAGGACGACGCGCGGCGCAUGUCGUGCUCGUCCUGGAGCCAUGUGUCCCACAGCCGGGAGUCGGGGGCGUACCUGUCGUUGUAAAAUAGGUCGUCGGGGAGGUGGCGGCGGCGGCGCUCGAUCUCAUCGCGGCACGCACGGCCGCCCACGGGCAUCGGCGGGAUCGGGACCCGGUCGGCGCUGAGGUGCCAUCCAUUGGGGAGGUGGACGUCGCUCCACGGGACCGGCGUCCUCGUCUCCCAGUACCUCCGGCACACGUCCGCGCAGAGGUACUGCCGGUCGCGCUCGCCGGCAGGCCUAGGGGCAAUGGUGAAGGGGGCCGGAGCAGGGGCUCGACGGGAGGAGCGCGGCGGUGACGCAGGCUCCUCCUUUUUCAUGGAUCCGCGGCGGCGGCCCGAGGAGGAGCCGGCCUCGCGGUCGUGCUUCCCCUUGCGGUUCCAGAGACCCAUGGCUGCGGCCGGCCGGCGAGCUCGAGGACGGGGAGUGGCUAGGGUUUGGGCGUGUCGGCUUUCGAGGGGGCAGAGAGGGUCCGGAGUGGGGAAGUGAGGACGACGACCGGUCCACAGGUCCCAUUUAAGAAGGACGGCGACCGUUCGAUGGCCGGAUGACAGGUGGGGCCACCCACCCGUGCGCAUUUAUAUUGGCAGAUGGGAGGUAGGUGGCCGCCUGCCACACGGCCCCGACGCGGACGAGCGCGCGUCCGUUUGCCGUCCGCCGCGACCCAAACCAGGCGCAAGUUUGCGCUCGAAAUGGGUCGGCCUGGACACCAAACGGACAAGAUGGGUCCGGGCCGUCGCGCGCUGGGCCGCCUCGUUUGUCCGUUGUGCCCCAAACGGACGGGGCCGGAGAAGAUAGGGUCGCGCGGUGGAGUUGGCCUUAGGUGCAUCAUCUUCGUCACAUGCCAAUAGAGAUAGAGGCCAGCAUUUUUUUCCAGCAAAAAAAGAGAGAUACAGGUCAACAAUGGAGCCUAAUAAAGAGUGCUUACAUCCCCAAAUUUAAGCGAACUACAAUAAGUAUAUGAAAUGUGAAAUUUUAUUGUAUAAGUAACAGACAAUGUAUUAGAUAGGUCAACUGAAAGAUCUAAAGUGGCUUCCAUGAGAUUGACCAAGGAGUUGUUACCUGCCUUGUCGUCGCAAAAGAUGAGUAUAUUUUUUCCCUUCAUGAACAGAAUGGUGGUAGGAAAAACCUGACAUCUUCAUGAUCCUAAUGCUACUGCACAGAACCAAAAAAAGGUUCAUAGUGAAUCAUAUAUGAGAGUGAACUCGUAACUUACUAUUAAUUUGCAGUUAUCGUGGAGUUCCUAUGCUAGCUUGCAUAUCCUGUCACUGGACAACAAACAUUUUAUCUUCUUUGAAUGGCAAGGAACCAAACAAAGUUCAACACAUCAUAUGUUCUCCUCAGGCCAAUAGCUCCUGUGCGACGUUUUUGAGGUGAAUUGGCAAGAGUGCGACGUUGUUCGAGCGAACGGCUGUGGUGCGACACAUUUGAGCGUGUAAAUAGCCCAGGGCCACAUGGGGUGUUAAAUGUGGUUAAAUUGGUCGUCAACCUAGCCCGCCCGUUUAUGUUAGGACAUGUGGGUCCAACUUAAUUGUUCCUCAAAACAGCUGAUCGUGCCCUGCCGCCCGACUGUGCUGGGCCCGCCACUCUGCCCCCCUUCUUCUCCGGUGGCGGCGGAUCUUGCGUUCUCGGUGGCGGCGGCGGAGCCCUCGUUCUCAACGGCAGCGGAGCCUUCAUCAUAAGAAAAUGGUGAGUGAAUUCAAACCCUAGUCGCCCUCCCGUUCCUCUCUCGGGCCCAUAGAUCUCAACUCGUUUCCUCUGUUUUCACUUGCGGAAUCGAUAGGUUGUGAGGGGAGUCCGUGGGCAUACUGAGAUGGAGCCGCCAGAUUCAACUUCGAAUAGGUAAUGCGCCUCUCUCGAUCCAAUUUUGCAUGCAAUUAGGGGGUAGCCUCGUCUGCUCUUUCUCACGGGCUCACACUGUCCGCCACUGACAGAGGGGAUGCUGCCGCUCGGACCUUCGAAUUGAUAGUCAAUUUCUUUCCAUCAAAGGCAAAAUUAGUUGAUGGUAGCAUACAGAACAUUGAGAGAGACACAAUUGUUAAAUGGGAGGUUGAGUUUACAGAGAUUGAUCCACAAGUUCUACAAAACAUGGGAGAGACGGCAGUGAAGAAAUGGGUGGAAAAAAUUGGGGAGAAUAUAGUUUGGGGUCCAGAACAAGAAGUAUCACUAUUGCGGUUUGAUGAUUGGAAAGGAGAGUAUGUGAGAAUAGAAGAUGGUGAACAGAUUGUUGAAGAAAUCGAUCGGCAAAACGGCUGGACAAGCAAACGGGCUAAUUUUUUUUGCUGAGCUCGUUGAUCUGAACAUUUUUUCGAAGGUUGGAUAUGUGCCAUCACAAUUGGCUGCGCAGAUGGUAGAUGAUGAUUGGGCUACACAGAGGCCAUUGAUUCCCAUGUGUACUGAACUUACAGUAAUAGCCGAAGAGGGACAGGUGACUGGAACUGAAACUGAAACUGAAACUGCAGCAACUAUUGAUUGGAAUGUAGUUGAAUUAGAUGAGCCUACUGAUUUGGUCAUUGCACCAAUGCCUGACAUUGAGAUGGCCAAACUUUUUGGCAUUCCAGUCGAUGACAGAGAUAAGCAGGAGAGGGGCGAAUCUAGUUUGCCUGCUAAUGCUGAUGAAGAAGUAGAUGGACAGUUGAUGGAACAAGCUGCGGAUGAAGUAGAUGAUGCACAUGAUGAUGAGCUAGUGCAUGUGCAUGACAAAGAAAACCCUGUCAUUGAAGUAGGCAAGUUGUUCCCAAGCAUGAAGGAGUUUAGGAUGUGUUUCAAGACUUAUGCAGUGAAACAUGAGUUUGAUGCCAAGACUGUUUGGACUGAUAGAAAGAAGUUUUAUGCGAGGUGCAGAGGAUUUGAUGGUAGUGUGAAGCCUUGCAAGUGGUACAUAUCUGCUAGACUGCAACCUGAUGGAAGUACUGUCAGGGUUAACCAAAUCCCCAAUCAACAUACUUGUAUUACAAGUUCACAGAGAGUAUCAACCAUGACAUCACAACUUUGGGUUGCAGAAAAGUGUAGGGGAACGCAGCAGAAAACAAAAAUUUUCCGACCUACGCACCAGCCCAGGACCACUAUGGAGACUGCAUAUAUGGUUUGAUCUUUUUCGUUACCGACUCGUAGCGCAGCGGGAAGUAGAGUCGAUGACGAUCGGCGGUGCAGAUCCCCGCAGCUAGGAUUUACAACCUCCCAACCGCGAGGAUGUAUACCCUCAUCUGCUCCUCAGACAGCCCUCCAGGAGGCGGUCGAACAGCCCCCCGGAUGGUGUCGCGGACAGCCCUUCGGGAGGACCUUCGAAACUCGAACGGUCACUCGGACAGCCCUUCGGGAGGACCUUCGAAACUCGGACGGUCACGCGGACAGCCCUUCGGGAGGCACUCACGAACUAAGACCGAAACUACGAUCUCUCUACAGAGUUGCACACAUACGGUGUCAUCUAUCCGGCAGGGCUUCGCCGUCCAGAACUAGUUCCUGCCGGAACCCAGACAGCCUUACGGCUCUACGAAACUCUUUUCGUGGGAGGGAGAGAAGAAGCCAGAUAAUGCAUGGCAUGUGUAUGAGAGCAAGGGAUGAGUGUGGAGGGCUGCCCCUCCACCUCUAUUUAUAGGAAAUCCCAAGGGGGUAGGGUAGUUUCACAAAAAACCCAAAAUGCACAUGAAUGAAGUCCUUCCACAAGGACCUAGGAGUGAAACCAAGGAACAAGAGGGUCCCCAAGGGGGAUACCCCAUGUGGCCGGCCACACCCUCAUGAGGGGCCCAAAAAAUGGCUCCUAUCCAUCCAUGUCAUCCCCAAGAUCUUUUGGAGCAAAGCCCCAAAAGGUGGCUUUCCAUAAAGUAACCAUAAAGCUGAUUUUCACUAUUCACGACGACAUUUUUCAGCGUCUGAUCGAACUGAAAAUAUUUAUGUGGGCUAAGAACAUUUCCAGUACCCACUAAAAUGAUUUUCAACGCGUUCCGAAACAAUUCCGGUUUUAGUGAUUUUCAUCUGCGAAACGCAUCUGAAGUGGCUCCGGCAGCUCCAGAACAUUUCCGGUUUUUAUCUCAGAAAAUUCAAAAAGCUUCCAGAAUGAUUCUGGCAUCCUCCAAGAAUUAUCAGGCAUGUGCCGAAACCAAUUUGACUUAAUGGUGUAUCCCGAAACAACUUUUCGGUAUCAUCGAAACUUAUCCGAUGACCUCUCUCUGCGGUACGAUUCCGCUGUCCGAAACUUUUCGGUGUCCGAAACUUUUUCGGUGAUUUUCUCUCAGACUCCCUGUCUAGUAUUCAGCAGAUAGAUGACCCUUAAGUGUGUGACCCUAUAGGUUCGGUGAAGUAUAGACAUGACCCGGAACCCCUUCCGAUCAAUGAUCAACAUCGGAGCCGUGGACACCCAUAUUGACCCCUAUACCCACACGAAUAAAUAUUCGAGUGAACCUCCAGUUGCCGUGUGCUAUUCCUGUUGCUUCGCGAUAUGUUACAAAUACCCGAGGUGAGACAUGUUGGCAUUCCCGUGGAUCAACAACUUGUCCACUAUGCUAGUUACCUCGUUACCGGUAUUGUUCUCUUUUCUCGUUAUCGUGUUCCGGCAUCCCCGUGAUCAAAUCACAAAGUGUCUGGCAAGACGAUGAUGGAUACCGUAACACCGAGAGGGCCCAGAGAUAUCUCUCCAUCGUCGGAGGAGCAAAUCCCAAUCUUGAGCUAUCAAGUUACUUGACACACUUUUCCAUGAACCCGUAAGCCGCCGUAAUAGCCACCCAAUUACGGAUGACGUUUAACAAACCCCAAAGUUCAUGAAGCAAGCAUGAAGAAACUCGAUACUCUCAUGGUCUAAGGAAUCAUGCAAACGUUAACCAUCUCUGUGUUAUGUACCAAUAAACUUGUGACGAAUGAAUCUCAUAGCAUAACAUCAUGCCGGGUCGAUUCAACACAAAUGUUCUCUUAACAUUAUGCCCUCAAGGUUGCUGACAUAGACAUGCCCAUGAUCAGGAAAACAUAACCAUCAUGCAACACUUGAGCUAGUCUUAGAGGCCAGACUAGGAAUACAUUUUACCGUUUAUUAUUCCACACGUGCAUAUGAGUCUUCCUCCGAGCCUCGUGGUUAUUGCAGACUCGAGAACCAUAGCAGUUAUAGCAUGGAACAUAAACAUAAUUAUGAACUCGGAGAUAAAUAAUAUCAUUUAUUAUUGCCUCUAGGGCAUAUCUCCUACAAAAAGAUCACCCCAAUUUUAGCCAAAACACCUAACACUACUGCCAAGAAACUCAAAGUAGACUUGGAAAAGAUGUACCCCAUUAAACUGAAAUAUACCACAGUGUGGAAGGCAAAACAAAGGGCAAUGAAAAAUUUAUAUGGUGAUUGGGCAAAUACAUUUAGGAUGCUUUACAACUUCAAAGCAGAGGUGGAAAAGAGGUCACCUGGCAGUGUUGUGGAGAUAGAUACAGAGGUAUCAGCCGAAGGUGAAGUCAAGUUCUCCAAGUUUUUUAUGGCUUUGAAGCCUUGCAUCGAUGGGUUCAAAGCAGGGUGCCGUCCAUAUUUGAGCAUAGACUCAUCAUUUUUGACAGGCAAGUGGAAUGGUCAGUUGGCAGCAUGCAAUGCUCUAGAUGGACACAACUGGAUGUUUCCUAUUGCUGUUGGCUUGUUUCAGUCAGAAACAGAGGCUUCAUGGACAUGGUUCAUGAUCCAGUUGAAAAGAUACCUAGGGUCAGUGUCACCUCUGGCUAUACACAUAGAUGCAUGUAAGGGGCUUGAAAAUUCAGUGGAAAAUGUUUUCCCACAUGCUGAGCAGAGGGAGUGCUUCGGUCAUUUGUGGAUGAAUUUGAUCAAAAAAAUUAGGGGAGAAGAAUUUGGGCGCAUGUGGCCAGCAGCAAGAUCUUACACUAGACAGACACACAAAUAUCAUCUUGAUAAGAUAAUGGCAGCAUGUGAUGAGUUUGGUCCAUGGCUGAACACCUACCAUUCUUUGUUAUGGUACAGGUCAGCAUUCAACACUGCCAUCAAGUGUGACCACAUCAACAACAAUUUGGCAGAGAGUUUCAACAACAAGGUGAAGGAGUUAAAAGAUUUGCCUAUGCAUGACAUGGUUGACCAAAUCAGGAUCAUGCUCAUGCGGUUGUGGGAAUUGAGAAGAAGGAUAGGUGAUUGUCUGCAAGGUGAUAAGCUUCCAGCAGUGGUACAACAGGUGGUCAAUAGGAGCAGAUGUCUUUCACAUUUGUUUGUUGAAAAAUCUUCACCUUGGGGUGCUGAAGUUAGAGAUAACAAAACUGGAAGGAGACAUGUUGUUAACAUUGAAUUGCAUGAUUGCACUUGCCUUGAGUGGCAACACACUGGUAAACCAUGUGAGCAUGCCAUUCUCUUCUUAGCAUCCCAACCGAAGAUAAACAUGCACCCAUAUUUGCAUGAAUAUUAUUCGGUAGCAAGAUUCAAAGCUGCAUAUGCUACUCCAAUUCCAGCACUUACAGAUCAGUCUCCGUGGCCUGAAGUGGACAUUGAAUUUUCCAUGUGUCCUCCUUGACGAAAAGAAAGGCUGGCAGGCCUAAACAGAGUAGAUUCAAGGCAUGGUUUGAGAAAGGUGGGAGUAGUAAGAAGGGAAAGGAAGAUGGAAAGCCAAAAAGGGCCCAAAAAGGUAACAAAAACAGAUGCAAGUUGUGCCAGGAACUUGGGCACAGAGUGGGAUCUGUCAAAUGCCGUUACACUCCUGAUAAGCCAAAGUAUGUUCUUGUGUAUUUUUGUGUGUUUUGAUUUGGUGCUUUUUUCCAAUUACUAUAUCUAUAACAUUUUCCCAAUGGCCAGGAGGAAGCGAGCAAGUCAGCCCCUUGUUGUUGAACAGUGUUGGCCAACAAAAAAAGCAAGAGUCAAUGGCGGUAGAAAGAAGAGAAGUGUGCCUGAGCCUGAGCAGACUGAAGAAAAUCUUGCUGCAGUCAACAUUCAGACUGAAGAAACUGCUCUCGAGGUUGAAACUGAACCUGAGCGUGUCGAGGUUCAGACUGAAGAAACCCAUGUUGAGGUACACACCGAAGAAACUGAACCUGAGCGUGUUGAGGUUCAGACUGAAGAAACCCAUGUUGGGGUACACAUCGAAGAAACUGAAACUGCUGUCAACAUUGAGACUGAAGACACUGAUCACGAGGGUGUUGGCGAGGUGUUGAAAAGACCAGUGAAGAAAACCAAGAUGAUCAGUGAACUUGUGUGUGUAGUAGAAACAAAAACAAGAAGUGCUAAGGCGAAGAAGGGCACGCGACGUGCUAGGAAGAGGUAGAACAGAGAACAGUUUGAAAAUUUGGGGCAUGUAAUAAUAUUUGUAACUUGGUGCGUACUGGUAGUCACUAUGUAUCCCCGUAUUUCUAUUCGAACUUGUUUGUUGGUACCUUGUCUAAACCAGCCAAAUAAAAUUAAAAUUUAAAUUCAAAUUUGGACUCAAAUUUGAAUUAGGGAUGGGGUAUUGAUGUUUUAAUGCUAUCUAAAGUACCUCAACUGAAAUAUGUUUGCUUGCUGAUCAUUCCGAGCCCUUUUGGUAAGUUGAACUCAUAGUCAUGAAAAGUGUGUCUCAAAUGACCUCCAAAGGUAGGAUAAACGGCCCCAUAUUUAAGCAAGUUUUUUUGGCACCUUGUCUAAACCAGCCAAAUAAUUUUUCUACACAUCUAUUCUACCUAUAUAGUGUAAAUCUAAAGUCUCACUAUUUAUUGAAUUAAUUUUCUAUUAUUUUCUUUUUUUGAAAAAACAAGGUUUAAUAGAAAAUUAUAUAUAAAACAAGUUUAAAACAUGAAAAUGAGAAAAGUAAGUUAAGAUCUUUCUUAGUCAAUCCAAAAUGAAGUUUUGGUGAGGUUUUCACACUUUUCAUUUUC
rnacentral:lncRNA from 1 species